AAUUGUGAUUUGUUAGAAGAAAUUAUCGAGCUGCAAGGAGUCAUUGCUGAUGAGUCACAGUCAACAUCAGCUGCUCAAUCUAUUGUGGCUGAAACAGUGACGACCAAGUUUGUAUUUCCCAAACUAAUAAACCUGGGAUUGGAUAAGGUGCCAAGAUUGAAAAGUUUCUACUCUAGGAUGCAUACCACCCACUGGCCUUCAUUGAAAAAAAUGGACAUUAUUGAAUGCCCCAAAGUACAGAUAUUUACUCCACAAUGUCCCGGGAGUCAGGUUGGAAUCUCAAACCAACAACCCUUGUUUUGCGUCAAUGAGGUAAGCUCGCGAACAGUUUCAUAUUCCAUGAUCAUUACUUGAGAUUACCUAUAAAAUGCUUUUUGAAAAAACUAAUAUUCUCUCCUCUUUUAAUUUUAUGAGAGUCUAGUUCUUACUAAUUUAAAACUCUUUCAUCGAUGUCUAAUAUAUUCUUUGCCAUCCAGGACACUUUCCCUGUAUUAGAAGAACUAACUCUGAAGACGAAUGAUAUGGGGAAGGGGAUAUGUGAUGGACAACUCUCAUUGCAGUGUUUCCAAAACCUUAAGCAUCUUAACCUCCAAUUCUUUCCCGAGACAUCCACUACUCUUCCGUAUUCCUUCAUUCGGUCACUACCAGUGCUUCAUAAGCUUGUUAUAGACAAUGCUUCCAUUUGUCAAAUAGUACAAUCUGAAGGACUCAGCGACUAGGAAUGGCAUACAUCAGCAUUCUAUCAGCUAAAGGAAUUAAGUUUGUCUCAACUUCCAGAGUUGACGUUAAAGACUUUUGAACCAUCUUUGCUGUCUUUCAAAAAUCUAACAACACUGAAAGUUUCAAGAUGCCAUGGGUUCAUCAAUUUAAUCGCAUGCUCAACAGCUAAGUGCCUGACGCUACUGGAAAGAUUGAUCAUAGAUGAUUGUGAGAUGAUAGAGGAAAUCAUAGCGUGUGAGGCUGAAGAAAUACAAGGCGGCAUUGUAUUUCCCAAACUGAAGUAUUUGCAACUAAGUUGUCUGCCAUGUCUAGCAAUCUUUUCCUUGGCCCAUCACUUGUUGGAAUUCCCAGUCUUGCUAAUGUUGAUGGUGACAAAGUGCCCCCAAAUGAGGAAUUUCUGCCAAGGAGAUUUAAGCACGCCAAGGCUGGAACAAAUGCACUUAACAAGAGAUGAGGAAGGUGAACUGAAGUGGGAAGGCGACCUUAACACUACCAUAAAACAUAUGUUCGAUGAAAUGGUACAAAUCAUUUAAAGGAUUUAAAUUCAUGUGUUUUUACAUACAUACAUACAUAGUUAAUUGAACAAUUCCUGGUUUGUUAUGAUCAUGCACAGAAUGUGCAAAAUUCUGAGGUGACGGAGGUUACUGAUCAGUUGCCCAAUCUGGAAUAAGGAAAUAUGUUUGGGUGCUUAUGCGAAAAGCUCAAUUUCGUUUGAAUUCAAAACAAACGGUAAUUGACUCCUCUAUUUUCAUCAUGGCUUAACUAAUGCUUUAUAAAGUGACCAUAGAGACGCCCUUUUCAUUGUAGGUUGAGUUGCUCUACUGAAGUACGAGGCUGCAACUUUUGGUAAAAUGUGAAAGGUUAUUUCAGUUUUUGUAAAACUACCAUUUGAACUGUUCCAUUUCACAUUAUACCCUCAAAAUUGAACUUCAAGUGCAUCAUGCUUGGCAUUGGGCUACAAACAUGUAAACUUUUACUAGUAAGGUUGACCCCUGUUUUAAGGAUUUGCCAACUUUUGAUGGUUACCAUAUCAAUGUCAGCUUAAAGCUAUCAAGUAUCUUUACAAAUAUAAUAUAUAUAUAUUAUUCCUUAAUGAAGGAUAAAAGUAGGCAGCUAUCUAUUAAUGGUACGGCUGAUUCUGAAAAGACGGCUGAAAUUGAAUCAAUGGGUUGUUGGUAAUUGCCUGAUGGAAGAACAGGGCCUAAUGUUACGUGGAUCCUGAUCAAGUUUUAAAUUUUCAGUUGUAGGCAUUACUGAUUAUUGCCAUUUGGUUGUUGAUCCUCUGAUUUUACGGUUGACUGUCUUGCUUAUACGUUGCAAGGUUGGCGGGUCUCAAGUAUGAAUUUCCAAGCCGGCUGUCAUCCAUAAUUAACUAAGUGUUCCAAUCUGUUGAAAGGUGGUUAGCAUGCAGCAUUGAAGACCACCAUGCAGAAGCAGCAGUUUGCACGAGAAAGCAAGGAUGUUUAGUUUCAUUUGAAUUUUUUUUUUUGUUUAUGUAAUGUAAUCUAGUUCAUUUUGAACUAUGAUAAGAUGAUAUUUGAUGUAAACUUGAUGGUGAUUGAGCUGUUUACCAGCUUUAUUCAUUUGCACAAGUUAUCAUUCCAAUUUACUAGGAAACUUAGUGGUAGUAGGUAUAGUUUUGGUUAACCUACUGUCUUGACAAGCUAGAAGCUUGAUUUAUGUAUUGGCAUUAAGCCUUUUUUUGAUGAAUGAAUUUAAUCAAGUUUUCAUUCAAAAACUCUCACCAUUCUCCUUGCUUUAUUCUUUUUAGUUUUCUGCUUGUUUCUGCUGCAAGUCACGACACUUGCUGCUCAAGCAAUAGGCUGAAACUUGUUGUUAGUUGCUCUCAGCUCCAACAGAAUCCAUGGAGUUUAUGGUUUAUUAGUGUAACUGUCCAUUUGGUUGUGGAUUGGUUCUUAAGGUGUUUUGAUGCUUGUAUGUUACAGUGCCUGCUCCAAGCAACACCCUUUAAUUUCUAAUGAAUUUUAUUUGUUGAGGAAAAAAAUAUGAGGAUUAAUCUGAUAUUUUAUGUUUGGGUUUAUGAAGAUUUUUGUACCUUUAAUGAAAAAAGCAAAUAAAAUAGAGAGGUACAAGAUCACAUCCAUAGAUCAACAAAGGGGUUUAAUAUUUCUAUAAAAAAAGUUGUCCCAAAAAGGCCUUCUAAUGGGAAUUGAAAAAAAAGCUUGUAAAAAUUUACAAAAGGAAUUGAUGAGAAUCUGAUACAGCCAUCACAUGCGACAGCUUUCCCUUAAAAGCAUUCGUGGCUGAGUCUAGUCUUAAUUUUUAUUUGUAUCUUUUAUAUCCGUUUUAUAAUUCAUAUUUAAGAUUUGUAUUAUGCGCUUAAUAUUUCAUUAUUUGUUGUCUAUGAUGCUCAUUCUUGAAAAAAAAAACAAACAAACAAAUGCAAUGCAUGCAUAAACCAUAAAAAAAAUAAAGAACAUAAGCAACUAAUAAUGAAAUAUAUUAAAAUGAAGACCGGUAAUUGAUUUAAGAAUUACCCUAAUUUCGGUAAAUAUAUUAAAACAUGUGUCCCUAAUCUUUUUCAAUUUUGAUAUUGAAAAAAUUGGUAUUCUUAAAAUUAUGAGAGUUAUUCAAUUAUUUUCAUUUUUGAAAUUGAUAAAUUAAGGACAAUUAAUCACAACGUUAAUGUUUUUAUCAAUUAUAUAUGAUUUUCUUGAUAUAAUGAUAAAUUUAGUCCUCAAAGUUUACACAUUCUAUCAAUUUGUUAUUGAUUUAACAAAUUUAACCCACAAUAUUUACACAUUUCGUCAAUUUGAUCAUGAUUUAACAUAUUUAACCCGUAAUAAUUAUACAUUCUAUCAACAUUUACGCAAAAUAUAUAAUCAUCAAGGAUUAAAUUUGUUUUUAUACUAAUCAAAAUUAUGUAUAAUUAACAGAAACUAUUAGCGCUUGAUUAAUUGUUCGUGGUUACUUUCAAAAAAGAUAAGGAUUAAUUUGUUCAAUAUCAAAAAGAUGUUUUUUAUUUUUAUUUUUUAAUUUCAUAGGUAAGAAAAUCUCAAAAAAAAGAAAAUCUUUGAAAUAAAAAAUAGAAUGUUUUAUAUAAUUAUUUGAAGUUACUCUCACGUUAUUUUUACCCAUUCAAAGCUAGCAAGUCUUUAUGUACAAAAUGGUAUAGCUCUGCAAUUUGGAUUAACAUUUUGGUGACCUCCAUGUGAAGUGAAAGAAAAUUGAGAAUGUCACACAAUUAUUAUUUUUGCCUCCAUACCCCUAUGCCACCAAAGAAAGUUGAAUUAUUAAGGCACAAAAGUACUAAGGAGUAGGAGCUAGAAAAAGAGGGGCAUGAAAAUAAAGAGACUUACAUUUAUUAUUUGCAUAAUACAAAAUCAGUCUUUAAUAUUUACAUAUUUUAUUAAUUUGAAUUUUAUUUUUAUUUAGUUAAAUUUAACUUUAAACCCUUUAAAAAAAGUUAAAUUUGAUCAUCAACAUUUUAAAAAGAGUCAAAUUAUUAUUUAACGGAAAUGUUAAAUUUUGAAAUACAUAUAACAAUUCGCGUGUAUUUCAUAUUAUUUUUUUAAAUUUUUUAUAUUUUUUUGAAAUUUUUAUUUUUGAAUAUUGUUAGAAAAAUAUUUGGAACAUUGUUAGUGGAGUUUUUAACCUCCACCAACAAAAUUAAUGGGUUAAUAAGUGUCUUACAGGGAUAUAAUAAAAUAUUAAUAUAUAUAUAUUAAAAUAUAUAUAUAUAUGUUAAUUUUUUUAAAGUUGUGGAAUAAAAAUAAUAUAUUAUUGGCAUACCAAAUACUCACCUUUUUAAUUAAGAUUUAAAAAUAAAAAAUAGUUAGUAAAAUGAAUGGAUUGCAAAUUGAGAAAUUUGAUAUUGAAUAUUAAAAUUUUCUUAAAAAGAAGACAUAUAGCAAGAUAAGAAAGUUAGUGAUUUAUUUGAUUUAAUUUUAAUUUUUAAAUUGAUGCAUUUUAUUAUGAAUUUUUAUUCUUUGUGUAUUUUGUAUAAUUUGUUUGAAAUUUUCAAUUUUCAAUUUCUCACAUGAGUUUGAGAUAUAAAAAAAAUUACUCUUAGGAUUGGUGAAACAGUGGAUACAAGAGUUCAGCUUAUCAUAUAUUGAUGAUUUUGUUCUUCGAAAUAUUGUCUACAGAUAGGAUAUCAGAGUUCUAUUAAUUAGAGUUCCGUUAAAAAGUCGAAAUUUCUAUUUUAGCCUAGGACUCUAGGAGUUCUGUUAUCGAUAUUCUAAUUAUGAUCAUGAUCUAUAAAAAAUAUGAGUAACAUGUGAUACGUAAAUGAAAAUUUUUAUGAUAUGAUAAGUCAUAAAUUAAGUGAAAAUGUAUGAAAGUGUAUGAUUAUAUGAAAGACAAAAAUAAUUAAUUUAAUUUAAUGAUCUGUAAAAUUGAAAAAUGAAAUACAUGAAUUAUAUAAGAGAAUGUUGACGAUCAAUAUGUGGUAUGUAAAUGAGAAGGAAAAAAUUAUAUGACCAAAUACUAAAAUAAAUGAAUAAUGAAAUUAACUAAAUACUUUGUAAGUUCAAUAAUUUAAAAAAUUGUUAUUUUUCCCAUUCAAAGUUGAAAAGUCUUUUAUGUGAAAAAUAGUGUAGCUCUUCAAUUUGGGUAUAACAUUUUGGUCUUCUCCAUGUGAUGUGGAGGAAAAUUGACAACAUCACACAAUCAAAUCCAUUUUUUCUGCCAUACCCUUGUGCCUCCGAAGAAAGUUAAAUUAUUAAGGCACAAAAGUACCAAGGAGUAGAAGCUACCAAAAGAGGAGCAUGAAAAUAAAGAGAGAUACAUAUAUUACUGGCAUGAAAUAUUUACAUUUUUUAUUAAUUUGGAACUUCUUGCCUUUUACUACUAGCUUGAUUUGUAUCAUCGCUCUCACCUUUUUGAGCUUGUAUCUGAUAGUGAAACCAAAGAUUAGUGAAAGCCUUCGCACCAAAACUGAGUUCUAGGAACUGCAAUAGGAUCAAUUUCAACAACUCUAAUGGGAUAUUAAACAUUCCCAACUCUUAAGAUCACCAUCUCAUCAAUUUUACACAAUUAAAAUGAAUGUUUCCCUUCACAAAAGGUUUAGGAUGAGCAGCACCAUCGUCCACACUAAUAAAACUUCCCCAGUGAUUGGCGAUGUUUUUAAAUGUAGAGAUCGGACAAGCAUGGAUCGGAACCCCUAAAGUUGUUCUAUAAUUAACCAAAAUGUUUUCAGACCAUGACUCAACUUUUGUGAACCACCUCAUCGAAAUUUCAAUAAACUCUUUUAUAACCUUCUCCACCGUUAAACUCCAUUAGCAACUUGGAGGCCACCCUCUUCUAACCGCAGAGCAAGGUUCUCAAGAGUACAUAAAUCUCUACACCAUCCCAUAAUACAAAUUGUAGCUUAGAAAGUUUUUCUUCCUCGAUAAUCCCAUCUAUAGGAAUUGACUCUAUCUCUUUCUUACCUGUAGCCACCUCCUCCAUGAAACAAUUCUUGUUUAUAGCUUUUUCACCUCCGAGGGUUCCACUCGUAUCUAGAGAAUCCUUUGAUACCUCCAGAGCCUUUGAAGCGUGCAAAGUUGACCCAUAUUCUAUGUCCAAAUAAAUGGAACCGUUCAGACGAAGCGUCGCCCUUCUUGCAUCAGUAAAGUUUGCGAAUCUCACAAAACCAAAUCUUUCUCCUUUUUAUGAAGACAUCCAUAACCCUGCCGUGAUACUCGAAUAUCUUCCAAAGACCUGUCCAUUGCAUUCGUGGAGGACGAUUCACUACAAAAACAGUAACACAACUCUGUCCAGUGUCCACCACCCAACCCAUUACUCAUUAAUAAAACUCCUACUUCAUCACUUAACUAAAGCUUUCUUUUUGAUAUUUUUAUAUAUUUUAAUUUUGUUUUGUAUUCAAAUAAUUUGAUAAUUAACUUUUAACAAUUAUCCCAUAGUUUUUACUAUAAAUUUAAGGAAGACAAUCUUGAUAAAAUUAGUUUGAGGUAGGAACAGUUUAUUGGAACAGCGUAGUCUUUUAUAGGAUUAAAAAUAUUAAUGCAAGAAAUAAAAAACAAGUGAUUAAAGGUUUAGAACAAGCAAUCAAACUUAUUUUAUGUUAAAAUUUUCGAACAAUAUGAAAAUAUAUAAUUUUAAUUGUUCUUUUACCAAUUAAAUUGAUUUUUGACAGGUUUAACUAUUGACUUAAAAAAGAGUGUUAAUUUGAAUGGUUAAAUGUAAUGAUGCAUGGUUUGUCUGACAUCGUCACAUGGAAAAUGGGAUUAAAAAUGGAAAUUAAGCAAAGGCAAAAUGAAUAUAUUUAUUGUUUUCUAAUUUGGUGUAGGGUGCCAUAUUUGUUGAUAGCCACUCACUAAUACAUUAUAAAUGGAAUAAUUGCCUAUUUUACCUUUUUCAUGAAAUUUAUUGACAUCACCAGCUCAUUUUUCAACCACAUUACUCAAAUGAUUGACAGAGAGAGGUAAAAGUAAUUUAUAAAUGUAUUUCUUUUUUUUCGAGUAUAAUUUGUAUUUAUUUCUAGCCAUUUUUAUAAAGUUAUUGUUUAAAAAAGGGGUAAUUAUCAAAUUCAUAUAUGAUUUGGAUCCAAUGUACAAUUUGAUACAAACUACAAUUUGGUGUAAUUAUACACAUAAACUUGAAUUGUGAUUCAUAUGAGCACAUGAAACUUUGAUUUUGAUUCAAUUGUAUGCAUUUAAUGAAUGUAUACGUUUAAAAAAAAUGAAUAUUUACAUUUAUUUUCAUAUUUGAUUAUAUACAGGGGCGAAACCAGAAAAUUCUUUUAGGGGGCUGAAAUUAAAUUGUAAUUUUUACGAUAGCAAAAAUGUAAUUUCACCAUUUUAAUGGCCUAUAUCUUUAUAAUUUUUAAAUGAUUAAAUCAAAUUUUAUAUUUUUAGCGGAGCAAAGUACAAUUUUACCUUUACUAAUUUAAAAUUUUAAAAGGCCUAAAUAGAAAAUUCACCAUUUCAAGGGGACUGAGACUAGAGGUGAUCAUGGGUUGGGCCCACCCGAAAAAUAGGAGGGUCCAAGUAAAAAUAUAGACCCAAAAUAUGGGUUUCGGCAAAAAAAGAAGCCCGUUUAAAAAACGGGCCGGGCUCGGGUAAAAAUUUUUUGGCCUAGGCCCAACCCGACCCGGCCCGAAUUAUAUAUUAAAUAUAUAUAGUUUUUAUUUUUAAUCAAAUAUGUAUUAAAUAUAUACUUUUUUGGUGUUGUACAAUUUGAUAUGGGUUGGGCUCGGGCUUAGCAAUUUUCUUUUGGGCCGAGCUUGGAUAAAUUUUUAGGCCCAUAUUUUGGGCCCAGCCAAGCCCGAGCCUAAAAAAUGGGCCUAAAAUUUUGUCUGGGCCCUGCUCAGCCCAUGAUCACCUCUAACUGGAACCCCUGUCAGCCCCUUAGUUUCGCCCCAAAUUAUAUAAUAGUUUGUAUAUGCAAUAUAUCAACGUAAAAUUGUGCUAAUUCAAUAAUAUUGUUAGUGAUUUCUGAAAAUUGAAUCAAAUCAAUAUUUCAUAUAUAAAAUUGUACAAAAUCAAAGUUCAUAUACAACAUAAAUAAAUAAAUAAAAAGUUCAUAUAGAACAAUAUACAUUAAAUCAAAAUUUAUAUAUAAUUUUGAUAUUUAUCUCAUUCUUUAUUAAUUAUAACGUGUGAACGAGGUGAAUCCAAAUUUUGUCAUUUAUUUUCCUACCAUCUUUGCGAAAUAAAUUUCAACUUAAGAAGGAAAAAAUAAUUAACAUUUUCAAAUUCUAUCAAGAUAGACAUGUUCAUAGGUCAGACUCUCGGCUUAGGUUCAAAAGUUCACUAAAAUUUUGGGAGGGUUUGGAUAAAAAUAUCAUACCCAAAGAAUGGACUCGAGCAAAAAAAAAAGACCUGUUUAAAAUAUGGGUCGGGCUCGGGCUUGAAUAUUUAAGGCUAGACCCGUUUUAAGUUUAUAAUUUUUUAUAUUAUGUUAUUUUUUAUAUAUUAUGUAAUUUAGAACACAAUAAAAAAUAAACAUAUAGUAAAUAUAUAAUAUAACUCUAAUGUAAACAUUAAAAUAAUAUUAAAAUGACUAUAUAAAAAAUUUCAAUAAAUAAAAAUGUAUAAAUAUUAAAAUAAUAUAAUAUAAAUACUUUUUAAAAAAAUUAAAAAAUAAUAUAAGCGAACCUAAAAUGGGUUUAGAUUAGUUUUUUGUAAAUAUGGGAGUGUUUUGACAAAAUUUUAGGCCUAAAUUUCAAACCGGACCGAACUUAAACAAAUAUAAAAUAUCUUAAUAUCAUGCUUAAACCAACCUAUGAACACUUCUACAUAAAAAUAAUAUAGACGAAUUGAUGUCGUUUAGUUCCACAAGGUCAAACUUCAAAUUAAUACGAGUGUAUUAUUAAAAGUUUUCGUCCUCGCAUUACUUGUAAUUAGUUUAUGUCUUUUAAUUCAUUGAGAAGUAACAAGCAUGUAUGGAUGUCCAUUGUACAGGCCCAUUUUGACCUAAUCCAUUACAACCCAUAACCCAAGCAAAAACAAAACCUACCCAGGCCCAACUAAGCCUAACCCACCAAAACCAAAGCCCAAAUCAGCAACCCAAUUCAGCCCAAUCUACCUAACCCUAGCCAAUUUGUAGAAAAAAGAAACAGCAGCCACCCUAGGUGCGCCGCACCUAGGGCCUUCGUCCACCUACCCCCUGCCACCGCCUCUGACCAGCGCCGCACCUGCUCUCUGCCAUCGCCCAACUGCACCUGCAAGAAGAGAAACCAACACGCAACAACAAAUAGUAGACAUAGAUAAAAAAAAUGUUAAAAUCGGCUAUAAAAGCCGAAACCAGAGGAAUGUAAAGGGUUCGGCCCCUCUUUGACGAUUAAAAGAAAUAAAAGUUUUUUGAAAAUCUUAAAGGUGACUACUACCUUUUUAGAUCUGUUUUUUUUUGUUCUUUUAAAUAUUAUUUUUGUUUUUAAAUACAAACAAAUUAAAAAUAAGAAUAAAGGAGAAGGCUUUUUACCUUACCUGCGCCGCGACGGAGGUGGAGGAAGGCGAACGGUUUCGCCCCAUUUUUUGGGUCUUCGGCUUUCUAUUCAGGAGAUUCAGCCCCGGAUCUGUGGCCUGGAGGCCAUGGACUUCAAAAAAGGACGAAAAAGGUCCGAUUUUGAACCUCCGGCGGCCACACACGGUGGCUCUGCGGCGGAGACUCGUCGGAAAUCUCGAGCCGGACCAUGGCCGGACCUGAGAGAAAAAGAGAGAGUUUUCUCUCUGUUUUUUUAAAAAGAAGAUGAAACUGUUUCUUUUAGCUUUUUUUAGUAUUUAUAUUAAACGUGAAACGACGCCGUUUUAGCAAAAGGAUCCGCGCGUCGACCCGACCCGACCCGGAGGAUCCGCGUGUUUUCAGUUUUUGGGAUAUUUCGCGUGCAGUCCCCCUGAUUUUGCAGCGUAUUACAAUUUUAUCCUUUUGUUAUUUUCUCUUAUUUUUAAUUUAGCCCCUGCAAUUUUAUUUUUAUUUCGACUUGGUCCAUUUCAACGCUGCGUUUUGGGGCUGUGGUUUAUUUGCAGUUUUGGCCCUUUCCUUUUCAGCGCGCGUUGCAAUUCGGUCCUUCUUGUUUUUUUAUUUCAAAUUUGCCUAGUAUAUUUGUUUUUAUUUUGAUUUAGUCCCUUUUUAGCAAUCUUAUUUAUUUUGAUUAAUUAUUUUAAUGUAUUAUCAUUUAUUAUUAUUAUUGUUGCAUUUAUUAUUCUGAUUAUCAUUUACCCAUUCGCAUCGUUUUUGGAUUUGGUUAUACAUACAUACUUAUAUAUAUUUUUAUAUUUUAUAACUUAUAUACAUAUAUCUAUAUUUAUAUUCUUUACCUUCACAAAUAUAUGUAUACGUACCUAUAUAUAUAUAUUAUUUUAUAUAUAUACAUCCUUUUACAUUUUUAGGUUUUUAUAUUUUGUUCAUUAUUUAUUUAUUUAUUUACAAUUUUGUUAUUAUUUUAAAAGAAUGCUUUAACUUUAUUUGCUUAUAUAUUCAUUUUGUAUGCUAUUGAUUUGUCUUUUUUUAUUUAUCUUAUCUUUGAUGCUAUUGCUCGUGUUAUUUUACUUGCAUUAUCAUCAUCAUUUCAUUAUACCCAUUUUUAUUUAGAUUUCGAAAAAGAAAUUUUAGAAAUAAGUAAUAUUCGGUAUUUUGGAUCUUCGAGAGAAUCGAGCCCUAACGUAUUGGGUUCCGACUUUCUUCGUUGAACUUAAAUAAUUGAGAUUAUUCUUUUAAAAAUGAUAAAAAGCUCGUUACCGAGAAUUCAAUAUGUUGUGUCCUAACGCAUUGGAUGUGACACGUUAUUUUUUCGAAACGAGAAUUUUUCUAAAUAAAUGUAAUAUUCAAUGUUUAAUAUUUUGAGAAAUUGUGCCCUAACGUAUUGGGUUGCGAUUUCUUCAUUUGAUUUAAACAAUUGAAUAUUCUUUUAAACUUUAUUACACGAAUUUUUUCAAACUCAAGUUAAACGAUAUCGGGAAUUAAAAAAAGGAUCGUGUCCUAACUUACUGGUCGCGAUAUCUUUUUUUAAUCCAAGAUAGUUAAAUAUCUUUUAAAUAAGCAUUUUUCAUUCGCGUAUCGGGAAUUCGAGACAUUGUGUCCUAACUUAUUAGAUAUGAUUCUCUUUCUCGAAUAGCGUGAAAUAUGCCCCUUUUUCAGAAAUUUUUCAACGUUUUAAUACAAGGAUCGUAUUUUUAAAAUUCUUCAAAGUUCUCAAUUUUCGACAUUAAGACAUUAAGUAGUCAAUUAGGUACCAAUUUUGGGCGUAUCGAGGGUGCUAAUCCUUCCUCGUGCGUAACCGACUCCCGAACCCGUUUUUCUGAAUUUCGUGGACCAAACUUGUUGUUUUAAUAAAAUCAAACCGUUUAUUAAAAACAACUAAUUUUAAGGUGAUCCAAUCACACCUCAUAAAAAAGGAUUGGUAGCGACUCCCGUUUCUUUUUUCAAAACCCAAGUCGACCCCGUUUUCCAUCCAAAAAAUGGUGUCAACAUCCAUCUUCUACCAUAGUUGUCUUCUAAAGAACUUUAUAAAGGGAAGCUAUGCCACUCUAUUUAAGGGUUGGUUUUGGAGAUUAAAGUGUAAUUUUAUCAUCAUAUUAACUUAAGUUUUUUUUUUAAAUUUAAAAACGUGUAAAUGGUAAAUUUACUAUUUUUGGAAGGUCAAGGCUAUUGCUUCCCCUUAUCUUUGCCCUGCUAGUAGUUGACUAACACGGUCUCAUACAGUAAUACUCUUAUCGAAUAUAAAGCCUUGUUUAAAUGGAGAUAUUUAUAAGAGGAAAAAUACUAAAUAAUGCAAGCUCGCCCAUGCCUGGUCACUGUGAGCCCCUUUGUGAGGAAGCACCUGAUCUUCUCUCGAAGUUACGAGGUUAUUUUGUCAAGUUCUUUAGAGAGAGUUGUCUCACACCCCUAGGUAUUCUCUACCUACCCACUUGUGUCGGUUUUGGGUACACGUACCCUUUUGAUGAAGGUCGUUCAAGCUUUUCCUGGAAGUAUAAUUUUUACUUCCACUUACAAUUUCAUAAAAUAAUAAUUUAUCAAAUCAAAAUUAUUCAAAUACAAAUUCAAAAUAUUUGAAUCAAAAUUAAAUUGGAGCUCCUCACUCAGGCUUCUACUUUUGUGCAUUGAUAAUUCAGUGGCAGCACUUCCCCCUUGCCUUAAUUGUUGAAAAUUGAAUAAAAAUUGUACCUUUCAUUUCCUUCCCUCAGACAAGUUGUUCAUUGUUGCUCCCACUCUUCAGUCUUCUCUAAAAUAAUGUAGGAAUCCCAAGUCACUAUAAUUAGGUGAUGAGGAUGGUACUUACUUUUUUUCCAAUAUCAGGGUAUUUAUCGUUAAUAAUAGUGAUUGAUUUUUUUUGUUGCGAAUUUGUACAAGAGCUUAUGUAAGAGUUUAAUAUAGUUCAAUGAUUAUUUUAUAAUUUUUUAAAGUUAAAUAAUCAAAAUAGAAAUUAAUUAACAAUUUAGCUAGAGAGCUUACACGUAGUUUACCCAAAAACAUAUCGACAUGAUCCCCCAUUGGAGUCCGAAGCCAAAGCUCACAAAUUGGGUUAACAUUUGACAUUUGGGGUUUCAAAUUGAGAAUUAAUUGAAAUAGAUAACAAUUAGCAAUUAAUUGAGAAUAAACAAAUUAUAUUCCAUAUAGUGUAGUAUUGAAUAUAUGUUUACUUCAUUAAAGGUCUCUUUUUUAUUCAAUUAAUUUCUCCAACUCAAAUUUAGCAACUUAUUAUGGUACUAUGAGAUUAUAAGAAUGGUUUUUGGAAGUAAAUCAGUGAGUGAAGUUGUAAAAUUACUGAUUUUCGAUUUAAUUACUUUAAUCAUUGGUCUAGUUUCAAUUAAAAAAUUUAUUCAUGAUUUAGCCUAUAAAUUAUAUAUAUUCUCUCACUUUAGUCUAGUUUAGACUUGCCUAUGGCCCUGCUCGAAUGUCCACCUGAAAAGCGAGAUGAUUUAGGUAAAUAUAUAUGCCCAAAAAGUUGGUCUGGAUAAAAAAAUAAUGCUCGUUUUCUAAACGGAUUGGGUCUCAGGUAAGCUUUUCUUGCUCAACCUGGCCCGAAUUUGCAAAAAAAAAAACUAUUGUUGUUUUUUUUACUAUUUUAUCAUUGUUUUUCUAUCAUUUCGUUAUUAUAUUGCUACUAUUUUAUUAUUAUUGUUUGAAUAAUGCAUAACUCUUGUUUUAUUACUAAUUUUGCUACUAUUUUAGGGAUAUUUACUUUUUAAGUUACACUUAUCUCAGUGUUAUAUAUUUAAGUAUUUUUUUUUAAUUUUCAUUUGUUCGGAAACAUUUAUUUCAAAUUUUUUAGUGUAUUUGAUGAAUUAUUUUUUAAAAUUUAUUUUUAUAUUAAAAAUAUAAAAAAUUAAUAUGGGCAGACUAGGCUUUUAACAUUUUAAUCUAAGUUGGGCUUGGAUAAAAUUUUAAGCCUAUUUUUCGAGCUGAACCGAGCUCAGGCCUAGAAAUUAGGCCUAAAUUUUUUACUUGGCCCUAUCAACCCAUGGACAACCCCAGUCUAGUUUCAGUUGGGAAUGAGAAUUACUACUAUUUUGUUGUUAUUAAAUUGUUAAACCAUUGUUUUUUUUUUUUGGUGCCACUUCAAAAAGCCAUUGGGCCUUAGUCAAGACGAGGUAACAUAGAAUAGUUCAGGGUCCUAACUGGAAAAUAUCCCACAUUGAUUAUUGUGAUGUAGAAAGUGGAAAAUAUGUAACGAGCGUCAUUGGAAAGAUGUAUGUCAAACUAGUGGAGCCAUAAAUUGGUAGUUUUCUAAGGUUGGUUUCAAAAUGAAGGGGGAGCUCCCAAGUCAAAAUAAAAUUGUUUAGUAUUUUUUAGUGUUUCCCUUUUAGACAGGUUAAAUUGUGUAUUUAUAUGUAGGGGUGUUCAUUCGGUUAACCGAUCGGUUAAUCGAAUCGAACUUUUUUAAAAAAAAUUAACCGAACGAAAUUUUUUCGGUUAAUUCGGUCGGUUAAUCGAAAAUUAUAUGUUUUUUUAUUUUUGGUUAAAAAUUAACCGAAUUAACCGAAUUAACCGAAUUCCCGAAUUACCCGAAUUAACCUAAUUGAAUCAUACAUAAUUAAAUUAUUUUUAGACUUUAAUACUUUAGUUUUAGUUUUAGUUUUAGAAUUUGUUUUUAUUUAUUAAAUUAUUUGUAAAUUUUAUGAUUGGGUUGGUUUGGGUAAUUGGGUUGGAUUGAAUACUUGGAUUUGGAUUGGGUUUAGGUGAAUAGUGGACCUAUUUAUAUAUUAAUAAUUUUAUUUAUUAAUUUUUUCGGUUAACCGACCGGUUUCGAACCGAAUUAACCGUUAACUGAAAAUUCAUAAAAAAAUUAACCGACCCCCGACCGAAAAAAUUCGGUUAACCGACCGAUUACCGAAUUUUUUCGGUUUUACCCGAAUUAUGCACACCCCUAUUUAUAUGAUAUGAUUACUGUUCACAGAUAUGAUAUCGUAGGUAGGUUCCCAUGCAAAUCAACGUAUACCCUACUUUAGGUUAACAUGUAUUUAUAUGAGGUGGAUUUACAUAGUGCAAACCCACAUCAUGCUGUCUCGUAGAAGGUUGCAAACACCUUACAUGCGAACUCAAAGUGCGAACUGUAAUGGAUCAGUAAUAGUGAAUAUCAUAACAAAAGUAAAUUAAAAUAUUUAAUUCCUUCCAAAUAUUAAUUUCAAUAAUUAUUCAACUCCUAUUAUUUUAUCCUUUUGUAUAUUGAAUUCCUCUAAGCAAAGAAAAUAUCCAAAUUAAAAUUUUUAAUUUUUUUAGACAUAAUAUCAAAUUUAACCUUCAACGUUUACAUUUUUUUGUCAAUUUGGCAAUUAUUCUUUUUUGAGCUAAAUUUGACCCUUAAUCUUUCAAAAAAGAGUCAAAUAUUUUUUUAUGAAAUCUUUUUUUAAUGAAAACAUUAAUAAAAACAUUAAUUUUUUUAACAAUAAUGGUGUGGCAACCCGCAUGGUAGUCCACGUAUACUUCCAUACUAGUAUGACACUAUUUGUAUUAUAUGUCAUGUCAACAAAUAAUUUUAAAAAAGUAUUUAAAAUUCAAAAAAUUAUAAAAAGCUCAUAAUAUGUAAAAUAAAAAAGCAUGAAGUACAUAUAGAUUGUCAUUCAAACUAUCAUAUUUGAAAAUUUAAUGUUAUAAUCGAAAUUUUUUUUAAAAAAAUAACAAUUUAACUCUUUUAAAAUAUUAAUGGUUAAAUUUAACUUUUUAAAAAAAAUUGAAAGUCAAAUUUAGCUCAAAAAAUAAAGAUUAAACUGACAAAAAAUAUAAAUGUUAAAAGGUUAAAUUUCAAAUUAUAUCAUUAUUUUAUUAAACAAACCUUAUUAAAAAUGUAUUUAAAUUUUAUAAAUCUUAUUAAAAUAAUAUUAAUAAUUAUUCAACUCCUCCACACAAAGAAGCAUCCAAAUUAAAAAUAUAUAUUUAAUUCCUUUCAAAUAUUAAUUUGUUCAACUUCUUAAAUUAAGUAAUUAAUCAAUUUUCGUUUUAAACAAAAAACCGGAUAGGAAAACCAUCAUUUUCUCGGGAAACAAACAGAGAAAGCUGCAAACUUUCCAAAUAUAUACCUUACUCGAAAAUCUGCCACGUCUUAUCCUUGAUAUGAUGGUUUCUAACAUUGCCACUUGGCAAGUUAUUCAGUAACAAUGCCAAUCUGCCACCAUUAUGCUUUUCCUUGCAGUACAAAAUUCCAGGAUGCCUUUACUUCUUUUGCCUCUUGGAUCAGCAUUUACUAUCACCAAAAUCAAAAUCCCAACUUUGAAAAAAAAAAAGUUUAAUUUUUAUCCUUUUUUUAAAAAAAUUUAACAAUUUUUUAUUUUCCAUUGUCAACCUUGUAAAAUUCUUUUAUAUUUUUAUGUUUUUAGUGGGAUUUUUACAUUUGUUCCAAAUUAUCAGUUUGUCAAGUUCUUCAUGCUUUCCAUGUCCCAAAGGAUCACAUUUUAUUUAAGAAAUAGAAAAAGACAUUAUUUUUGUUCUUCAUGCAACUUAUAAGUUAUAGAGAAUGAAUUUCUUUGAUUUUAGCAACUAAUAUUAUGAUUCCAACAUUUAGGGUUUUAUAUGUUUUUUUUUCUGUAUGAAUUUGAACUUGAGUUAGCCAUAAAAACCCCACCUUUAAUCUCAAUAUAUGAACUUGGCUUUGCUUCUUAUGGUUAUUAUUGUUUAAUUUAAUUAAUGUCUUGAAAGGGUAUUCUAGUUUAAUUUAAUUAACUAGUCCAUUUAUUUUGAUUGAUAAUGAUGUUGCAGGUGCUUAAUCUUUCCAUUGAAAUGGAGAAAAUCAACUACCAGGACGAGCUGAAGAAAGAGCGUAGGCUUGUUCGGAGUCUCGUAUACGAGAUCGGUUACAGGAAGGAACAGGUGUCCGAAAUGGAACAUAAAUAUGACAAGACAACCACGGCUUUUCAAGAACUCGUUGAUGGCCUUGUAGCGAAAAUUGACUCCAAGGACAGUAGUUUGCGGGAUUGGGAGCUUCGAUAUAAGGAAAUGGGGAAAUGGUACAUAAAUAUGAUGAGACGACCGCAGCUCUUCAAGGACUCGUCGAUGGCCUUGUAGAGAAAAUUGACUCCAAGGACAGUAGUUUACGGGAUUGGGAGCUUCGAUAUAACGAAACCGUGAGACAAUUGAAGGGCGAGAACGCGGUGUUUCACCUUGUGUUUGCUAAAGGUAUACUUUAGAUUAUAUAUUGCAUACAUAGCGAGCAGAAGACUAUGCAUUAAUCCAAUCGUGUACGAUGAACAACAUGUCGUUUUCGAAGUUCCAAGGUUUGCAUUUAGAGCUUUGAUUGAUCUUUAGGCUAUUUUACACAUCUAGUUGCUUAGUAUUAGAUUCGGUGAAGAAGUUGCAACUUUAGGAUAGUGAAGGAGACAUAAAUGUCAGGAUUCGAACCCCAAACUCUGCUUUUAUAUCUGUUAUCACGGGAACCGGAUGAACUUAUGGAAACGAGGCUUGGAACCUAAAAGGAAGCAUAUAUAUUUGAGAUAUUCCGAUUUUCUUCCUGUUGCUAAUGCUUCUAUCAUACACAUUAGGAUUAUGUGAUCUUAUAUAUAUACACACGCAUAUAUACGAGAUACUGAUGAAUUUCUGCCUCCUGUUAUUGCUUAUAUCAUAUGCUUUAUGGACUGUUGCUUUACAUUUUUUAUGCAGAAAUUCAGAAGGAAAGGGAUGAAAAUCUUAAGCUGAAGUGCCAACCUGGCUUUCGAACCAAGUUGGUCGAAGAUUAUAUAUCUCGUAAUGAUAACGAUAUGGAACGAAGUAGCUUGUUGAAUGAAAUGGAAGGGGUUAGCAUACUCAUCUUAAUUUUGGUUUUCGAUAUAUGAACUAUCUUUUGUCGAGUUUGUACCUUUGUGUAAAUGAAUCCUGUUAUCAUGUUUAGGUUCAACGUUUUUAAUGGUUAUGAUUUGCCGAGUAGACUUUUAACAAUUCGGAUUAUAUCUGAUAUAGCCGAAAGAGAAUGUGGCUUGCCAAAAUCUUAUUGAACUCGAGAAAACUACAAGCGAGCAGAUUACUGCUCUAAAGAAAGAGUUGGAGGAAAAAUCAGAAGCGUUGAAAGAUAUGGAAAACCGAAACAGUUGUCUAACGGUGAAACAAGUCCUAACUAAUCAAGAGCUGCAAGAUGUUCGAAAAGAAUCCAUACGUGUAUUUUUCAUGUUUUCCUUUGCUUCCUCCUAUGUUUCCUCUUCGAAAUCGGGUUUAAACUUGAAAGUGUUAAACCCAAGACUUCUCUGGUUUUUGAUGUGCAGGGUUUGAACGAUUUUCUGAAUAACCAGACUAAUCUUAAGAGUGAAAAGAACGGGAGAGAUUGAUCAAAAAGCAUUCAAAGUUGCUUGCUCGUUGAAGUUCCAGGACGAAGAUUGGCGAGAACCGUGUGCUAAAACAUGUUCAUUAUGUUGUUCCAAUAGGGUCGGAAGCGUGUAAAUUAUUGUACUAAAAAAUCACAAAAAGUUCAAUUCCCAGGGAAGAGAGGUGGAUCACAUGGAUCUCUUAAAUACCAAGUCUUUUCUUAGACAGAAUAUCCCUUCUAUAGUAAUUUAAUAGCACAAUUAAAUACUACUAUUAUACCCUCAAAUAUUGAAAGAAAAAUAGGACAAGAAAGAACACAAGAGAUUUAACGAGGUUCGGUAAAUUAUACCUACGUCCUCGGGCACUAACACCAGAUGAUAACUUUACUAUCCCCAAAGUAUUACAAACAAAUAGAAUUCCUUAAGAAUUCUCAAAUGGGAGAAGAGAGAAAACUAAGAGAGAAAGAUUGGUUGGGAUGAAUUGAAAUGAGAAAUGAGAAGGCCUAUUUAUAGUUGAGGUUCAAGGACCAAACAAUAAAUAGCACAUUAUCUCAAGGACCAAAAAAAAAUUAUCCCUUGCCACUUUUCCAAAGUUGGUGGUUGUCAUUAUUGAUUGUCUCCCAUUAAUGUUAAUGGCAACCAUUAUUAAUUGUCUAUCAUUAAUGUUAACAAUCUCCACCUUGAAGAUUUGAUUAGGAUAAUCACAUCUUCACACACUUCCUUCAACUCCCUAAAUUCGAUAAAGCUAUCUUUUGUAGUGCCUACAAAUGCGCUCUCGAGCGCCAUACACCUGAAGGUGCUCAAAUUCUCAGGAUGUUAAUCAAGUUCAAACAAUGAUUAAACUUGAUUGUUGUUACCACCUUGGUCAUCAUAUCUGCGGGAUUAUCUGCUGUCGGAAUCUUCUAAAGUAGAAUUUUUCCUUUUUCAAAGACUUCUCGCACAAAGUGAUAUCUUACGUCAAUAUGCUUGGUUCUUGAAUGAUAGACUUGAUUUUUCGCUAAAUGAAUAGCGCUCUGACUGUCACAAUAUAAACUUAUGUGACUUUGAACAACUCCUAAGUCUUUCAACAAUCCAUUAAGCCAAAUAGCCUCCUUAACAGCUUCUGUAACUGCCAUAUAUUCUGCCUCUAUAGUAGAUACAGCUACUGUAGACUGUAAGGUAGACUUCCAACUCACUGGGGCUUUCGCAAGAGUAAACAAAUACCCCGUAGUUGAACGACGUUUAUCUAAAUCACCAGCAAAGUCGGAAUCAACAUAUCCAACUACAAACUGACCAAGUGCUUCAUCCUGUUCAAAAAUUAAACCAACAUCUACGAUUUUUCAAAGAUACCGUAGAAUCCAUUUCACAGCUUGCCAAUGUCCUUUUCUAGGAUCAUGCAUAUACCUGCUCACAACUCCAACAGCUUGUGAAAUGUCAGGCCUCGUACACACCAUCACAUACAUCAAACUCCCAACUGCAUUAGUAUAUGGGACUUUCGCCAUAUAUUCUCUUUCUUCUUCAGUUUUCAGAGAUAAUUGAGCACUAAGUUUCAAAUGAGAAGCAAGUGGGGUACUUACAUGUUUUGUGUUUUCAUUUACACCAAAACAUUGUAAUACCUUUUUCAGAUAUUGCUUCUGAUUCAAACAAAGCUUGCCUCUCUGUCUAUCUCUACUUAUCUCCAUGCCGAGAAUCUUCUUGGCCUCACUUAGAUCUUUCAUCUCGAACUCUUGAUUCAACUGAGCCUUCAGCUUAUCUAUCUCUUUUUGGCUCUUCGAAGCGAUUAACAUAUCAUCAACAUACAAGAGUAGAUAAAUGAAAGAUCCGUCAUGCAGCUUCUGCAAAUACACACAAUUGUCAUAUUUGCUUCUUGUGUAUUUCUGCCUUCUCAUAAAGCUAUCAAAUCGCUUGUACCACUGCCUCGGGGAUUGCUUCAAUCCAUAUAGCGAUUUGUUAAGCUUACAAACCCAAUUUCUACCACCAGCAUCUGUGUAUCCUUCUGGCUGAGUCAUAUAGAUCUCCUCUUCUAACUCACCAUGCAAGAAAGUCGUCUUAACAUCAAGUUGAGCUAGCUCUAAAUUCAACUGUGCUACCAAGGCCAACAAAAUUCUAAUGGAGGAAUGCUUCACAACAGGGGAAAAUACAUCAUUGUAGUCAAUUCCCUCCUUCUGAGCGUAGCCUUUAGCUACCAAUCUUACCUUGUAGCGAAUAUCCUUCUUGCUAGGAGAUCCAUCUUUCUUUGCGAAUACCCACUUGCAUCCGAUUUCCCUUUUACCUUUCGGUAAUUGCGCCAACUCCCAAGUAUUGUUCUUCCGGAGAGACUGCAUUUCUUCAUCCAUGGCGCUUUUCCAUUUAUCACUUUCUAAGCUUUGCAUUGCUUCUUGAUAAGUGAUAGGAAUAUCAUCAACAACGGGAAGGGCGUAGGCCACCAUAUCAGUAAAUCGAGCAGGUUUACGAAUUUCUCUCCAUGGCCUUGCAACUGCAACUGGUUCUGGUGUACUUAGUGGUUCUUGGGUCAGAACCUCUUCAACCUCUAAUUCCUCCAUUGUGGCUGGAGAAUUAGACUUAUUAACUGGGCAAAUCCCCAUCUGCUCAAACUCCACCUAUUUUGGAGUACACUCCACCUGCUGUGGAGUAUUGCUCGUCUGAAUAUCUUUAUCUGCUACCUUUUUCAAUGUGGCAGAUUCAUCAAAGGUAACAUCUCUGCUACAGAUCAUUUUCUUUGUGCUUAAGCACCAAAGACGAAAUCCCUUCACUCCAGAAGUGAUUCCCAUAAAGAGAGCUUUUUUUGCCCUCGGAUCUAACUUUGACUCCUUCACAUGGUAAUAUGCAGUGGUUCCAAACACAUGUAAGGAAUCAUAAUCUGUAGCCGGUUUUCCAGACCAUACCUCCAUAGGAGUUUUUCUUUCUAAUGCAGAUGAUGGCAAACGAUUAACAAGAUGGCCAGUGUAUGUCACAGCCUCAACCCAAAAUUGCUUGCCCAACCCAGCAUUGGACAACAUACAUCAAACUUUCUCCAGCAAUGUUCGAUUCAUACGCUCUGCCACUCCAUUCUGUUGUGGUGUAUCCCUAACUGUGAAGUGUUGAACAAUACCAUACUCUUGGCACACAUCGAAGAACGGAUCACUUUUAUAUUCCCCUCCAUUGUCCGUCCUAAGCCGCUUGAUUUUCUUGCCAGUCUGGUUUUCGAUCAUAGUUUUCCAUUUAAGAAAAACUCCAAGCACUUCAUCUUUAGUUUUCAUGGUAUACACCCAAACUCUUCUGGAAAAGUCAUCAACAAAAGUAACAAAGUAGUGUUUUCCUCCCAACGAAGGUGUUUUGGAAGGCCCCCACACAUCUGAGUGAAUAUAUUCCAAAAUACCUUUUGUAUUAUGGAUAGCAGUGCCGAAUUUCACUCUCUUUUGCUUUCCCAGAACACAGUGCUCACAAAAUUUUAAUUUGCAAGCCUUUGCACCUUUCAACAAUCCUUGUUUUGCCAGAAUUUGUAAGGAUUUUUCGCUGGCAUGUCCCAACUUCAUAUGCCACAACUGCAUUGAGUCCAAGUCUUUGUUACCGGAAGCUGCAGCGACUGCUCCAAUAACUGUACUACCUUGGUAGUAAUACAAGUUAUUUUUCCUGAUGCCCUUCAAUAUCACAAGUGCGCCAGAUGUCACUUUCAAAACCCCAUCUCUCAUAGUAACAACUGAACCAUUGGAUUCCAAGGCUCCCAAUGAGAUGAGAUUUUUCUUCAAACUGGGCACGUACUGAACAUCAGUCAGAACUCUGGUUGAUCCAUCUUUAUUCUUUAAUUGGAUUGAACCUAUCCCAACAAUUUUACAGGCAUUGUCAUUGCUCAUAUAAACAACUCCUCCAUUUAGUUCUACUAAAUCAGAGAACCACUCCCGGUUAGGGGACAUAUGAUAGGUACAACCCGAAUCCAAUAUCCACUCAUCUGAAUGGAACGACGAUGAUGAUGCAACCAGUGAUAGUUCAGAGUCACUAGUAUCAUGCUUAGCAACACAAGCAUCUACAGCAGCUUUUCCCUUAUUCUUCAGCUUUGGACAAUUUUUCUUCCAGUGGCCUUUCUCAUGACAAAAAGCACAUUCAUCUUUCCCGAGUCUGGACUUUGACUUUGAUAUCCCCUUUUGAGUUUUCUUCCGAGUGUAUGAACGACCUCGGACUACUAAAGCUUCUGUAUCUCUGAUUGAGUUUUUCUGUUUGUCCUUCUUUCUCUGUUCAUAACUGUAUAAGGCCGCACAGACUUCGCUCAGAGAUAUAUCACUCCUGCCAUGAAGUAGAGUAGUUUCUAGGAACUCAAACUCCUCAGGAAGUGACCCCAACAGCAUCAAAGCCAAAUCUUCAUCUUUGAAUGUCUCAUCCAUAUUCAGCAAAUCAGUGACUAACUGAUUAAAUUUGGUGAUGUGAUCAUUCAUUGUGGUACUUACGUAUGUGAAGCGAAACAGUCUUUUCUUCAAGUGGAGCUUAUUUUGACUGUUUUUCUUCAAAAAAAUUUCUUCAAGUGCCACCCACAACUUAUUUGCAGAAGUCUCCUUUGAAAAAGCAUACAUCUGCUCUCGAGAAAGGCAUGAUCGAAUUGUGCCACAUGCCAACCGAUUGAUCGCCUUCCAAUCUUUCUCCUGUACAUCAUCUGGUUUCUCUUCAUCAAUGGCAAUGUCUAGACCCUGCUGAAAAAGGGCAUCUAGAACCUCACUUUGCCACAUACCAAAAUGGCCCGUGCCAUCAAAGAUUUCCACGGCCAAUCUUGCAUUUGCAAUUGUCGGUCUUGUCCACAUGGACGAUGUUGAAGCUCCUACACCGACCGUUUUCUCCAUAAUCUUUCAAUAUAUCUAAGGAAAUCUUUUCUGAUGUGGAAGAUCAGUUUAAACUGCAACCACAGAGCAUACUACGAUUAACCUUCGGCUCUUGAUACCACUUGUUGUUCCAAUAGGGUCGGAAGCGUGUAAAUUAUUGUACUAAAAAAUCACACAAAGUUCAAUUCCCAGGGAAGAGAGGUGGAUCACAUGGAUCUCUUAAAUACCAAGUCUUUCCUUAGACAGAAUAUCCCUUCUAUAGUAAUUUAAUAGCACAAUUAAAUACUACUAUUAUACCCUCAAAUAUUGAAAGAAAAAUAGGACAAAAAAGAACACAAGAGAUUUAACGAGGUUCGGUAAAUUAUACCUACGUCCUCGGGCACUAACACCAGAUGAUAACUUUACUAUCUCCAAAGUAUUACAAACAAAUAGAAUUUCUUAAGAAUUCUCAAAUGGGAGAAGAGAGAAAACUAAGAGAGAAAGAUUGGUUGGGAUGAAUUGAAAUGAGAAAUGAGAAGGCCUAUUUAUAGUUGAGGUUCAAGGACCAAACAAUAAAUAGCCCAUUAUCUCAAGGACCAAAAAAAAUUAUCCCUUGCCACUUUUCCAAAGUUGGUGGUUGUCAUUAUUGAUUGUCUCCCAUUAAUGUUAAUGGCAACCAUUAUUAAUUGUCUUCCAUUAAUGUUAACACAUUAUGGCAACAUAAUGUGCAGGAUCCGAAUUGGCACCCGUAUAAGAUGAUCAACAUCCGAGGCAACUUGCAUACACCGAUUGCUCAGAAAACCGUACUGUUAUCAAACAUCUGUUGUUCUACGAAAUGCGAGCUGGUUCAUUACUCAAAACUUACAUAUUAAUGGGAUGCCUUCUCGGUAAUGCAGGAAAUAAUAGACAAGGAUGAUGAGAAGCUGAAGGAGUUGAGAAAUGAAUAUAGUGACACAGCGUACGAGGCUGUCAGCACCGCACUGAUGGAAAUGAACGAAUAUAAUGCCAGCGGAAGGUAUGCGAUCCCGGAAGUUUGGAACAGAAAGGAGGGAAGGAGCGCUACCAUGAAAGAAAUCGUUCAGUACGUCGAGCAACUGAAGAUUCACAAGCGUAAGCGAUUUUCUUAAUGCUGAGCUUAGCAGUCCAUUGCUUUCAUGGAAAAUAAGUAGAAUUAUACACAAUCCUUAGGUAGGUAUUAAAUUUUAGAAUUAUAUUUGACAUUAAAAAGAGCUAUUUGUUCAUUCCAGCAUGAGCUCCAAAAUUAGGCUCCAUAUUUACAAACCUAAAUUAAACUUACUCCAUAUUUACAAACAGAAAUUAAACCUACCUACGAUAGUUGCAUAAAAAAAUAUUAUCAAUUUAAAAAAAAAAGUAAUUAAGUUGUUGGUAUUUUUCAUUUAAUUAAAUACUUCACUUUUUAAAAUGUAUCAAAAACUUUCUUUAAAUUUUAAAAAAUAAUAAUUAAAUCUUUGUUUUUCUUUUACAUACUCAAUGGCUACUUCAACUAUCAAAAAAAAAAAAAAAAGAAAAGACUUUUUGACAAUUAAAAGUAACUGCUUUAAUUUUUUUAGUUAAAGUCAUUCAGCGUCACAACCAUACAGGCGUGAUGUGUAAUAAAAAAUUAUAAAAAAUAAAAAUUAAUAAAAUUAUUAAAUUCUAAUAAAAAAUAUAAAAAUAUUUAAAAUUUAUUUAAAAUGUCAUAAAUGUAUAAAUAAAAUAUAUUAAAAAUGUUAUUUAACCACUAACUUUAAUUGUUGACUAGUAAAGUCCAUAAUUUUUUUUUCAAUUAAAGCCAUCAUGUGUCGCAAUGCAAUGUGACCUGUGAUGAAAAAUUAUAAAAAUAAAAAUCAAUAAAAGUUACAGAAAAAUUAAAAAAUAUUUCUUUUGGUACAAUAAUUUUUAUAAUUUUUUUAUAAAUUUUAUAUUUUUAAAUUUUUAUAAUUUUCUUACUAUUUUAUAAAAUUUUAUAACUUUUGCAUUUUUUUAUAAUUUUAAAUAUUUUAUAAUUUUUAAAUUGUUUAUAAAUUUUAACUCUUUUUUAUUAAAAUUUAAUAAUUUUUUAACUUUGAUUUAUUUUUAUUUUUUUUAUAUUUUUUUACAUGUCACACUAUAAUUGUGACCUUUAGUGUUUUACCAAAAUAUUAGGAGUGGUUAAUUUUAACAUUCAACCGCUAAAAUUAACAAUCACAAGACUUUUAACAGUUCAAAUAUUCAAUUGGAUAAAAAAAUUUAUUAUUUAAUAAAAUAUAUUAAAAUAAGGGUUUCGACUCAAAUCAUGAUGAAUUGAGCCAUCGAACUUGAGAAAUUAAAAUGUGAACAGAAAUGGGCUCUUCAAAAACCCUUACCCGAGCCCAAGAAGAUCCCCCAAAAACCUUCAACUUAUAACCCUAAUUUGCCUCUCAACUACACUAUAAAUCCUAUCUUCAACAAGACUCAUUCAGCAUUUAUAUCUUCUAAAAAACCCUUCGUUCGUCUAAGGUUUCUCUUUAGAAAUUUUCUCUUCGCAGAGAGUAAUUUUUGCCUUCAUUUUUUUUUCUCUUUAUUUUCCCAUUUUCAAUCUGGGGUUUUUUCCAAAAUGAGUUAAAAAUCCAAUCUUUACACUAGAUGUGAACCCUAAUCACAUUUAUUUUAUCUGGGUUUUGAAUAAAAUCUACACUUGUUUGUAUACUUAUGAAAUAAAAGAACCAUUUUUAAUGCUUUGUUUCUUAACAAGAGUGCAGAAAUAAAAAGCUUGAUUUUUUGCUUCUUUUAAAACAAAGAAACCAAGGAUUAAGCAGCGGCCAGACAACCGUAGCGAUGAUAUCCACAGAUGAAGGGCUAAUUUCUUCUUUAAUCCCUUUUUUGUCUACUGAUUCCAUCUCACAUUUCGUUUUUUAAGUUUUUAGGGUUCAUCACUUUUGAAUUGAUUGAAAAAGCUCUAAUCAAAGUUGAAACUUGGUUAAAAAAUGGGUUUUUUUAUAUGAUUUUACCAUUUUCAAUGCUUUUUUUUUAUGUUUUUUCAAUUUGUAAAAUCAAAUGAGAAACAAUCUCAAAAAAGAAAAAACGACAUUAAUCUAUCAAUCAAUCAAACUGAUUUUGAUUUGAUCAGAUAAAAAAUCAUUAAAUAUCAUAUUCAUGGGAAUUGCAGAGGUUUACUGUUGUAAUUCUUACGAUAUUUUAUCAGAUAUAUUUUACAUCUUAAUAUAUCAUUAAUAUAAAGUCAAAUUUUUUUAACAGGUUAUAUUUUGAUAUUAGUCCCUAUAUUUUGUUGAAGUUAUGAAUUUAGUCUCUAUAUUUUUUAAAUUUUAAUAUUUUAGUCUUUAUUAAAUGAUAAUUGUUAAAAGUUAAAGUUUUGUUAUUUUUAAAAUCUAUUGCAUCAAACAUAUUAUCACAUGCUCAAUGUCAUGUCAACUUGUUAUUUUCAUGUAUUCUUUACUAAAAAUUUAAGGGUAAAUUAUCAAAAUAGUCACUUUUGUUUGACUCAGGUUACAUUUUAGUUACUUACGUUUGAAAUGUUACGUUUUAGUCACUUAUGUUAUCACGUUGUAACAUUUUAGUCACUGAGCCGUUAGUUUUUGUUAACGGUGCAACAGUAAACUGAUGUGGCACGUUAAAUCAUCAUUUCAAACAAAAAUUCUAGGUUAACUUAUACAAUCGGUCCUCAUAUUUUUUCGUUUUGAGCAAUUUAAUUUUUUUCUUUUAUGUUUUUUUUAACUUUCUUUCUUUUCCAUUCUCUUAUGCUUCUCUCUUUGUUUUCCUCCCUUCUCCAUUUCUUUCAACGUAGUUUUUCUAUGUUUUAUUUUUUUGAACAAUUUAAUUUUUUCGAGUGAGGCGAGCUUGUGGACUAGUUACAAAUGGAAAGCAUAGAAAAACUAUGUUAAAAGAAAUAAAGAAGGGAGGAAAAUAGAGGGAGAAGAAUAAGAGAAUGGGAAAAAAAGUUAGAAGAACAAAAAAGAAAAUUUUUAAAUUGUUGAAAAUGAAAAAAUAUAGGAACCAAUUGUAGAAUUUAACCUAAAAUUUUCGUUUGAAAUGAUGAUUUAAUGUGCCACAUCAACUUAUCGUCCAUUGUCGACAAUUAACGACUCAGUGACUAAAAUGUUACAACACGAUAACGUAAGUGACUAAAAUGUAACAUUUCAAACAUAAGUGACUAAAAUGUAACCUGAGUCAAACAAAAGUGACUAUUUUGGUAGUUUACCUAAAAUUUAAUUAAUAGAUUAACAACUGUUAUUUGAGUCGAAACUAAAAUAUAAAAAAUUACGACUUAAACUGAUCCAAUUAAAACAUAUGGACUAAAUCUACAACUGUGCUUACAAUACAUAAUUAGCAAUUGAAUUUAAACAAUUAGAUUUAACAAUAACUAUUUGUGUUAAAAGACUAAAAUUUAAAAAAGUACAGAGAGUAAAUUUGAAAUUUUGACCAAUUUGAAAAGUACAGAGACUAAAACUAACUAAAUUAAAGUACAAUGACUAAAUCCAUAAUUUUUAUAAAGUACAAGGAUUAAUAGAAAAUUGUAACCUUUUUAAUAAAGUAAUUUUGAUUUUUAUUAAUUUAUUUAUAUCUUUUGCUUUUGUAAAUAUAAUAUUUUUAAAUAUUAUUUUGAUUUUUUAUUAUUUUUCAAAAGUUUUUACUUUUAGAAUGAAUGGUCUAAUUUAACCUUCAGUCCAAUUCUUACAAAAUUGAUAAACACUAACAAUGCAUAAUUUAAUAAAACUUUUCAAGUAAUUUAUAAAAAAACACUCAAAUUAAGUAAAUUAAACACACAUUUCAUUUUAAAUUAAAAUUAUAAAUAUUUAUGUGUUAAAAAAUAAAAAUAAAGUAUCAUCGAAGCUGCGGGCUGCAAUCUUCCCAAGCAACUUCAGCCCCCAUUACUUCCCCACUCUUUUUUUUCUCUUUUUACCAACACUCAGAAAAUCAAAAUUUUACCACACUUUCCCUCAUUUUCCCGGAAAAUAAAAUAAAGAUAUUAAAACCAAACAAAAAUCCAAAAAAGGAACUCGGUGAAGAUUUAGAUUUAGACCCUGAAAUUUUUGCCAGUGAAAGUUUGACCAAAUUGCCAAUGAGAAGGGACAAUGUUCCACGAAGUAGAGGUCCGAUGGUCGCUGCCGGUGACCCUAGACGACAGAGAUUGGCCGACUAAAACGGCGUUGGAUUGCCAGUUUUGGCCUCAGUUUCGGCUCAUGCUCAUCCACUCCGUUUUCGACCCUUUAAUGCUUGCUUUCACGAUAUCGCCGGCGCCGGCCACGUUUGUGAUUAGGACCAAGUUGAAGUAUCGGAAACCGUUGAUUGUGAAUCUGAUUCCUCCUCGUUUCUGGCAUGGCACCCUGAAGAAUCAUACGAAAAAGGAAAUGAAGAUUGGGUCAAAUCUAUUGACACUAAUUGUUGAAGUUCGAAAAUCGGUCUAAUAUUUAAGAAGGUAAAAGCGUUUGAACGGGAUGAGAUCAUCUCAACAUAUUGGUUAGACCGCGAAUCGAUUAAAAUAUCGGAGAAAGUAACUUGAUCAAUUAACUCGAAACUAAUACAAAUCAAGAAAAUUACUAGACAAGUUAACUCGGGAUUUGAUACAUCUAAGUUUGAUUUUUAUUAUAUAUAAUUUUAAUUUCGGUUUUAAAAAUAAAAAGCUAAGGGAAUAUACCUUCUAAAAUAGAGAAUAAAAGGGGCGCAACUGGCUAAUCCUUUGUUCUAUUGGCUAUUGCUAAUGCCUUGGAAGUUGAAAGUGUACCUUACUUUGAUUAGUGAAUGGCCGAAUAUGCUUACAAGAAUAAAUUAAGAAAUUCAACGUGGCUUAACAUACAUUUGUAUUUACUGUCACAUGAAUUUGGAUAACAACGAUUGAGAUGGAGAGAAAAAUCAUAUCCAAUUAUGUUUAACACUAGCAUUACGUACAUAAGCUCACACCGACUGAAGAAAACUUUACAUAUACAAGUAGAAGAAAUUUCCGAAUGAACAAAGUCAGUCUUCGCAUCCUAGUUGUUGUUCCAUUCAAUCUCUGUAUGCCCAAAAGAAAAUGAGAGAAAACAAUUACUACGACUAAUGACAUUGUUGAUAACAGGAAAUAUCAUUGUCAGAGAAUUCAAGACUCAAGAGGGAGCAUAUAUAAUUAAUCUAUACUAUAUUACCAUACAUAUGCCCUCAAAUAUUUUUAAAAUUAAUCGUUCAAAUCUAAAUAUAUAUUUGAAAAGAGUAUACGAUAUUAUAAAGGAUCGUAAAAAUCGAAAUAAUAUUUAAUUCUAUAUCGUCUUCUAGAAAGAACAUGAGCUAUGGUGAUAAAAUAUUCGAAUUAUUCCUCUAAUCUCAUUUAUAUCAUAAUUUAAAUUUGAAGAACUUACGAGUAUCGAUGAGAAAACCCACAGGGUCUUUAAUGAGGGAGUUGUUUUAAUUUCUUGACUUAAAUUCAUUGAUUCUAAGGAAGCCUUUACAAACAGACAUAAUUAUUAAUUGAUCCAAUUUCAACAGCAUAAAGUAGGAUCAUAGGAUAAGGGCUUAGACAGAAACAACUUUAUUCUUUUUCUUUUAUGAGCGAAUCCAAAAAUUUUAUGUUGGGAGUUGUUUUUCCGCAAGUGGUGGGAACGGGCAUCAAUUAUUGCUUAAAAGUUAAGCUUGUAAUUUACAAUCAAGGCAUCCAUCAUUUUCUUCAUCCUGGUUAAUGAUAAUUCGAGAUAAAUGUUCCAUUUCCAGUUAAAAUAAAAAUUUUCUCAAGUUAAUUGUUUGAGGAGUAAAUUUAAAAAUAAUAAUAAGAUUGUUUUCUAAAUUAUAAAAAUAAAGAUACAUCAAAAUUAAAAUUUUAAAAAUAUAAAAAUUUUAAAAAUUAACAUAGAAUACACAUAGAUUGCUAUGUAGGUUGUCGUGUUUAAAAAUUUAACAUUUUAAUUAGUAUUCUAGUUUUUUUUUAAAAAAAACAUCAUUUCAGCUCUUUUUCAAAACUAAUAAAUAAGAUUAGAAAACUAAAAAUCGAAUAAAGAAUCGAAUUUAACUAGAUGUUGAGGCUUGUUUUACACAGUUUCCUUAACACAAAUUUGUCCGCUUCUACGGUACUUGGAGAAACAUUGGUCGACUGUCUCCCAUGAUACAAUAACACGAUGACUGAAAUAGCAUCACCUUUACAUGAAAUUGGCUGAUAUUAUGACGAUACUAGGUAGCAUAGAUAUCAUUAUGGGAGAAGUGGAUCGUUGAAAUGAUAAUUUAUACGACAGAAGUAGAAUAUAUCAAUUCCUUUUACACAUUGGAAUCUUUAAAAGAGGUCUAUGGGAUCAUAUGGAUGUUGGUCCCUAUUUUGACUCUUGUUUUGGGAAUCACAAUAGGUGUACUAGUAAUUGUAUGGUUAGAAAGAGAAAUAUCUGCAGCAAUACAACAACGUAUUGGGCCUGAAUACGCCGGUCCUUUGGGCAUUCUUCAAGCGCUAGCAGAUGGAACAAAACUGCUUUUCAAAGAAAAUAUUUUUCCAUCUAGAGGCAAUACUCGUUUAUUUAGUAUUGGACCGGCUAUAGCAGUCAUAAGAGACCAAUGAACAAACCUUGCAUUUUUCUGUCACCGGAACGUUGGAAAAUAUAGAGAGGAAAAGAGAAGAAUUUUCGAGAGCAAAAUAAACUUGGUUUUAGAGAGUCUUUUAGUGUAAAAAAUUUGAAGAAUUCUUAAGCAUUCAAGAUGGAGGAAUUUUGGAAAUAUCCAUAAUUAAAUAUAUAAAAUUUGUAUUAAAUGAGCAAUUAAAUCAUAAUAUAUGUCUUUUUUAAAUUAGAUUUUAUAUAUAUUUGCUGAGAAAAAUAAAUUUUGUGUUGGGCUUAAAAUAUCUAUCCCUUUUUGGGCCUGACCAGUUUAGACAUUUCACGUUGCCUACGUCGUGCGAGUGCGCUCCAACCCCGAUGGGUUUGGAUCUACACCCCUGCGCGUGAGACAAAGUUUCAAACUUAGUCAUUCAAUCAUCCUUCAAGUGGGUUCUCAUAUAUAGAGACAUCUCACACUUGGUAUUCAAUCAAUGUGAGAUCUAAGCUUUUCUUUUCCUCAACAAAUAUUCACAAGUAACUUACUUUGAGCAUUAAUUUCUCACUUAUCACUCAACCAUUUUGAGCAUACGAUAUACUGUUGUAAAGAUAUCAUUGAGUAGAAUAUAAAAUCAUAAUUUUAUGAUUCAAUUCUCCACCUUUACCAAUUGAGAAUAUGCUUUAAAGUUUCCAAAAAUUACAAUUUUUUCAACAUUUUAUACAUCUAUUUUAAAGGCAUAAUUGAGCCAAGUAGAGCCCGAAUAAUGACAAGUUGAACUUGACUCGAACAUCACUUUUUAAGGUCAAUCUUGAUUUAGAACAUAAUUGAGUUGAUUAAGCUCGUUUAUCAAUUUUUAUAAUCAAACCCAUUCAUAAUUAAGCUCUUUCUAUAUAUCAAGGAUAAAAAUGUAACUUCAUAAAUAAAAAUAUAUUUAAAUGGAAUGCUUAAUUAGGUUUGUGGCCUACUUGAAUCAAGUAUUACAAUAUUUAAAUUCGACUCAACCAAUAGCUCGAGCUCUACUCAAUAAUUUUCAAUAAAAUUUUGAGAUUUUUUGAAUCCAACUCGAAUUGCUUGCAAAUAUUAAUGUAUCACUUAUGCUUUUAAUUUUAAAUUUACAUUUUUAAUUCUUAAAAUAUUAUUAAAACCCAAUCAAUUGAAGGCUUUGUAGAAAGUGGUGGCAAAGUGCAUCCUUUACUUUAGGUCUCACUAUAUCUAAAAAGAAAUUAAUGCGAACCGUAGAAAGUGGUAGGAAUGUGCAUCAUUAUUGCUUUAAAAGAAUUUAAAUCUUUAAACGGAUAGAAUUAAAUUUUCAUAAUUUGGAGGAGUUAAAGUGUACUUCUUUUUACUAUUUUAAAAUUUUAAAAUUUUAAAAUUUUUUAAAGAGUUAAAAUAACAUUUUUUAUUUUAAGAGGGCCGAGCUCCCUGUCAACCUCUAGAUUUACCUCCGUAAAUUUCAAAAUUCAGUUAAAUUAUGUUAUUUUGAAUAAAACGUUAAUUGAUAAAGAAAUUCUUUUAGUUUCAAAAAUUCAAUUUUUCUGUUUUAAAAAAAUAUAUAUUAAAAUUUAAAAUUUAAAAUAUUAAAGUAAUAAAAUUUAAAUAUAUCAAUGUCUUUUUGAUACAUGCAUGAAUGGGGUGAAACUUAUUAGAUUCCAAUCAUCAAAACUGCCAAUUUUCAGGCUCGGAAAAUCAGCAGACUUGCGGCGACUGGAUCCUGGUAUUUUUGGGUUGAGAUGUCUCAUGGCGUUUAAAGAUCUAUCUCUUAGCUUUGAAACGCAUUUUGAAUAACUCGAUUUUGAGUUCGGGAGCUCAAGUUAUGACCGUUUUAGUGAAGACUACGCGAGAAGAAUUUCUGAACGGGAUUAUGACGGGAAUUACAAAUUUCGGGCUUUUAAUUCGAGUUUAAAUCAUAUUGGAUUCGGGUUUUAGACUUAAUUUUUAUUAUAUAUGAGCCCAAUAUUAUAUUUGUCAGAUCUUAUUAUUUUAUUAUUAUUUUAUUCUAAUUUUUUUUAUAAUUAUUAAGUAUUUUAAGUUAUUAGAGUUCUAGUAUUUUAAGCUAUAAAGGCCAGAAAAAUGUAUUCUUGGGGGUGAUUUUUGAAGGUAAAAAAGCAACAGAAAAUCAAUACAAAAUAAUCAAAAAUUUCAAACAAAAAAAGAGAGAUUUAGAAGGUAGUUUUUUUUUCUCUGUUUUUGUUUGUUUUAUUUAUUAUUUUUUCUUUCUUUUUCUAAACAGAAACACAGAAAAUAAAACGGGACCGAAAACUCACCUUUUUAGAGGGAGGGCUGAGAGAGAGUUGAGCAAGAAGAGAAGGAUUUUUUUUUUAAAAAAAUGAGGUUACCAAUGAUUUUUUAAAGUUUUUUUAAAUUAUAUAAACACCCCAAAACGACGUCGUUUUGAGUUUGGCUUCUGACACUUAAAACGGCGUCGUUUCACCCUUGACCCGCGUGCGACCUGACUCGCUCCAUGGGGAUCCUCGUGUUUUCAAUUUUUAGGCUAUUUACGCCUCUGGUCAUCCCGCGUUUUCCGGUUGUUUUAAUUUAGUCCCUUUUUUACUUUUUUUCUCUUUAUAUAUUUGGCCAUUGAUUUUGUGGCGUGUUUUAAUUUAGUCUCUGGCUCGCUAAAAAGGACGCGUGUCAAGGAGAUCGGGUUAUUUUCCCAUUUGGUUCUCGUUUGUUUUCGGGCCUUUCGAAUUAGUCCUUUGUUCUUUUUUUAUCUUAAUUUAUCCUGCUAAUUUAAUUUGAGUAGCAAUCGGGUCCUUUAUUCAUUUAUUUUUGUGUAUCUUUAUUGUGUAUCUUUAUUUAUUUUGCUUUAUUAUUUUUACUUUAUUACUCCUUUUUAUAUAUUUGUUUAAAAUUGGAUUGUGUAUAUGUUUAUUAGUUUUUUUUUUCUUUUGGUUAUCAUUCUUUUACUUUUUAAAUAUUUAAAUCUAAUAUUAUGAACAUUUACUUUAUCUAUUUACUUAUUUAUUUAUUAUUCUUUUACUUUUCAAACGCUUAAAUUUAAUAUUAUUUACAUUUGUUUUAUCUAUUAUUCACUUAUUUUUUCUUUUACUUCUAAAGAAAUUUUAAAUUCGAUAUUAUUCGUAUUUGUUUUAUUAAUUUAUUUUUUAUAUUUCAAUUUAAUGAUAUUUGUUUUAUCUAUCCAUCAAUUUAUUAUAUAUAUAUAUAAUUAGAUACCACUUAUAUUCAUUAAGCAACUUUCAUUUUCAUUUAUAUUUUGAAUUAUUUUAUUUAUUGUGUUGUGGUGUUAUAAAUUGAUUUUUUUAUUAUUGCUAUAUUCACUGUUAUUGCCAUAGUAUUUGGUCAUUUAGUUGUCAUUUAGUAUCCUAAUAUAAAUCGUACUCAUAGUCAUAUCACAUUAUUUCAUUACCAUUGUAUUAUACACUAGGUUCACACAUAUUUAUCCAUUUUUUUAUAGACGAUGCCCGAAUUAAACAUGUAUGCCUUGUAAGUGUUACAUUAAUAUUUUAUUCGGUGCACAAAAAGAAAAUUAUUUUAAAUAAGUAAUAUUUCGUAUUUUAGAAUUCGUAAAUUCGUUCCUUAACUUACGGAGUUUCGAUCUUCUCGAUAAAUCUAAAUAAAUGAACCUUUUUUAAAAACAUAAGUUUUUAAAUAAUCUCAGGAAUUAAGAAGAGAUCGUGUUCUAACUUAAUGGAUAUGGUUUCAUUCUAAAACUGAGAUAAUCGAAUAUCUUUUAAAAUAAAUAAAUUUUCGGUGUUUAUUCUCGUUUCGAGGAUUUAAGGUAUUGCGUCCUAACUUACGGGAAGUAAUCCUUUUUCUCGAUUAACGUAAAAUAUUUUUUUGUAAAAAUUCAAUUAAGCGAUAUUGUAACAAAGGAUGGUAUUUUAAAUCUCUUUAAAGUUUUUAAUUUUCGACAUUAAAACAUUAAUUCAUCAAUUAGGUACCAAUUUUUGGCGAGACGAGUGUGCUAAUCUUUCUUCGCACAUAACCGACUCCCGAACCCGUUUUUCUUAAAUUUCAUAGACCAAAAUCAUUAUUUAAGUAAAAUCGAAACGUUUUAUUAAAAUGAUUAAAUUACAAGGUGAUCCGAUCACAUCUCGAAAAAAUAUCGGUGGCAACUCCAGUUUUUUCAUUUUCAUUUUUAAAAUAAAAGUAGACCCCUUUUGUUUCAAAAAUGGAGAAAGUGUGUUCCUAUCUUUUGUCAGCUUUACCAAAAGGGAAAAUAAUUGGCGAUAGAAUGUUGCUUUCUUUUGUCAACUUUUUAGCUGUAUCCACUAAAUGAUAAGAACUGCAUUCUCAAGUAUUUGUGUUUCUUUAGGAUUCUAUUGUUUACAUCUCAAUUUUUUUUUUACAUUGAGUUGCACUUUGUCAAAUUACUUCUCGCAUUACUCUGUUAAGAAAAUUAUCUUUUCGCUCGUUCGUAACUACGAGAACUAAUCGCUGAAUCCUUCUCUUAUUCGUUGGAAAGGUACGCCAUCUGCUUUCAUUUUGGUUGAUUUGGUCUUACUUCUUGGUUUACAGAAGCUUUACUUUUUGCUCAUUUGAUUUGUAACUUUUUCUUCUGAUUUUGUUUUAAUCUUUGUUGUCGCUGUGGUUAUUCAGUUUACUUCUUGUUUGACCUCUCAAUGGAGUCUGUUACUACCCUAGUUGGCUCUAUUGUCACUAAAGCUGUAGAGUAUACGAUCUCUCCUAUCAAAAACCAUGUCAAAUACCUUUCCAAUCAUCAGCAAUAUGUUGAGACCCUCAAGGACCGAGCUGAGAGGCUGAAAGAUGCAAGGGACAGAGUGCAGCAUUCUGUUGAUGCAGCUCAACGAAACGGUGAAGAGAUCGAAGGGGAUGUUGGCAAAUGGUUGUCUGCAGUCGACAAAAAGAUUCUUGAACAAGCAGAGAAAGUGAUGCAAGAUGAAGAAAAAGCAAAGAAAAAGUGUUUCAUUGGUUUGUGUCCUAAUUUCAGGACUCGUUACAAGCUUAGCCUGAAAGCCGAAGAGGAGGCAAAGGCUGUUGCCGAGCUACUUGAACAUGGCAAGUUUGAAAGGGUUUCCUAUCGUGCAGCUCCGCAAGGUAUCGUGGUUGCACCAGUUAAAGGUUAUGAGGAAUUCGAGUCAAGAACGUCCAUUUUCAAUGGAAUAAUGGAGGCACUAAAAGAUGAUAGCGUCAGCGUUGUUGGGGUGCAUGGUAUAGGUGGGAUUGGAAAAACAACGCUGGUCAAAGAAAUUGCUAGAAAGGUCAAGGACAAGUUGUUUGAUUCGGUUGUCAUAGCAACCGUAACUCAAGCCAUCGAUAUUGAGAAGAUUCAGAACCAAAUUGCAGACUUCUUGGGCUUGAAAUUUGAGGAACAGAGUAUGGUUGGAAAGGCAUUUCGACUACGAGAAAGAUUGAAGAAAGAGGAGAGGAUUCUGGUUGUCUUGGAUGACAUUUGGGGAAAGGUUGAUAUUGAGGAAGUAGGGAUUCCUUUGGGAGAUGAACACAAGGGCUGCAAAUUACUAUUAACUUCUAGAGAGCUCAAUGUUUUAUCAAAUGGGACGGAUGCUCAGAAAAAUUUUCCCAUUGGGUUUUUAAAUGAAAAGGAAGCCUGGGACCUGUUCAAGAAGAAGGCUGGCGACUGUGAUGAAAGUUGCGAUUUGAAGCCUAUAGCUAUGGGGGUAGCCAAAAAAUGUGCAGGACUGCCGAUAGCUAUUGCGACAGUUGCAGGGGCUUUGAGAAACAAAAGAUUGUUUGAAUGGAAGAAUGCUUUACGAGAACUGGAGAGGCCUUCGUCAAGCAACUUCACGGGGAUAACUGCGGCAUAUUCAGCUAUAGAGUGGAGUUUUAAUUAUUUAGAAAGCGAGGAAGUUAAGCGGACUUUCUUGCUUUGCAGUGUAAUAGGCCAUAAUGGUCUCGUUGAGGACUUGGUAAGAUACACUCUAGGUUUGGGUUUAUUUGAUGGUGUCAACACUAUGGAAGAAGCUAGAAAUAAAGUAUUGACGGUUGCGGCUAAUCUCAAAGCGUCUGCCUUGUUGCUUGAUAGUUAUAAUGAUAAGCGCUUUGAUAUCCAUGAUGUUGUUUGGGAUGCUGCUAUAGCUAUUGCAUUGAAGGACUACCGUAUGCUUGUUUUGAGAGAUCAUGCUCCAAAGGAGUGGUCCGAUAAGGAGAAAAUGAAGACGUGGAGUGUGAUCAGCUUACGUUGUCCUCAGAUUAUAGCUAACCUUCCUAAGGAGAUGGAGUGCUCAGGACUUUCCUUUUUCCACAUGGCCUAUAAUGGCGCGGUUAAAAUUCCUCUCAAUUUCUUCAAACAAACCGUAGGCCUGAAAGCCUUAGAUUUGGUCGGAAUGCAGUUUCCAUCCCUCCCUGAAUCAAUUAUUCACCUUGCAGAGCUUCACAUGUUGUGUCUAAAAGGAUAUGCAGUUGAUGACAUAACCAUCCUUGGAGAGCUCAAGAGUUUAGAAGUACCCAACCUUUCUCGCUUAGGUAUCAAAGAACUACCUAAGGAGAUGGCACAAUCGACUCAAUUAAGGUUGUUAGAUUUGCGUGGGUGUAGAGAACUCAAAAUCAUCCCACCGAAUGUCUUAUCAGGUUUGUCUAAAUUAGAAGAAUUAUAUAUGAGUAGGAGCUUUGUUGAAUGGGAAAAGGGAGGAGUAGUUGAAAAUGAGAGGAAAAAUGCAAGCCUUGAUGAAUUAAACAAUUUGCCUUGUCUAACUACUUUAUAUGUUGAUAUUCUUGAUGUCCAAAUGAUACCAAAACACCGGUUUGUAGAAACAUUGGACAGAUUCAGGAUUUUCGUAGGUAAUUAUGGAGGAUAUAAUUGUUGCCAGAAUUAUGAAUCUCCGAAAGCAUUGAAGCUCAAGUUAUAUACAAACAUUGAUUUGGACAAUGGGAUGAAAAUGUUGUUGAUAAAGACAGAAGAUUUGUGCCUAGAGGGACUUGAAGGCGUCAAGAAUGUACUUGUGGAGUUAAAUAAUGGGAAAGAUCUUUCAAAUUUAAAGAGAUUUCAUGUCAAAAAUGGUAGGCACGUCCAACAUAUCAAAAUGAACAAAAUUGGAUUUUCUGAAUUAUGCUUCGUUAAACUUGAAAAUCUACCGCAACUCGUUAGCUUUUGCUCUCCAGACGAAAGGUGUUCCACUAAGCCCUUAUUACUUUUCAAUAAACAGGUAUUUGUUUGGCUUUACUUAUAUUUUCUUAUACUACUUUUAUUUAUAUGCCCAUUAAUACUUCUAAUAGUAGAAAUAAAUAAUAUUGUGUAAUGGUUUCUCCGGAGCUCAAAAAUAAAUUUCAAAUCCAAAACAAAUUAAAAUUUAAUUUUUAAUCCAAACCGAUUCAAAAUCAAUUCAAUAAUCUAAAUUUAAAUCCAACAAUUUUUUUUAAUUCUGAGAAUAAAAUUUGAGCCCACAAAUCGAACUAAAAUUAUCUUUAAAAUAAAAAAUCAUAUUUUCAAAUUAUGUUACAUACUAUCUUUCCCUAUGGAAAAAGAAUUGUGUAAAUAUGUGCAAUUUAUUUUCCCUCACUUGGAAAGCUUGUAAUUGUGUUCCAUUAACACGAAAAGAAUAUGGCACAACCAGACAUGUCAUUGGGUUACGAAUUUGAGGAGCUUGAUCAUCAAAGGAUGCGGCAAGUUGGAGCAUCUGUUAUCACCCUCUCUCGCUAGAAGUCUGGUGCAGCUCCAAUGCUUUGAGAUAGAGGAUUGCAAUUGCUUAAGGGACAUAAUACUUACAGAGGAAAUUGAAGAAGCAAGGAAAGAUGUGAUUUGUUUCCCUCGAUUAAACUCCCUGCAUAUAGAUCGUCUUCCAAACCUCAUCUUCUUCAACUCAGGAAACCACAAUAUUGAGUUCCCAUUGUUGAAAGUGCUAAAGAUUCAGCGUUGCCCCAAGUUAAUAGAAUUCAUUAGUCAGAAUAGUAAUCAGUCCGGCAUGCACGCUCUCUUCAGUGAGAAGGUGAUUUAUUUCAUUAGUCUUACAUUCUUGCAUAAAUCUGUUGAUUUGUCCUUGUUUUUUUUUCUGCCUUCAUUAUUUGAGCUAACCUUAUCAUGGGCAUGGAUUAUAUAUAUAUAUAUAUAUGAAUAUAUAUGAAUAGGUUGCAGUUCCUAGCUUGGAAGACAUCAAUAUCUGGGACUUGAGUAAUGUGAAGAUGAUAUUUUAUAAUGACCUAGCACCAGGUUCCUUUAAAAAUAUACGAAAAAUAAAUGUUUGGGGAUGUGGGAGUUUGAAAAAUCUAUUUCCAGUAUCAAUAGCCAAAGAUCUUCCACAACUUGAACAUUUAAGCAUCACUGAUUGUGGAGUUGAGGAGAUUGUAUCGAAAGGGGAUGGAGUGGAGGAGCAGCCUGUGAGGUUUGAGUUUCCGCAAGUAUCUUUCCUUGAGGUUACAUGGGUAGAAAAGCUCAAAUGUUUCUAUGAAGGGCAACAUACAAUAGUCUGGCCGAUGUUGAAAAAAUUGAGAACAGAUAGUUCUGCUUUGCUAAAGAUAGUGGCAUCGGAACAUCUUAGAUUAAUCCAAGGAAAUAAGCAGCCAGUUUUGUUGGGUGAAGAGGUAUGUAUAUCAUUACAACUAUAUUUCAUUUUAUGAUUUAAACCACUGCCACAAGCAUCUCAAGUUGAAAUAUGCCACGAUAAUGCAUUUCUAAUUUUUAUAUUUUGUUUUAUUUGGAUUUUUUUUUCGUAUUUUUGAAUUUUCAAUAUAUAUUUUAAAUUUUUUGUUACAUUUAUAAUUAUUUUUUCAUUUUUUUUAAAAACAAGACUGAAUAAACAUAAUAAGUAAAUAUUGAGUGAAUGCAAUUCAAUUUAAUAAAAUGUAUAAAUAUUGAGAGUUAAAUUUAUUAUUAUGUAAAAAAAAAGCUUAAAAAAAUGAAAAUAUUUUAUUUGUUUUUAAGUAUCCAAAAUGAAAAUAUUUUAACACUAAGUGACUGUAUAUGUAAUUUACCCUGCAUUUAAGUAGUGGGUCAAAACUAAAUAGAACGUUUAAUUUGCUAAAAACAAUUGCCACUCAAUAAAAAAUCAAAACUUUAAAAGUUAAUUACACUAGACAUCUCAAACUAUGACCUUCAUUUUAAAUUAGUCUUAAAAUUUAAAAUAUUCUAAUUACAUUCUUAAACUAUUGAGGUUAUAUCAAUUACGUCUUUCUCUUAUUAAAUUCGUUAAUUUAACCAUCAAAUUAAAUCAAUGUAAUAUUUUAAAACCUUGGUGUUUUAUCUCCACUAUUCUGCUUAUAUUUUUUGUCAUAGAAAAAUAUAUAUAUAUAACAAUGGUUGUUUAUCUAUUUUAAUCUAGAUUUGCUACUCUUCUUUCGGCUUUCAUGUUCUGUAAUUUUUAUCAGUUUUUAUUCUCAAGGUAUUGUGUUUUCUUAAAACAAAAAAUUCAUCUACUCUGGAUUCAUUUGAUUUAAUAUUGAUUUUGUUGGGAUUUAAUCAUCAAAAUCAAACACUAAAAUUGUAAAUCUCUUUUUUUUGUUUGUUUGUUUUUUUAAAGCAUAUACAUCAACAUUGAGCCUAACUUGUAUAUGUUUAAUUGGUUUCCAAGGUCAUUCCCAAAUUAGAGGAACUUGAGUUACGAAAUUUUGGUGAUAUGGACCAAUUUCCACCAGACUUGUUUCAACAUAUUAAAGUUUUUGCACUGAGUGGUGGCUCUCCAUUUUCUUUGUUUCCUUUCGUCCGAAGAUUCUACAAUCUGAAAAGACUUGAGGUUUCUAAUUUUGAUUUCAAACAUGUAGUCCCUUGUAAAGGAGACGUCGGGACUCUCCCAUCAAUUAGAAAUCUGAAAUUGGUUUCUGCCAGAAAUCUUAAGCGUAUUUGGAGGAAAGAUUCGGAGCUUGACCAUAUUCUUUCUGAUCUUCAAACACUCACAAUUCACAAUUGUGAUGAUUGGAUAAACAUUAGAGUCUUCUCAUCAUCUUUACAAAAUCUCACAAUUUUGAAUGUGUCACUUUGUAAAAUGAUGACAAACUUAGUUACACCCUCAGUACUUCAGAAUCUUGUGCAAUUAACGACAAUGAUCGUAAGAGGGUGCACUAAAAUGACAGAAAUAGUGGGAAACGAGGGAGACUGUCAUCAGACAAUAGUUGUUAGUAAAUUGAAAUGUUUACAACUAUGCAAUUUGAAGAGCCUCACAAGCUUUUGUCCAUGGUAUUACAACUUCGAGUUUCCUUGUUUGGAAGAAUUAGUUGUGGAACAUUGUCCUUGGUUAAAGAUCUUUUCUGAGGGAGUUUUAAGCACCCCACAAUUACAGAGAAUAAAACAGUCGCAUUACGGUGAGAAAUGGAGUUGCAAGUGAGAGUGGUGAUGCAAGUGAAAGCGUGGUUGGCGAAGGGGGCAUCUAUGAUAACACUGCAACUUUUUUCAGCAAUAAGGUAAGUUUGGUAUUCAAUAUUUAUCUGCACAACUUAUUUCACAUUUUCUUUUGAUUUGAUCAACAUGAGUGUGUCUGGUCUAUAUAUACAUACUAGUGCUACACCUUGUCAAAAUUGAAUAUAAUAAAAUCCAUAAAAAUAUUAAUAAAUAAGACAAUAUUUAAAAGAAAAACUGGAGUUUAAAAGUAUAAAUAAAUAUAUAAAAUAAGAAUUGAAGGAAAAACUUAAAGUGAAAUACUAAAAAACAAUAAGAAUUUAAGAGAAGUUUAAAAUUAAAUAGUAAUAGACAAUAAAUAAUAAAAUAACAAUAGAAAAAAGAAAACUAAUCUUCCUUUAUUUUAAUUUGUGGGUGUAUAAGAAGGAGAUAAUUGUGGAAGACCUUCACAAAGGUCAUUUGAGAUCAAAGGAGAAGAAGCAUGAAAACAAAAGGUGAGGAGUUUGAAGAAGAAAGAACCAAAUAUAUGGGUUUGAUUUAAAGAUUUAAUGUUUUUUUUUUAAUUUCAUAUAUAGAAAAAAUCAUUGAAAGAAAAAAAAAGUUCAAUAUAAUUACUUAAAUUUACCUGUCGGUUUUUAUAAAAGUAACUUAAAUUUUUGAUUAAUUAUGAAAAUGACUCAAUUUAAAAAUUAUGUACAUAAAUUAUUCGAUUUCUAUAGUGUUUGUCGGUGCCCCCAGACACAAUGGCGAUAUCAGACUGAAGUGUGAUUAUAUAAAAUGAUUGUAUUUAUGUACAUAAUUUUUAGUAGUGUUGUUGGAAAAAUUGGCGAUAUCAGACUGAAGUGUGAUUAUAUAAAAUGUUCAUGGACUUAACGAAGUAAUUACCCUUUUUUAAUUAGCGGAAAAAGGGGUCUUCCGGUGAAUAUGGGGCACCAAAUUAAAUGAUUUUCAUCUUUUGGUCUAUUUGCAUGUUUCCCUUUUUGAAAUUAAAUUUAGAUAACCCUUAAGAAAUAUAAGAAUAACAAAAAGAAAUCAUUCUCAUUUAUUUUAUUUUAUUUUUAAAAAAUAAACUUAAAAAAUUAUAUAAAAUGCUUAUUUAAAUUACCCAAAUAUAUCCCUCACACAACUUCCUCAAGUUUAUCUAAAUUCAAGCAUUUUCAAUUCAUUCCCUAGAAUAUUUAAAUUUAGAUAAACUUAAGGAAAUUUUUUGAGGAAUAUAUUUGGGUAAUUUGAAUAAGAAUUUUAUAUAAUUUUUUAAGUAUUUUUUUUCAAAAAAAAUGAAAAUGUUAUAGUUUUGUUAUUAUUAUAUUUUUAAGUGCUAUUUAAAUCUAACUUCAAAAGAGGACAAACGUAACAUGCAAAUAGGUCAAAUGUUGAAAAACAUUUAAUUUGGUUCAGAUACCAACGACACCCCUUUUUCAACCAAUCUAAAACCGUUAACCGCUUCAAAAGAUCCCUGCACGUUUUAUAUAAUCACAUUCAGUCUGGUGCCGUCAAUUUAUUAGGCAAAACCACUACAAUCUUUUUUAAAAAGCAAUCAUUGGCUGAUGAUGGAGGUCAAUGCAAUAAGCACGAUAGAUAUCAAGUCAUUUACGUAUAUGAUUUUUAAGUUGGAUCAUUUUCGUAAUUAACCAAAAAAUUUUGGUUACUUUUAACUGCCUAGUUGAUAUGUGAAUAUUAACCUUUAGAUCAGUUUAUAAAUCUUCAUACUCAUCUACUCAUUUUGAUUGUCUUUCAAAGUACAGAAGGAAGACUGAUACUAUCUUAUAAUAAUAUUUAUGUCAACAGGUUGUCGUUCCUCGUUUGGAGCGUCUGGAUUUGUCCUCGAUCAACAUUCAUAAGAUAUGGCACCACUCAUCCUCCCCAUCUAUCGGAUACCUAAAUUUCUUGCGGGUGAAGAGGUGUCACAAUUUGAAAUACCUGUUCCCGUUUUUCUUAGCAAAAGAUCUUGAGCAACUCCGAUUCCUUGGAAUUUUGGACUGUAAUAUGAUGGAACAAGUAAUAUUCACGGAUGGAUUGGUUGAGGAACAUCAAGGGAGGAAUCAGAUGUUUUUCUUUAAUCUACAUUCGCUGUGGCUAAACGACCUUCCCAAAACUCACAAGUUUGUGCUUUGAAAAUUACUUUGAAUUUCACUGUUUAGCAGAUUUAACACUAAGAAAUUGUCCAUUGCUAAAAACAUUCAUCUCUAAAUGUGUACCCGGAGAUGAACCUCAAAUUGGCCAACAUGUACAGGCAAGUAACUUGGAGGUUCAUAACUCAUCUCUCCUCAAUGAAAAGGUAAUUUCUUCAAGGAUCCUCCUUUUAAUUUAUGUUACUUCGAUUGAUUUUAUUCAUUUGAAGUUCUUUCUUUUUCAUACAUAUUUCAGUUAUUAGCCUAAUGAAAUGAUUUAUUAGAUUGUUUUCUCUAGUUUGAAGUACUUGUCGAUUCAGAAUUGUGAUUCGUUAGAAGAAAUUAUUGAGCUGGAAGGACUCAUUGCUGAUGAGUCACAGUCAACAUCAGCUGCUCAAUCUACUGUGGCUGAAACAGUGACGACCAAGUUUGUAUUUCCCAAACUAAUAAACCUUGGAUUGGAUAAGGUGCCAAGAUUGAAAAGUUUCUACUCUAGGAUGCAUACCACCCAGUGGCCUUCAUUGAAACGAAUGAGCAUUAUUGAAUGCCCCAAAGUACAGAUAUUUACUCGACAAUGUCCUGUGAGUCAGGUUGGAAUCUCAAACCAACAACCCUUGUUUUGCGUCAAUAAGGUAAGCUCACGAACAGUUUCAUAUUCCAUGAUCAUUACUUGAGAUUACCUAUAAAAUGCUUUUUGAAAAAACUAAUAUUCUCUCCUCUUUUAAUUUUAUGAGAGUCUAGUUCUUACUAAUUUAAAACUCUUUCAUCGAUGUCUAAUAUAUUCGUUGCCAUCCAGGACACUUUCCCUGUAUUAGAAGAACUAACACUGAAGACGAAUGAUAUGGGGAAGGGGAUAUGUGAUGGACAACUCUCAUUGCAGUGUUUCCAAAACCUUAAGCAUCUUAACCUCCAAUUCUUUCCUGAGACAUCCACUACUCUUCCGUAUUCCUUCAUUCGGUCACUACCAAUGCUUCAUAAGCUUGUUAUAGACAAUGCUUCCAUUUGUCAAAUAGUACAAUCUGAAGGACUCAGCGACCAGGAAUGGCAUACAGCAGCAUUCUAUCAGCUAAAGGAAUUAAGUUUGUCUCAACUUCCAGAGUUGACGUUAAAGACUUUUGAACCAUCAUUGCUGUCUUUCAAAAAUCUAACAACACUGAAAGUUUCAAGAUGCCAUGGGUUCAUCAAUUUAAUCGCAUGCUCAACAGCUAAGUGCCUGAGGCUACUGGAAAGUUUGAGCAUAGAUGAUUGUGAGAUGAUAGAGGAAAUCUUAGCGUGUGAGGCUGAAGAAAUACAAGGCGGCAUUGUAUUUCCCAAACUGAAGUAUUUGCAACUAAGCUGUCUGCCAUGUCUAGCAAGCUUUUCCUCGGCCCAUCACUCGUUGGAAUUCCCAGUCUUGCUAAUGGUGAAGGUGACAAAGUGCCCCAAAAUGAGGAAUUUCUGCCAAGGAGAUUUAAGCACACCAAGGCUGGAACAAAUGCACUUAACAAGAGAUGAGGAAGGUGAGCUGCAGUGGGAAGGCGACCUUAACACUACCAUAAAACAUAUGUUCGAUGAAAUGGUACAAAUCAUUUAAAGGAUUUAAAUUCAUGGGUUUUUACAUACAUACAUACAUACAUACAUAGUUAAUUGAACAAUUCUUGGUUUGUUAUGAUCAUGCACAGAAUGUGCAAAAUUCUGAGGUGACGGAGGUUACUGAUCAAUUGCCCAAGCUGGAAUAAGGAAAUAUGUAUGGGUGCUUAUGCGAAAAGCUCAAUUUCGUUUGAAUUCAAAACAAAUGGUAAUUGACUCUUCUAUUUUCAUCAUGGCUUAACUAAUGCUUUAUAAAGUGACCAUAGAGACGCCCUUUUCAUUGUAGGUUGAGUUGCUCUACUGAAGUACGAGGCUGCAACUUUUGGUAAAAUGUGAAAGGUUAUUUCAGUUUUGGUAAAACUACUAUUUGAACUGUUCCAUUUCACAUUAUACCCUCAAAAUUGAACUUCAUUGGGCUACAAACAUGUAAACUUUUACUAGUAAGGUUGAGCCCUGUUUUAAGUAUUUGCCAACUUUUGAUGGUUGCCAUAUCAAUGUCAGCUUAAAGCUAUCAAGUAUCUUUACAAAUAUAAGAUAUAUAUAUAUUAUUCCUUAAUGAGGGAUAAAAGUAGGCAGCUAUGUACUAAUGAUACGGUUGAUUCUGAAAAGACGGCCGAAAUUGAAUCAAUGGGUUGUUGGUAUUUGCCUGAUGGAAGAACAGGGCCUAAUGUUGCGUGGAUUCUGGUCAAGUUUUAAAUUUUCAGUUGUGGGCAUUACUGAUUGUUGUCAUUUGGUUGUUGAUCCUCUGAUUUUACGAUUGACUGUCUUGCUUAUUCGUUGCAAGGUUGGCGGGUCUCAAGUAUGAAUUUCCAAACCGGCUUUCAUCCAUAAUUAACUAAGUGUUCCAAUCCAUGGAGUUUAUGGUUUAUUAGCGUAACUGUCCAUUUUAUUUGUUGAGGAAAAAAAAUAUGAGGAUUAAUCUGAUAUUUAAUGUUUGGGUUUUUGAAUAUUUUUGUGCCUUUAAUGAAAGAAAGCAAAUAAAAUAGAGACGUACAAGAUCACAUCCAUAGAUCAACAAAAGGGUUUAAUAUUUCUAUAAAAAAUUGUCCCAAAAAGGCCUUAUGGGAAUUGAUCAUAUAAACUAAUGAAGGCCAUUGAAAAUAAAGCUUGUAAAAGUUUACAGAAGGAAUUGAUGAGAAUCUGAUACACUAUUCAUUUUGUUGCGAUAAGAGUUUAUGGCCUUGUAGGAGCCUCUCCCCAAAUUGCUAGCAAAAGAAACAAAAGGAUUAAUGCACGUCGAUAAUGGCAGAUUUAUAUUUGCUACAAAAGGUGAAGAGCCCAAGACCCUCCAACCUCCUCGGAACAGUUUGAAAUCGUUCCAAAAUAUGCUCUAGCAAAUGUUCCAAGCCAUCUCAUGCGACAGUUUUCCCUUAAAAGCAUUAGUGGCUGAGUCUAGUCUUAAUUUUUAUUUGUAUCUUUUAUAUCCGUUUUAUAAUUCAUAUUUAGGAUUUGUAUUAUUUAAAAAAGGAAAAUCUUUGAAAUAAAAAAAAACAGUAUGUUUUAUAUAAUUAUUUAAAGUUACUCUCACAUUAUUUUUACCCAUUCAAAGCUAGCAAGUCUUUUAUGUACAAAAUCGUAUAGCUCUGCAAUUUGGAAUAACAUUUUGGUCACCUCCAUGUGAAGUGAGAGAAAAUUGAGAAUGUCACACAAUUAUUAUUUUUCCCUCCAUACCCCUAUGCCACCAAAGAAACUUGAAUUAUUAAGGCACAAAAGCACUAAGGAGUAGGAGCUAGAAAAAGAGGGGCAUGAAAAUAAAGAGAGUUACAUUUAUUAUUUGCAUAAUACAAAAUUAGUCUUUAAUAUUUACACAUUUUAUUAUUUUUAUUUUUUAUUAAUUAAAUUUGGCUUUAAACUCUUUAAAAAGAGUUGAAUUUGAACAUCAACCUUUUAAAAAGAGUUAUAUUAUUAUUUAACGGAAAUGUUAAAUUUUGAAAUACAUAUAAGAAUAUAAUUUUAUUAAAUUAUAUAUUUUUAUUAAAUUAUAUUAAAUUAUAUUUAAUAAUAAUUAUUUUAAAUUAUAUUUUAUAGUAUUAUAUAUUAUGAUUUUAGUAAAUUCAUAUAUUUUAUUAAAUUAUAUAUUUUUAUUAAAUUAUAUUUAAUAAUAAUUAUGUUAAAAUAUGAUUAAAUUAUUUAUUAUUUAUAUUAAUAACCUUAUUAAAAUUUAAUAACAAUAACAAUAAUCAUCGACCUAAAAAAAAUUCUACUAAGGGUAUUCUCGUCAUUUUAGCUUUUUUCCUUAUGCUAUUACACCAUCAUUCCCUUCAACCAAACACAAGAAUAUUAUUACGCCUCUAUUCCAUUCCAUUCAACCAAACAAAAGGAUUACCUAUUACGCCUUUAUUCCAUUACGCCUCUAUUCCAUUACGCCUCUAUUCCAUUACAGCGAACCAAACGUGCCCUAAAGGUUCAAAGAUUUCUGCUUAAAUUUGGACUUCACUCCUUAAGCUUCAAGUUCAAGUUUUUUGGUAUAUAAAUUUUGGACCUUAAUUUGGUAUGUAUUUAAGCUUAUUAGUAAUAAUGUGAAUUAUGUACGAAAGAUAAUGUUUUGUGUUAUAAAGUAUCUCGGUUAUAAUGAAAUAAGAAUAAAUUGAAGUGAUGAGUUUAGUGUUAAAUGUAGCAUCUCUUACUCAAAUUUGUUAUCGAAUCGGGUGAGAGGUGUUACUACUAGAAUAUAAAUUACCCUUUCUUUUUUCUUAAGAUAAAUGUAUUUUUUUUAAUUAAAUUCGUACAUAAAAUGAUAUUUUUACUAAAAUAUUAAAUUCGAAAAAGAAAUUUAAGACAAAAACAUUUUAGCCAACAACAUAUUCAUUGUAGGAUCAAAAACAUUAAUGCAAGAAACUUAAAACAAGGAAUCAAAAGUCUAGAACAAGCAAUCAAACUUAUUUUAUAUGAUCCACCAUUAAAAUUUUAGAAUAUGAUAAACAAGCAAUCAAAUAUUAAGUGCACAAUUUUAGAUUCACUAUACAAGAGCUGAGAACGAGAAAGCUAUCACAUCAGAUGGCUUGGUACAAUUAAUUAGACCGUGUUGCAGUACCUCUCUGGCAUCAACUUCGCUUGUAAAUUUCUAUAAGCUGUCACUUCAAUGGCCUUCAUCAACUUGCAGCUCUAAUCUAAAUUGUACAAAACCAAUUGAUAACAAAUUCACAAUCCACAGAUUGUGGGCUCAUAAUGCUAAUGACAAAUCAAUGUCUCGUUAUGAUUCAAGUAAUCCAUACACCGUUGGAUAGGUGCAAGGAUUGUUUGGAUCAUAAGAGAGCAUUGGUUUGUUCUUAGAAUUAUGUGUCCAUAUACCAUGGAUCUUGAACUCAUUAAGGAUUGGUGGUGUACAACUCAGACUAAAGCUAUAGGCUAAUAAAGGCCAUUGAAGAAAAAGCUUACGAAAAUUACAAGCGAAGUUGAUGCCGGUAGGGGUGCUGCAAAUGCUGCUCAAAAUGAAAAGAGAAGAACAAGAGGAGUACUCUCUCUCUCUCUCUAUAUAUAUAAGUAUAUACUCUUCUCCAUGCUGCACAUUAUUGCAAAAAAAGAAAACACACAAGGGACCAAUCUUAGAUCUUCACAAAGGUCAUUUGAGAUCAAAGGAGAAGAACAAGAAAAACAAAGGUGAGGGGUUUGAAGAAAGAGCCAAAUAUAUAAAGGAAAAAUUAAGUGAGAGAGAGGAUGGGUUUAAUUUAAAGAUUAAAUGUUUCUUUUUUGGUAAACACAUUUCUUUGGUCCCUCUCAAUUUUGAUGUUGAGCAAAUUAGCCCAUUUCUAAAAAUUUUGGAGAAAUUUGAUCAUUGUUGAUUUUGAAAGUGAGCAACUAAAUACAAUUAAUCAUAACGUUUAUGUUUUUCAUCAGUUCUACAAUUUUUUUCUUGGUAUAAUAAAAAAUAUAACUUUCAAAGUUUACACAUUUUGUCAAUUUGAUCUUGAUAUAACAAAUAUAACUCAUAACAUUUUCACAAUAUUCCAUCAAUUUGGUCCUAAUUUAACAAAUUUAGCCCGUAAUAUUUACACUUUUUGUCAAUAGUUACGCAGAAUAUAUAAACAUCAAUGGCUAAAUUUAUUAUUAUACCAAUCAAAAUUAUGUAGAAUCGAUGGAAAACAUUAAAGCUAUAAUUAAUUGUCCGUAGUUACUCACAUUUAAAAUUGACAGGAAUUAAAUUGUUCUGAUUUUUUAAAAAGAUCGAUUUACUUAAUAUCAAAAUUGAGAGAAAUCAUAAAGAUAAUUUUACUUUUCUUAAUUUAAUAGGUAAGAAAAUUUAAAAUCAUUGAAAAAAAAAAGUAAGUUGUAUAGAUUUAUUUAAAGUCACACUCACAUUAUUAUUUUUCCCAUUCAAAGUUGAAAAGUCUUUUAUGUAAAAAAUAGUAUAGCUCUUCAAUUUGGGUUAACAUUUUGGUCCCCGCCAUGUGAUGUGAAGGAAAAUUGACAACAUCACAACAAUCAAAUCUAUUUUUUCUGCCAUACCCCUGUGCCUCCGAAGAAAGUUAAAUUAUUAAGGCACAAAAGUACCAAGGAGUAGAAGCUACCAAAAGAGGAGCAUGAAAAUAAAGAGAGAUACAUAUAUUACUGGCAUGGAAUAUUUACAUCUUUUAUUAAUUUAGAUUUUUUUAGUUAAUUUUAAUUUUAAAUCCUUUAAAAAAAAGUUGAAUUUGAUCAUCAACGUUUAAAAAGAGUUGAAUUAUUAUUUUUUAAUAAAAAUAUUAACCAAAAUGUUAAAUUUUGAAACAUGGCAAUCCGUAAAACAAUCCAAGUGUAGUUCAUGCUUGUUUUUAUUUGAUUUUUUAUGAACUCUUUUUGUGGGAAAUUUUUAUUUUUUUAAUAUUUUUAUAAUUUUUAAUUUAUUGGCGUGACAUAUAAGAUAAAUAAUACUAUGUCAACAUAAAUGACAUGUAGACUGCCACAUGGGUUGCCAUGCCAACUUCGUUAAAAAUUAAUAUUUUAGUCAACAUUUAAAAAAACACGAUUUGACUCUUUUUUAAAGGUUAAUUGUCAAAUUUAAAUUAAGAAAUAAUAAUAAUCAAAUUGACAAAAGAUGUAAAUAUUAAGUGUUGAAUUUAUUAUUAUACUUUUAAGUAAAAUUUUUGGAUUUGAAUUUGAAUUAUUUUGGGAAAUUUAAAUAGUUUUGAGCUCAGAACAUUUCAAGAGAAAAUUAGCAAGUCAAAUUACAAUUAUAAAAUAAUAUAUGUCAUUUAUAUGUUUGUCUAUAUAAGUUUAAAUUACAAAUUAAUUACUAAAAGUGAUUAGGGCAUUAGUAUUUGUGUUGUCACAUGGGAGUUUAGGUUCAAUCUCUUGAUUGAAAUAAUAUUUUUAAAAUAUUUAUUUAAUAUUUCUAUAUACAUCAAAAUCCUUGUUAAAUUUUAAUUUUGUUUUUGUUAUUAGAAUACUUGAAUCAAUAAAAUUUUAAGGCACAUAUCAAACCCAACAAUCAAAAUUAAAUCACACCAAAAUAAGGCCAAGAAAUUCUUAAACAGCUCACCAAGCAACAUUCAAAUAUCAUAACUUAACCCCCUUGCAAAUAAUAAGAGCAUAGACGCUUGCUGCAGACAAAAGGUCCCAUGCCCAUUACAAGCUCUGCCCAUCAGUUCCUGCCAGAGGAGCCAUGGCCAAGAAAACUAUUAGUCUUAAUGCAAUCCACAAAACGUGUGGGACUUUUCCUUAAGGUCAGCUCUUUUGAGUUCAAGUCCUUUUCGCUGGCAAAUUUGUUGAUAUAGGAGCAACAUUGGUCAUCACAAUCAACAAAGGUCUUGUGAAAAAAAAUAGAAUGUCGGUAAUGAUAAUAUACCGCAAAGAAAAGAGAAAUAAAAAUAAAGAACAUAGAUUUUACGUGGAAACCCUUUCGGGAAAAAACCACGGGUAGAGGAGAAGUAAAUUCACUAUGUCGAAUUCGAAUGAUUACAAGAGGAGCUUCGACUACAUCUAUUUAUAGGUUGAAAAAAACCUAAUUCUAAUCAAAGUCGAAUAUAUUAUGCUAAUAAAUGCUAAAUAUAUUAUACUCAUAAAUACUAAAUAUUCUAGAAAGAAGAUAUAUUUUGUUCAACUUGACUUGCAAGCAAUCUCUUAGAAUUUGGGUUACACAACUCUAACAAUCUCCACCUUGACACAAAUUCUCAAUGAAUAAGUUCUUCAUCGCGAACUCUCAACGAACAAGUUCUCUAGCUCUUCCAUAAAACCCCUUAAGGGUUUAACUUCAACAAUGAACACCAAUCAAGUCUAAGAAAUGCUUAAACUUGGUUAUAGGAAGUGACUUAGUCAUCAUAUCUGCAGGAUAUUCAUGAGUACUAAUUUUACUCACAACAAUAUCUCCACGGGCAAUAGUAUCACGAACAAAAUAAUACCGAACAUCAAUGUGUUUUGUUUUCUCAUGAAACAUUUGAUAUUUUGUAAGGAAGAUGACACUCUGACUGUCACAAAUACUGUACUGAUUUGAAGGUUUUCAUUGAGUUCACUAAAGAGUCCCUUCAACCAAAUAGCUUCUUUACAAGCCUCAGUAAUUACCAUGUACUCAGCUUCAGUGGUAGACAAAUCGAUUGUAGUUUGCAAAGUGGCUUUCCAACUUAUUGCACAACCUCUGAUUGUAAAGACAUAACCUAUGAGAGAUCUUCUUCUAUCAAGGUCUCCAGCAAAAUCAGCACCAACAUACCCAAUGACUCUAUCUCUAGUUCUUUCAAACUGUAAGCAAACAUCAGUAGUACCUUGUAAGUAUCUUAAAAUCCACUGAAUUGCUUUAUAAUGUUCUUUACCGGGAUUCGCCAUGUAUCUGCUAACUGCACUGACUGUAUAUGAUAAAUUUGAACGAGAACAAACCAUAGCAUACAUAAAAGAUCCCACUGCACUAGAGUAUGAAGCAUGUGACAUGUACUCAAUCUCAUCAUCUGAUUGUGGAGACAAAGCUGAUGAAAGUCUGAAAUAGGCUGCUAAAAGAGUACUAACAGACUUAGCAUUCUGCAUAUUAAAUCUGCAAAGAACUUUCUCAUGUACCCUUUCUGACUUAGGUACAAUUUACUUGCUUUUCUAUCUCUGAGAAUCUUCAUACUUUUUUGCUGGUCCCAAAUAUUUUAUCUCAAAUUUUUCACUUAGUUAGGCUUUGACCUUUCUCAUCUCUCCUUUAUCUUUCGCUGCUAUCAACAUGUCAUCAACAUAAAGGAGUAGAUACAUAAAAGAACCAUCAUUGUUUUUCUUAAAGUAAACACAACUGUCAAAACUACUUCGUUUAAAAUCAUGAGAAGUUAUAAAGGAAUCAAAUCUCUUGUACCACUAUCUUGGUGACUAUUUCAAACCGUAAAUGGACUUUUUCAACAAGCAAACAUAGUCCUCUUUUUCUGAAACUAUAAAAUCCUCUGGUUGUUGCAUGUAAAUAUCCUCCUCAAGUUCUCCAUGUAAAAAAGCAGCUUUUACAUCUAACUGCUCAAGCUCCAAAUCAUGCAUGGCCACAAUACCAAGCAAAGCUCGAAUCGAGGUAUGCUUCACAGCUAGGGAGAAUACAUAUGUGAAGUCUACUCUUGGAAUUUGACUGUAACCCUUUGCAAUAAGCCUUACUUUAUAUCUAGGUUAUUGAACUCCUUGAGUCCCCUCUUUCUUUUUAAACAUCCAUUUACAACGAACAACCUUUUUACCUUUAGAAAGUUUCACAAGAUCCCAUAUUUUAUUUUUGUGGAGUGAUUCCAUCUCCUCUUGCAUAGCAAACAUCCACUUUUCUAAGUCUUCAUGGUUAACUGCAUCAGAAUAAUUAGAUGGCUCUUGGUUUGCAUUUAUAUCUUCAGCCACGUUUAAAGCAUAAGCAACUAGAUCAGCCUUGGCAUACUUCUUUAGAGGUUUAAUUUCUCUUGUAGUUCUGUUUUUGGCGAUAGAGUAUUGUGGUGAAGAAGCAACUCUAUUUUGAAUUUUUGUACUGGCUUGAGGAGUUGACUCCAUUGUAGAUUCUGGAUUAAUCUGAUGCUCUACUUGCUUUUGAUUUUUCUUUAUUAGAAGAGUCUUUAAGAUAUAAGUUAGGUAGCAUAACAAUUUCAUCAAAAACAACAUCUCUUCUAAUCACAACUUUUCUAAUUUCAGGACACCAUAACUUAUACCCUUUUACACCAGCUUUAUAACCAAGAAAAACACAUUUAAUGUAUCUCGGUUCCAAUUUUCAUGAUCAAUAUGAGCAUACGCAGGUCACUCAAAAAUCUUUAAAUCAGAAUAGUCAACAGGAUUACCAGACCAUACCUCUUGUGGAGUCUUUUUCUCAAUGGCAAUGGAUAGAGAUCGGUUGAUUAAAAACAUGCAGUAGAGGCUGUUUCGGCCAAAAUAACUUUGGUAAGUUGGCAUUUGACAACAUACAUCGAACCUUCUCCAUGAUCGUUCUGUUCAUUCGUUCUACAACGCCGUUUUACUGUGGAGUAUGACGAACUGUCAAGUGUCUCACGAUUCCUUCUGACUUGCACAGUUUAUUAAACUCAUCAGAACAGAAAUCUAAGCCAUUGUCUGUACGGAGAUAUUUUAUUUGUUUUCCCGUCUAUUUUUCAAUCAUAGUUUUCCAAGAAGCUGCUUGCCACCAAUGCAGCUCAGUUGAAAUAUUUAGAGUCACGAGCGGAAAAUGUAGAGCAGAAGGCCAAGGAUGCUGAAAAAAAAAUAGUUGAACUCGAAAGGUAGCUUAAGGCUAAGGUAAAGGAAGCUACACAAUGGAGCAAUAAGCUUGAGGAGGUUGGUAACUCAUUGAUGGACUAGAUGAUAAAAAUUCAGAAAACACUAGGAUCCUUUGACUCAACAGGUAUCAACUUUGAUAGAGCAAAGAUAUCUAAGGCUUGUUCUGUGUGCCUUUUUGAUACUAUGAUACUUCUAUAUUGGUUUUAGAUCGUUGAGAAUCGAAAAUAUGGCUGGGCUAUGGAUUACGCAGGAAGAGGAACUUCAAGGUAAGAUAAUGAAGGAUUGAAGGAAUUGAGAAAUGAAUGGGGUGAAAUGAUCUACAGGGCCGUUGUUGUUGCAUUACUGGAAAUGGAAGAGUACAAUCCAAGUGGGAGAUACAUAGUUUUUGAACUUUGGAAUUUCAAAGAUGAUGAAAAGCCAGCUUAAAAGAAGCUAUUGAGAUCUUCAUCUACCAUUUACAGAACAAAUUGAGUCAAUCCCUGUACUCAUUGAACUGAUGGUAAGCUGAGUUGUUCCUGGUACUAGACUAUGUAACAGCCCGAUUCUGGGCCUAGUCGGAAUAGUGGUUUCGGGACCACAAAUCCGACGAGAGAAAAUAUUAUUAUCAUUAUAUUUUUAUGGUCUACAAUUUCACGGAAUGAUUUCGUGAAAAUUUCGUUCGAAAAUUUCAACGUUUGAGCACUCAAUUUAGUCAAAAAGGACUAAAUUGUAAAAAGUGCAAAAGUUGAGUUCUAGAAGCUAGAGGUGUUAAAUUGCUAUGAAAUUUUAAAUUGGAGGUCCUUAAAUGGUAAUUAAACCAUUAGUUAUUUAUGGACAAAAAUAGACAUGGUUAGUAAGUAAGCUAUUUAAGGGCAUUUUGAUAAAAUGCCUUAAUUAAUGAAUAAAGACAAAAUAACAUGAAAUAAGUUAUCAUCUUCUUCAAUUCUUUUCUCCAUGGCCGAAUGUAGCAAGGAAAUACCAUGGCUAGGGUUUUUUCAUCUUCCAAGCUUCAUGGUAAGUCCGUUCUAGCCCCAUUUUUCUUGUUAUUUAUAUUUUUAGAAUCCCGGUAACUUGCUUAAUCUAAUUCUACUAUUAAUUUGAGCUAGAAUUUAUGUUUGAAAAAUUACCCAUAGGUGAAAAGUGUGAACUUUGAUGUUUCAUGAUAGAAUAUGAAGCUUAGAAUUAUGUUAAACGAUUUUUGCUAAUCGAUUUUCAGUAAAAACGAGUAAAACGACAUAAUCAGUAAAAAUAUCUAAUGUUCAUAAGUAAGUGUUGAGUGGGAAUUUGAUGUUUCCAUAGAAGAGAAAAAUGUUCAGAAUGUCAUAAAAAAUAAGAAUAAGAGAUGAAAUUUAAUUUCCGAGCUUUGGGGCAAAAGUGUAAAUAUGCAAAAGUUUAGGGGCAAAAAUGUAAUUUUGUAAAAAUAUGAUUUUUGGACUGAAUUGAAUAAUGUGAGUGUUAAAUAAGUUAAAUGUGUUAUUAUAAGUCAAGAAAGACAAGGAAUUGACUUUGAUUAGUAAAAAAAUGAGAAAAAGUGAGAAAUUUCUCGAUUGAACAUUCAGAAUAAAAAGGGAUACGAAUGAAAUGACAGAAAUGAUCACAUAUGUGGCAUGGACUGUGUGUAGGCCACUAUGUGAAAGUGAAAGUGAUGGUCACAUGUGUAGUACUAUGUGAAGGCUACUACGUGUACCAGAAUGAUAGGUCGCAUGUGUAGUACUAUGUACAGGCUACUAUGCGUAUCGGAUAGCUUCGAUCACGUGUGUAGUACUAUGUGCAGGCUACUACGUGUAUCGGAUAGUGAUGGUCACAUGUGUAGUACUAUGUGCAGGCUACUAUGUGAACCCAUAUCAUUGAUUAUAAGGUGGUUGCUAAGUGCUGAUUCCACCAUAUCUUAAAUGUGAAAGGGGUUGCUAAGUGCUGAUUCCCCGAAUCACUGGUGGUUGCUAAGUGCUGAUUCCACUGUAUCCUUGAUUGUGAAAGGGGUUGCUAUGUGCUGAUUCCCCGUAUCAUUGAUUAUAAGGUGGUUGCUAAGUGAUGAUUCCACCGGGAUCCUUUGAACAUGAGGUGGUUGCUAAGUGCUGAUUCCACCAUGUAACGGUUAAUAUUCCGAAGUGUUCAUCGGGGAAAUUGGAUAAGUGAAAAUAUAUGUGAAUCGAAUAAGGUUACGGGAUGAAUAUUGGAUUCGAUAUUUAAUCGACCCUUGAGUAAGAUGAAAAGAAGUAAUGAAAUUGUGAAAAAGAAAAAUGUGCAACAAAACAGUUUUGGACAGUAACAAUAAUGUGACUUUGAAAAAUCACCAAAAAUGGUGGAAAUUGAAUUAGAGAGUUAAUAAGAUAUUAAAUGAAAGCUUAAGGAGUCUAUUUUUAUGUAAAAGAAACAGAGCAAGUAAAAGAGUUAGACAUUCUGAGAUAUUUGAAUUUUAGUGAGGCAGGGUAGGAUUGAUUUCGGAAUCCCCUGUUCUGAAUUUGGAAAAUAAUUAAAAAUUGUAAAAAAAUAAUUACUAGAUAUAAUUUAUACGAUUAGAAUCCUUAAUGAGUCUAUUUUUAAGGGAAACAAACAGAAAAAUCAUCCAAAUUCUGUACAAUGAGAUAAUUCAUUUUUAGUGAAGAGAGGUCAGAGAUGUUGAGCAGUGAAACAGGGGUGACUUUAAAGAAUAAACUGUACUAAUUGGAAAAGUCAAAAAUUCUGAAAAUUUUAUGGUAAGAAGAUAUGUGAGUCUAGAUUCGGGGAAAAUUAACGGAUCUUAAUUUGGAGCUCUGUAGCUUUGGAUAAAUAUAAUUUAGUGACUCUGACUCGAAUAGACAGCUUUGGAUAUACAUGUGAAUGAAUAGUGAAAUUAUGUAUAAUGCUAUUUAAGCAUGUUUUAUACAUAAAGGAUGUGGAAUGGAGAGGGGGAGGAGGAAAAUUAAUUAUAUAUAUGAAUGAUUUGUGUAUAAAUGGUUAUAUGCUCAAUUAUAAUCGAUAAACGUUAAAAUAGAAAUGAUGCUUACAUUUGCGUAUUAUUGAUCAUGGUUUAAGCUCAUAUGGGAAAAUAAAGUUUCAUAGUAUGUGAGUGUGGUUUAUUUGAUAUAUGGGUUGGUAUGAAGUAAGGCCAUGAAUGGUUUAUGGAUUAAUUCAUGUUGGUAGGUUUGGUACAUGAAUAAAUGUUGAACUUGGCCAUACUUAUAAUGCUUAUGCUAUAUGUUUAUUUGGCUAACAUGUGUAGUGUACAUGCUUAAGCUUUGGCCAAUUGGUGGCUGAAUUAUGCCACGUUAAAUUUAUAAGUUAUGCAUUGAAAUGGUAAGUGCCUAGAUGGGAAUAUGCUUAUGAUCAUGGAAAGGGUGGUAACGUUUAAAUUAUGUAAACUUACUUGGAAUGGUUUAUCAUGUGGUUAAUUCCAAAAAAGAAUUAUGUUUAAUGUACUAGCUUGUGACUAUGGUUGAAUGAUAUGUUAUUGUUUUGUGUGAUAUUUGUAGGAAAUGGGUGUGGAAAGGAAAUGAAAUACUAAGUUCAUACUUGAAGAAUAAAAUGACGAAAAAGGGAAUGAUGAGUUGAUUUGAUGUUGUUAUUUAAGCUUAAGUGAUGUUUUCAUUGUAAUACUAAGAAUUUUAUAAAUGUGUUAAUGAAUGGUAUAAUUGAUAAACGUUGAGUUAAAUGAUGAACACGUAUUAGUAUUGAACUUAACAAUAUUGAAUUGUACAUGAAUUAAAUGGAAGUUUUUAGUGAUAUGAUUUGAAUUAAAAGAAUUGUUGUGGUAUUGAAAUAUAUAUAUUGGAUUGAGAAAUUGAUUUGAAUUGUGAACAUGAAAGAUUUUGAAAUGAAUAAAAUAGAAAUGAAGCAUUGAAUUACAUGAGUAAGUAUCGGGUCUUGUAGGCCCAAUUUGUUAUGAAUAUAAUAUUUCAAGGAUAUGUUAUAAAGAAUUAUAAAAUCAUGUUAAAAAUUUGAAAAGUUUAAAUUUGAAUGAAAUUUUGUAACUCGGUUUAAUACGUUUACAUGUGUAAGUGUUCUAGUAAUGCCUCAUUCCCUAUUCCGGAGUUGAAUACGGGUAAGGGGUGUUACAGACUAUCAACAAGCCAAGUUAAUCCCAGUAUUCUGCGUAACAUUUCCAUGUAGUUAAUCUUAUUUUGCUAAUAUAUAAUCAAAUGACCAGUAUUUUGUUUAACCCUCAAACAUCCUGCGUGGAAGCAAGUUAUUCAUAUGAAUUGCUUGAAUUGCUCAUAUGUCCAAUGAAUUAUAAAGGAAUGCUGUUGAAUUCCCAUCGAUACAUACAUGCAUACAUAUUAGUGAAGUAUAUUCCAAUAUAAUAUCAAUAUUGGGAUUUACGUUUUAUAGAGCAGCAUUAAUGAUUGGUAAUAUACAUUCGUUCCAAGGCAAACCCAAAUAUUGUAACCUACAACUGUGGCAAAUCAAAUUUUACAGUAACCCAAUUAUAAUGUGAAGUCAAAUAUGAAAGUAACAUUGGUUUAUAUUUUUUUUUCUCAAAAUUCUAAUAAUCAAGUUGGGAUAAGUGAUAAACACUGAGCUUGCCACGUGUGUUAAACCACAUUUUUGUUAUGUGCCACUCCAAAGAUAUCGGGCCUCUAUUCAGGCUGGCAUAGUCAGGACGUGGUAGCAUACUUCAGGACCCUGGUUAGAAAAUAUCCCACAUCCGAUAAAAUUGGAACGAUACAGAGAAGAUUAGCAUGGCCCUGCGCAAGGAUGACAUGCACAAAUCGAGAAGUCCAAUUUUUUUCCCUUUUUUUCCCCACAUUUUAACAGCUCUGCUUCUUCUUCUUUUUUUCCCCUGGGUUUGAUGUUCAUAUUCAUGGGUUUUUGUGCACUUAAGAUUGCAAUUAGAGUUUUCUUUCUUUCUUUUACUGGGUUCGGUCUGUUUUACUCUCUUGAACUGUGAAUUUGAUUUUUUUUUCCAUUUUUUCAGCUUUGUUGCUUUUUUCCCCCUGGGUUUAGUUUUCAUGUUCAUGGGUUCCGCCCACUUAAGAUUGCAUUGGAGUUUUUUUUUUCCUUUUUACUGGGUUUUGGCCAGUUUUACUCUGUUGAACCGUGAAUACCUCUGGGAAAAAAAUUGUUGCUUAUAUAUUUGCUAGUCAACAGUGCUAAUUUUCUGAUAUAUUGGCCAGAAUUGAGGGAAGAAGGUCCAAUUUUGCUUUUGAUUCUUCUACUACUAUCUUAAGAUUUAAAAGAAAUUCAAUUAAACAAUUUCUUCCAAUAAAAUUAAACAAGAAGGGACCUGCACACUUAGACAUGUUUCUCUUUGAAAAAAAUUCAAACAGGGUUUUAAAAUUUGCAAUGUGUUUUAUGUAAAUCAAAUGAUACCCUGAAUUUUGCUAAGGGUGUUUCAUAUCCUUGAAUCCUUUUUUUGCUUGGCAAGUGAUUCAUUGAGUUUUUGUGAUAAAUUUCAUGUUUCUUUUUUUAGUAUGGGAAUUUGUGGGAAAAUGCUUGGCAAUAUGGAAAUGAAACCAGUUUCCAUUUCCAAAGGCAACAGCAAAGUGGUGAAGCUUAUUGUUGAAAAAUUCUUCAAUAAUGUCAAUAAUGAAAAAGUAGAAAAUGGAAAAACUGAUAAGUACAUGCCUUUCUUGAAUAAAGGAAUGUGAAUCUGUGUGAACUUCCAUUUCCCUUGAAUUAUGCCUAAGUAAACCUUGACUAAGGAAACAAAUAAGCAGAGACCUUACAAGAAGAAAUUUGUGUUUAAUUCAGUCACACACAAUUUUCAAAGAAUCUUACUUCAUUUUCUUCAUAAAUUGUUGCGUAAGAUACUAACACUUGAAAAACUAAUAACAUUAGACCCAACCAUUUUAAACAGGAUGUAAUAGCACCAUACAAAUACAAAACCAAAAUGAAACAACGACCAACACUAUAUAAAUAUACACCAUUGAUCAAAAUAUACACUAACAACAAUUAUGAUAAGAUAACAUAGAUGAACAUGAUACAAUUUGUUAAAUCUAAGGUACUGACCAAUCAUUUUAUUGGAGCAUUACUUAAUGUAUAAGGCUCAAUCCCCCCCCGAUGCUAGAUACUGAUACACUCAAACGAAUAUGAUUUUCUUCCAUUCAUUUCAAUAUGGUAAUGUUGUUUUUACCCUAAGUUAAAAUCCUUUUUUUUUACUGCACAGAAAUCUGAAUUCACCAACCCUGAUGGAAGGCUUGUGAUUGUGACCAACUUUACAGGCAAAAAUGAAAAAGGAUCUACAACCUUUGUUAACUGUUUUGUAAAAUACAAGAAAAUCCCAUACCCAAGCAUGAUUUUAUAUACACCCUGCUACAAAAACACGUUUUUUCCUGCAAAAACAUCAUUCAUGGCAAGAUGUCAAGAGAUUGGUGAAAAAGAAAAACAUCCAACAUUUGGGGUUUUAAUCUCAAUAUAUGAACUUGGCUUUAUUUCUUAGUGUUAUUGUUGAACUUUUUAGGAUGCCUCUGUCUUAAUCCAUUUAUGUGAUUUGAUAAUGAUAUUUGCAGGCACUUAAAUCUGUUGGAACAAUGGCAGCAGCAAACAUCAAACAAAGUUACAACACAGUGUUUGCAAGACUGAAGCAAGAAGAAUCGAAGCAAAGAAAGAGCAAAGCAAAGCAAAAAUUUGAUCAAAUUGAAUACUCAGCAAAGUUGUAACUGAAUAUUACAUUUUUCAUUCAAGAUUAGAAUAUAUAAAAGUACUACAAUUUUGGUUCAUUUGACAGAUACCUAAUGACAUAACUACUCCCACUUAAACUAAACUAAUACAAGCUUAAGUCAAAUACAAAUAAGCUGACAUAUCAACUUUUACAUCACCAAUCCAAUCACAAACUUAAUCCAACUAACUAUUAAAGCUAGUUACAAUCAAACUGAACUAAGUUACAUCAAAACAAAACAGCAAUAUCAGUUGCUUCAUUUGGUCUGAAAACCAUUCGUGCACACCAAGCAAAAUGAGCUGAGCUCGAUAGCUGCUGGUCUCGAUAGUAGCAUGCUUCCGGCUCCAUGUUGCAUUGCAGUCCAUCUUUCAACACUCCUCCUUGGACUGUAUGCAACACAUUCCAAUUGCACUUCUCAAAGAUUCAAAUCGAACAGCCCCUAAGGGCUUUGUCAUUAUGUCAGCCAAUUGAGCUCUUGAGCUGCAAUGCACAAGGCUGACUUACUUUGCUUGUUCAGCUUUUCUAACAAAAUGCAGUUUGAUUUUAAAAUGCUUAGUCUUACCAUGGAACACAGGGUUCUUGGCUAUUGCAACUGCAGACUGAUUAUCUACCCAAAUUUUAGUUGCUUCAUCUUGAGUUUCAUUAAGGUCAUAAAGCAGCUUCCUUAGCCAAAUGGCCUGAUUAACUGCUCCUGCUGCAGCAAUGUACUCUGCUUCAGCUGUGGAUUGAGCAACAGUUUGUUGCUUCUUUGAACUCCAGCAAAACAUGCCCGAUCCAAGUGUGAAGAAGUAUCCAGAGGUACUCUUCAUGUCAUCGAGAGAUCCUGCCCAGUCACUGUCAGAGUAGCCUUCUAGUUUCAGUUGAUUCCUACUUUCAAACAUUACACCAAAACUAGCAGUGCCCUUGAUGUAUCUAAGGAUCCUCUUUCCUGCCUUCAAAUGUGCCUCACUACAACAAUGCAUAAAUCUCGAUAACAGGCUGACACCAAACAUGAUGCCUGGCCUGGUUGCUGUUAGAUACAACAGACAACCAACUAGGCUUCGAUAGUGCCUCUCAUCAACCCUCUGCUGAUCACCACUGCUAGUCAGCUUUUCUCCUUGGGCCACAGGUGUGCUGACUGCUUUACAGUUAUGCAUGCAGAAUUUGUCUAGGAUCUUCAAAGCAAAUGAGUGUUGGCUGAUGAAGAUACCUCGAUUAGACUGGUGCACUUCCAUGCCAAGGAAGUAAGUCAUGAUCCCCAAAUCUGUCAUCUCAAACACUUGCUGCAUUUGGACCUUGAACUGAUCAAUGAGCUCAAUUUUGCUCCCUGUCACAAGCAAAUCAUCCACAUACAAGGAGACAAUCAGCAAGGUUUCAUGUUCUGACCUUUUAACAUACAGAGUAGGCUCACUAAGGCUCUUUACAAAUCCAAGUUUGGUCAGGUAAGCAUCAACUCUGUCAUACCAGGCCCUUGGUGCUUGUUUCAGGCCAUAGAGGGCCUUUCUCAACUUAUACACUUUGUCUUCAUGUCCAACAACUUCAAAACCUUCAGGUUGCUCGAUAAAGAUCUCCUCCUUGAGAAAACCAUUUAGGAAUGCUGAUUUGACAUCCAAUUGGUGAACUCUCCACUGCUUCUGAGCUGCUAAAGCAAAUAGCAGCUUAAUUGUAUCCAGUCUUGCCACUGGAGCAAAAGUUUCUAGGUAGUCAACACCAUACUGCUGACUGUAGCCCUUCACCACAAGCCUGGCCUUGUGCUUGUUCAGUGAGCCAUCAGCAUUGUACUUGGCUCGGUACACCCAUUUAACUCCUAUGACCCUCUUAUGUUCUGGUCUGCUCACCAACUCCCAAGUCUGAUUUUUGUUGAUCAUUUCCAACUCAGCUUCCAUAGCUUUCAUCCAGCUUCUGUUCUUAGCAGCCUCUUCAAAGUCUGAGGGCUCAAUCACAGCAACAUUGCACCUCUGAUAGACAUCAGCCAAAGUUCUGGUCCCCCUCACUGGUAUAUCAUCGACAGCAUCAUUACUUGGUCCUUCUUCUGCAGGUUCAGCAACCAAGUCUAACUGGUCCAAUUCAGACAAGUCAGCCUCAACACCAUUCCAAUUCCACACAUUUUCCUCAUUAAACUUUACAUCCCUGCUGACUAAAACUUUCUUUGCUGUAGGAUCAUACACUCUAUAGCCCUUCUUGUUGCUGCUGUAGCCAACAAAGAUUCCUGGAGUUGCUCUACUCUCAAGCUUGGUCCUUUUCUCUACUGGAAUAAGUGCAUAACAUACACAGCCAAACACUUUUAAGUGUGUUACCAUAGGUUUGACUCCAUGCCAAGCCUCAAAAGGAGUCUUAUCCUUGACUGCUCUAGUUGGCAGUCUGUUGAGCAGAUACACUGAGGUGUUGACUGCCUCAGCCCAAAACUAACUUGGAAGCUUGCCUUGAAACAAGAGGCACCUGGCCAUGUUCAGUACAGUCCUAUUCUUUCUCUCACAGACUCCAUUCUGUUGAGGAGUAUAGACUGUUGUGAGCUGAUGGUGAAUCCCAGCACUGUCACAAAGCUUCUGAAAUCUCUCAGACACAUAUUCAGAGCCAUUAUCAGUCCUCAAGGCUCUAAUUUUACAGCCUGACUGAUUUUCAGCAUAAGCCUUGAAUUUGCAGAAGGCUUCAAACACUUCUGACUUUUGCUUCAAGAAGUAGACCCAGCACAACCUUGUUAAAUCAUCUAUAAACAGGGCAAAGUACCUGUUCUCACUGAUUGAAGGUGUUCUCAUAGGGCCACAAACAUCAGAGUGCACCAAUUCGAGCUUGUUUUGAGCUCUCCAAGCACUGUCAGCAGGAAAAGGCAGUCUAGCCUGCUUACCAAGCUGACAAACCUCACAAACAUUCCCACUAACUUCAAUUUUUGAAAUGUCAUCAACCAAAUUCAGCCUAUGUAACUGAUCGAUGGAUCUAAAAUUUGCAUGGCCUAGUCUCCUAUGCCACAAGUCAGUGCUUUCAACAAGGCUGGUGUAUGCCUUUCUUUCUAUUUGGCUAACAUCCAGCAUGAAGCACCUAUCAGUCAUAGAGACUGUGACUAACUCCAGACCAUUCAUGUCUUGAACAAUACAGCAACCAUCCUUAAAAACCAAUGUAUAGCCCUUUUCAACUAAUUGGCCUACACUAAGCAAAUUCUGGUCUAAGUCAGGUACAAAAAACACAUCUGAGAUCAGCUUGUUACCUGAACCAGUGCUAAUCAACACACUGCCCUUGCCUUUAGCCUCAAUCAGCCUACCAUCUCCAAUUCUAAUCUUCGAGUGGAAGCUUCUGUCUAGACCUUUGAACAGCUUCUCAUCUGCUGCCAUAUGGUGUGAGCAGCCACUAUCUAGUAGCCAAUCAUUGCUGGCCUUGGUUGUGCCAGCAAAACAAGUUGCUGUGAACACUUGCUCCUUCUGAGCUUGGAUGUCCUCAGCAGGUCUAGCUUGUUGUAGAGCAGCCUCCCUUGGUUUGCCCUUGCACACCUUCUCCACAUGGCCAAACUGCUUGCAUUUUCUACACUGAAUAUCUGGCCUAAACCAGCAAUACUUUUCUGAAUGUGUUAUCUUCUUGCAAUGAACACAUGGUGCGAACACCCUUUUUGCAUCAUCUCUUCCUGACUUGACCCUUCUAUUGUGCCAAGGCUUCUUGCCUUUUGCACUCACACUCGAGCCUUCACUGGCUUUAGCCUGGAAAGUAGCUUCAGGAUUCUCCUCCUGCCUAUUUGCCCUCCUUUGCUCAAGUGCAUACAGGGAGUUUAUCAGCUCAGACAAUGAAAUGGCUGAUAAGUCCCUCGAGUCCUCAAGUGAAGAGAUUUUAGACUCAAAUUUCUCAGGGAGAGUUGUAAUAACCUUUUCAACAACUCUGCUCUCUGUGAAGUCCACUCUCAGAAGCCUAAUGCUGUUGACAAUGGCCAUUAUCCUGUCUGAGUACUGCUUGAUGGUCUCAGACUUCUUCAUCCUCAAAUUUUCAAAGUCUCUCCUGAGGUUGAUCACUUGCUGUUGCCUUGUCUUAUCAGUCCCCAUGAACUCCUCCUUCAGCUUCUCCCAAGCCUGCUUUGGUGAGUCACAGGCCAUGAUGCGAGUAAAUAUCACAUCAGAGACUCCAUUUUGUAAGCAGGCCAUAGCCUUAUGCUUCUUGGCUCGCUCCUCAGUAUGUUGCCUCAUCUGUGCAAUGGUGGGAUUGGCUCUCAAUGGAGGUGGUUCAGCAUCAUUCUCGAUCACACUCCAAAGAUCAUGUGCCUGGAGAUAAGUCUUCAUUUUAACUAUCCAAAUGUGAUAGUUUUCUCCAGUGAACACUGGUGGAGGUGGUGGAGUGAAACUCAUUCUGCUAAACUGAUUUUAAGUGCUUCAAUCUUACCAAAUUUUGAACUUGCUGUUGGUUUUGAUUCGAACACAACAGAUUGCAUACAAAGGCCCCUCAAAGACUCGGGCUCAUGAUACCAUUUGUUGGAACAAUGGCAGCAGCAAACAUCAAACAAAGUUACAACACAGUGUUUGCAAGACUGAAGCAAGAAGAAUCGAAGCAAAGAAAGAGCAAAGCAAAGCAAAAAUUUGAUCAAGUUGAAUACUCAGCAAAGUUGUAACUGAAUAUUACAUUUUUCAUUCAAGAUUAGAAUAUAUAAAAGUACUACAAUUUUGGUUCAUUUGACAGAUACCUAAUGACAUAACUACUCCCACUUAAACUAAACUAAUACAAGCUUAAGUCAAAUACAAAAUAAGCUGACAUAUCAGCUCUUACAUCACCAAUCCAAUCACAAACUUAAUCCAACUAACUAUUAAAGCUAGUUACAAUCAAACUGAACUAAGUUACAUCAAAACAAAACAGCAAUAUCAGUUGCUUCAUUUGGUCUGAAAACCAUUCGUGCACACCAAGCAAAAUGAGCUGAGCUCGAUAGCUGCUGGUCUCGAUAGUAGCAUGCUUCUGGCUCCAUGUUGCAUUACAGUCCAUCUUUCAACAAAAUCUUCCAUUGAAAUGGAGAACACCAACUACGAGGAGGAGCUGAAGAAUGAUCGCAGGCUUGUUUGCAGUCUCAUAUACGAGAUUAAUUGCAAAAAAGAACAGUUGUCCCAAAUGGAACGUGAAUAUAACGAGAUGACCGCAACUCUUCGAGGACUCAUCAAUGGCCUCAUAGCAAAAAUUAACUCCAAGGACAGUAAUCUGUGGGGUUGGGUGCUUCAAUAUAAUGUAACCGUGAGCAGUUGAAUGGCAAGAAUGCUGCGUUGCGCCUUGCGUUUGCUCAAGGUACUUUAGAUUAUAUAUGCGUAUGUAGUGAGCAGAAUACUAUGUGCUAAUUGAAUCGUUUGGUACCCUUUGAUUGAUCUUAGGGAAGGGGAUAUAAAUGUCAGGAUUUGAACCCCAAACUUAGCUUUUAUUACGGGAACUGGAUCAAUUUAGGCUCGGAUAAGCUUAAUGUGUUCAGAACCAGAUAAGAACAUAAUAUAUGGGAACACUUUGGCCAUACGAGGCUAAUGCUUAUAUGAUUCGCAUUAAAGACUACAUGCUCCUAGUGAUAACUCUUCUGUAAGUACUAUUAGUUGAAUAGCUUUAUGAUGUAUUAAUCUAUAAAAUCUGGGUGUCAUAUUAUGAGUUCCAUUGCUAUGUUAAUCUAUGUACUAACAAUAUUAUGAAGUAAGGCAAUUUUGUGUACAUUAUAUAUAUAUAUAUGAAGUUAAGAACGUAAGUGCUGUUAAAUGGUACAUUACUCAGAUUGGUAAUAUAUUGGUGCCGAAUGUUCUAAAAUUUAACCAGCAUUACUGGUAAUAUAUUAGUGCCAAAUUUGACUAAUUAUUGUUGAUAUAUCUUCAAAAUUUUCAGAUUUGAUAAAGAUAAAAUGGCAAUAAUGAAUAAAAAUACUGACUUUUUAAGAUCGUAUUUAAUGAAGGGAAGUUGAAUGUAGAAACUAAAACGACCUAAGGGAAAUAAAAGCAAAAUAUGGAGAAGUUUUCUCGGGAAAACAAGUGUUAUCCUUCAUUUAUCUUGAUGAUUCUCUAACGCCGCCAAUUUCCCCCCUAAGUUUACAGCAAGAAGAAGAAAAAAAAGAAGACAAACGGCAACGUUAAGCCAUUUUGUUACCUAUUUAUUUUAUGUUUUUGUAAAUUAAACAUUUUUUGUAUACAUUUUGUUACCUAUUUAUUUUAUGUUUUUGAAGUUUCCAUUGCCAUUUCUACCUUUCCAAAAUGGUGUCUUUUUACUUGUUUUUUACUGGGUUAUUUCUUUGAUUUUAGGGUUCUAUAUGUAUUUUUUUUAUGAAUUUGAACUUGAGUUAGCCAUAAAAAUUCCACCUUUAAUCUCAAUAUAUGAACUUGGCUUUGCUUCUUAUGGUUAUUAUUUGUUUAAUUUUUUAAGAUAACUUCUUGAGAUCUGAUUAUUUAAUCCAUUUAUGUGAUUGAUAAUGAUAUUUUCAGGCACUUAAUCUUCCAUUAAAAUGGAGAAAGCCAACUACGAGCUGGAGCUGAAGAACGAGCGAAGGCGUGUUUGCAGUCUCUUAUACGAGAUUGAUUGUAGAAAACAACAGUCGUUCGAAAUGGAACGUAAAUAUUGUUGGAUUGCUGGCACCCCUACGGCGCAGCGGAAAAAAAUAAAAUCGGCGACCCUAACCAUGGAUCCAUGUGUGAGGAACGAAUCGGGGUGAUCAAGGUUACGAAAUUACCUAAUGUUUAUUCAGAGUAGACAGCAACACCUCUACAACGAAUAGUCUGAUCUGCUGUCGAACCAAGCCGCAAUCAAUCGUGAUCCCGGCCUCUACGUAAUCCACCCAGUUGACUACGAACGAAAGGAAUCCCCAAAAUAGUUUUGAGAGUUAUUUUUCUUUGACGGUUGCUAGACCAAAAAUAAAGAAAAACGGGAUUCUUAUAUCCUAUUAUUAUAGGGUUUUUAGGAAUUAAAUAAAUAUAAUAAUAUUUUAAAUCGAAAAUUAUAAUUACAAUAAUUAUAAUAUAAUUUCGGUAAACCAUAUAUUUAUUUGAAUUCAUAUGCUAACCAAAUUCAUGUCCUCAUUAUGCGUACAACAAACUUGUACAUAAUGUGUUGGAAAUUUGAUUACCGAGCGAAACCCAAAAAUAAUACCAACUAUGGUUUAUUCCGUUCAUUUCAACUAUAGGGUGUGACCCUGUAGGUUCUUGUAACGUUAGCAGUAAUACUAGAACGAUUCCAAUGUUACAAACAAUGAGUGACAUCUAGCAAUGCAUCAUUGCUACCUAAGUCACAAGAGAUCAUGAUUCGACACAACCUUUUAUGAUUAACCUUUUAUGCAAUAAUCCUUAAGUCCUUUAUCUCUGGAUUGGACACAAGUCAUGGAAUAGUCACACUUGUAUAGUCCAUUCCAUGUUCCUUGAUAUUUUAAGUAGACUACGAUAUACAAAUAAGUAUGACAUCUCAUAUCAACUUAUUUGAGCAUGCAUGGCCAUGCAUUUCUAGUCUCACUUAAUCAAGUGGCCUAAGCUAUUACUCCUAUUAUGUAGGAGGGACUUAUUCUAUAUCGACCAACCAUAUCCCUCUACAUCGAUUGUGGUAUAUCCAACACCAGCCUUUAUAGAACAACCAGUUACGGUGUACGUUUGACUGUAUCAAAAUAUACUACUCACGAUGUUGGGAUUAUGAUGAUCUCAAGUCUGAGGAUCAUAUACAUAUUAAUCACUAUGAGUAAUGUCGUGACAAUUACAUAAUAAUCCAAGAAACAUACUCAUAAUGGGUCAGUCCAAUAUGUUGUUCUCUAACACACAUAUUCAUGCGUCGAUUCUGAUAUUCCAUAUCAAUGAUAACUCUUUAUCAUCACUCAACUACAUGUUAGUUUUAAUGCAUUAUCGUUGUCCUAUCCAACAAUAAUACUUGACUAAGGAUCUUUUAAGAAUAAUCAUAUUAUUCUUAGGACAUUAUUAGAAAACAGUUUAUUUAUACACACAGAAAAGAAACUGAAAUAAUAAUGGUAAUGCCUUAUAUUAAUAAACAUGAUAAAUCAAGUAUGUUAUUACAACCAUCUCAUGAUUGAUCUUUGGGCAUACUCUAACAAAUAUAACAAGACGACAGCGACUCUUCAAGGACUCGUUGAUGGCCUCAUAGCGAAAAUUAACUCCAAGGACAGUUGUUUGUGGGAUUGGGAGCUUCGAUAUAACGAAACCGUGAGACAGUUGAAGAGCGAGAACGCGGUGUUGCGCUGUGUGUUUGCCGAAGGUACUUUAGAUUAUAUAUGCAUACAGUAGUGAGCAUAAUACUAUGUAUUAAUCGAAUCAGGUGGUACAAUGAACGACUUCUUGUCUUUUGAUGUUACACGAUUUGCAUCUAGAGCUUUGAUUGAUCUUAGGGUCGUUCUUUCGGUACGAAAGAAGUCACGGAUUAAGGAUUGGGAAGGGGAUACAAUUUUCGGGAUUCGAAUCCCAAACUUAGCUUUUAUUACUGGAACUAGAUAAAUUUAGGCUUGGAUAAGCUUUAAUGUGUUCGGCACCUUUCCAACUUGUUUUCUUUUAUGCAGAAAAUCGAAAGGAAAAGGCUGAAAACUUUAAGCUGAGGUGUGAACUUAGACGGCGAACCAAGGAACUCGAAGAUUAUAAAUCUCGGGAUGAUAACAAUAUGGAACGAAGAAGCUUGUUGAAUGAAAUUGAAGCGGUUAGCAUACUCAGUCUUAAUUUUCGUUUUUGAUAUAUGAACUAUCUUUUAUCGAGAUUCGCUGGGAAAACCUGCAGUUAAAUUGUUGAUGGUUAUGAUCUACCGAGUGGACAUUUAACAAUGGGAUUGUAUCUGAUACAGCCGAAGGAGAAUGUGCCUUGUCGAGAUCUUGUUGAACUCGAGAAAACUACAAGCGAUUAGAUUGCUGCUCUAAAGGAACAAUUGGAGGAAACAUUAGAGGCACUGAAAGAUAUGGAAAGCCGAUACAGUUGUACGGUGAAACAAAUCUUAACUAAUCAAGAACUUUAAGAUGCUUGAAAAGAAUCGAUAAUUGUAUUUCCUCGUUUUCCUUUGUUUUCUUGGAUGUUUUAUUUCUUUAGGUGCAAGAAACACCUCUUCGAAAUCAGGUAUGAAAGUGUUAAACCGAAGACUUCUCUAGUUCUUGAUAUGAAGGGUCUAAAUGAUGUAUUGACAAGCCAAACAACUCUUGUAGUAAAAAGAAUGGGAGAGAUCGAUCAAAAAGCUUUUGAAGUUGCUAGCUCUGGGAAGUUCCCGAACGAAGAUUGGCAAGAAACAUGUGCUAAAUUAUGUUCAUUAUGGCAACAAAACGUGCAGGAUCCGAAAUGGCACCCGUUUAAAAUGAUCAAUAUCCGAGGCAACUUGCAGGUAUAGUGCAUACACCAACUAUUCUGUUAUCCGGUUAUCGAAAAUCCGUUUUUUUACUAAACGUGCUAAACAUGUAUGUCAGAAUUGAGCCAGUUUAUUACUCAAACUUACAUAUAUUAAAGGGAUGGCUACUCGGUAGUGUAGGAAAUAGUAGACGAAGACGACGAGAAGCUGAAGGAGUUGAGAAAUGAAUACGGUGAUGUCAUGUACGAGGCUGUUAGCACCGCAUUGAUGGAAAUGAACGAAUAUAAUGUGAGCGGAAGGUAUGCAGUCAUUUAAGCUAGUUGAGUGACCUGCAAUCUAGUUUAUCAUUUUUUAAAUAUUUAUAGUCUAUGAAUUUUGACUUUUCUUCCAAUAAUAUAUCUCCAAAAUUCUAACUUAACCUUUUUAAACUUUCUCAUGUCAUUAUUGUUAGAGUUAAUUGCACCAAAUAUCUCCAAACUAUAGCCCUUAUUCUAAAAUAGUCCUCAAACUCAAAAUAUUGUAAGUUACAUUUCCAAAUUAUCAAUAAUAUUCUUCUGAUGCUAAAAUCAUUAAAUGAGACGUCAAAUCUUAUGAGACAUAAUUUAAAAUAAAAAACUUAAAAGAAAAAUGAAUAUUAUAAAAAUAUUGAUUUCAAGGUUGAAGUUAUUACAAAAACUAUCAUUCAUUUUCUCUUUUACUUUAUUUUUAAUUUUUAUUUUUAAAAGUUGUAUCAACUACAUUUUACUUUUCUUUAAAAAUAUCAUUUUAAAUUAUUAGUGUCAAUAAUAAAAGGAUGAGAUAAAUAGUUUAAAAUAUUUUAAAGUUGGGAGAAUAAUUUAAAAUAAAGAUGCAAUAUUGUUAAUCUAGUACUAUUUCAUAAUAUCAUUUUAUCGUUUCAACUUUUGAAGACAACAUUUUUAUUUUUGAAAUAUUUUAAAGACAACAUUUAAAGAUUGAUUAUAAUAAUAUUGUUGCAUGGAAAAAGAAUUUCCACGUCAGCGAAAAGGCUUACGUCUGACGUGUGCUUAAUGUUAUUCGAAAAGUCAAAGGUCGAGAAAGUUUAGGGCGGGUCACACAUAUCACACGCCAUGCACAGGUUUUCUUAUUUCGAGGCUAAAAUACCAAAAUACCAUCACAUUUCUCGUUAAACUUACCACUUAAUCAACGAUCCUCUAAAACGAUGUAAGGACAUAUUAGAAAUUUUAAUCACAAUAAUAUCACCAAAUCUGAAAAGUUACAAAUGAGGCAAAAAAAAAUACGAGUAAUAUUUGGCCAUAAAAUGUAUAUAUUCAUUCCCUCUAAACCAGUCGGUUAAGCCUCACAAUCCAACGUAACUGUAAAUCUUUCUUGGCAGCCAUGAAAUCAGUUCUAAAAUCCCUUGCAAACUCAAUCUUCCUUGUUCUUUUCAUCAUCUUUUCAUCUUCUACUCCACUUGUAUUGGCUCAAUGUGAAGCAGAGACCAAGACUAAUGGAUGCCAUAACUACAGAGAAUCCAUGAAGCUAAAAAUCAUUGCCAUUGUCGCAAUUUUACUAUCCAGCAUGAUUGGCUUGUGUGUACCAUUGUUUUCUGGUCAGGUUCCGUUACUUAAACCCGACAGGGACUUGUUCACCAUUGUCAAGGCAUUUUCCUCCGGUGUUAUUCUAGCGACUGGGUACAUGCACGUGCUACCGAAUUCUUUCAACGACCUUAUGUCCGGGUGUUUGCCUAAAAACCCAUGGAGGAAGUUCCCUUUCACAACCUUCAUCGCAAUACUGUCGGCUGUGUGGACCCUUAUGGUGGAUUCAUUUGCAAUGAGUGUAUACAAGAAACGUUGCGGUAAAGCUUUAAUGGCGGAUGCUAACAAUGGUGGUGGAUUGGAAAAUACGAACGUUGUACCAAUCGAUAAUUUUGAACACGGCCAUAGCCAUUCACUUGAGAUGAAUGACGACGUAUCAUCACAAUUGUUAAGGCAUCGAGUUAUAGCUCAGGAAUAUAUACAUGUUUGAAUCCUCAAAUUCGAUGAUUUUGCUUUUCAAGUCUUUACAUUAUAUAUUUCCUAAAUGUAGGUAUUAGAGUUGGGAAUUGUAGUUCAUUCAGUGGUGAUUGGUCUUGCAAUGGGAGCCUCUGGCAACCAAUGCACCAUUCGAUCACUCAUUGCUGCCCUUUGCUUCCAUCAAAUGUUUGAGGGGAUGGGACUUGGUGGAUGCAUACUGCAGGUAACCCCCAACAUUGCACUAUUUUCUCAUUCAAACAUCCAUUUAGUGUACACUAUUGAUUAACAUUAUGUUUGAUAUGUGCAGGCUGAAUAUGAUAUAAAAAUGAAAGCAAUCAUGGUAUUCUUCUUUUCAGCCACAACACCACUUGGAAUAGUUCUGGGAAUUGGUUUGUCCAAGGUUUACAGUGAGACGAGUCCAACUUCACUUACGGUGGUGGGACUACUUAAUGCUUGCUUAGCAGGGUUGCUGAAUUACAUGGCACUGGUUGAUCUCCUUGCAGCUGAUUUUCUGGGCCCUAAGCUUCAAACAAAUAUGAAGCUCCAGGCUUGGUCAUAUGUUGCAGUUUUACUUGGUGCUGGAUUUAUGUCUUUGAUGGCAAAAUGGGCUUAGUCAUUUCAACAUAUACAUGUCUUUUUGUAGUUUUUUAAUCUUUUUUUUUUUUUGCUUCAACAGAUGAGUUUAUAGUGAAUCAACAGUUAUUCAAUCAAUUAUAAAAUUUAGGCAAAGAAUUUAGGCAACAAGGCUUGAACAUUGACCUUUAAGAUCGUUUACUCCAUAUUGCAGGGCUCAUCACAAAGUAUAUAACUAUAUAUAUCAGAGAAGUAUGCAAACUUCAAUUUUGUGUCAGUAUCAUUAUAAUUUAAACUGUUUAAUGUUAAAUCAGAUGUAGAUGUCUUUAAGCCAAUGCUUAUAGCCACAAAGUCUCUUUGGUGCAAGCUAUAAGGACAGAGUUAUGCUAUAAAUAAACAAAUAAAUGUUGUAUAAAACCCUUCUCCUCAAAAACAAAACGAUAGCGACAGCCUGCUUUCGGUAGAUGGAAGAUUUUCUAUUUCCUCCAUUUACCAUCUCUGGUUUGCUUAUCUGCCUUGUUGCCCUAUGUUGGUUGGGCCAAACAAAUAGCUUGAAAUCUUUAAGUAGCACUUUCAUCCCUCCAGUUAUAUAUGCAAUUUUAUAUGUUGAACCAUCAUACCAUGCCAAUUCACUGCACAUUAAUUGACUAGUACCUAACAGGAUUAAUUUACAGCUUACUAGAAUCAUCCACAAGACUUUGAGGGAUUAAUUGGGGGUCAAAAGACAGUUUUAAAUAUCAAAAAGGCUUCUACUGUUUCUGUUUUUUUCCAGAAGUUUCAAAUGGAUCAAUAGUUAAAGUUGAUCAUAUAGGAUGAGCAAGUGACUGUGUUACGUUCUCACAAUAUAAGAAAUAAAAAUACCAAUAGAACAGUAAUUUUGGGAAGAAAAUGGACUGGUAUUUGAUGGAAUUAUAACGAAUUACAAGGAAAAUUUGCAGAAAAGAGAUGAGAGAAGAAAGUUACAGACUUAGGGGAUGAGAAAAGAACAGAAACAUAUUGCUGCAAUGAUGAUAUUUUUCUGGUAUUUUUCCUCCUUAAAACCAGGAUAGCUGCAUAGAGGAGUGUGAACCGUUAUUCCCUUCCACGUGCAACUAGCUGAGGUGUCACUUGACAAAAUCCUUCAGCCAUUUGGAAGCCAUUCUGGGCCGAGUGCUCCCUCUAGUAGCCUGUGUAGUGGCUAUUCCAGUAGCCUUCUGCGGCCUUGGUGGGUCGUUCACAACAUUACCCCCCACAUCGAGACACACCUUGUCCUCAAGGUUGAGAUCAGGAAAUAACUUCAACAUGUGAGCCUUAUCUUCCCAAGUUGCUUCAUCAAUAGAUGAACCGUCCCAUUGUACCAGCCAUUGCUCAAUCAAUGAAUUAGCCCGCUGAAUAGACCUCAUCUCCAGUAUAGCAGUUGGUUGCAAUAUAAGGGCAGACGUAGAAUCAGCGAGGUAGAGAGGUGUUACCUGUUGAUCUGGUUGUCCGAGGCAUUUCUUGAGCAAGGAAACAUGAAAUACAGGAUGGAUAUGCGCGAAUUCCAGCAGCUCCAAUCUGUAAGCAACCUCGCCAACACGGCCAAUUACCUUAUGAGGACCAAAAUAACGUCUACUCAGCUUGUGGUGGCGUUGCAAACGAAUAGAAUGUUGGCGAAACGGUUGGAGCUUGACAUAGACCCAAUCUCCCUCGACAAAAGUCACCUCACGACGGCUCCUAUCAGCUAGUAACUUCAUCUGAUUCUGUGCUCGCUGUAAAUUCUCCUUUAGCACCCGAAGAACUUGAUCACGUUCCACGAGCUGAGCUUCCACCAAAGCAUUACCAGAAGUAUCUCGCACAUAACGAGCAACAGUAGGAGGAGGACGACCAUAUAGAACCUCAAAGGGUGUCAUUUUGGCAGCCGUUUGAUAAGCCGUAUUAUACCAAAAUUCAGCCCAUGGCAACAUGUUUGUCCAAGUCGAGGGAUGAUUCGAAGUAUAGCAUCGAAGAUACAUUUCAACGCAUUUAUUCAAUGCCUCAGUUUGGCCGUCGGAUUGUGGAUGGUAGGUAGUACUCAUACUCAGAGUUGUACCCUGCAAAUGAUGGAUUUCCUUCCAAAAGUCACUGAGAAAUCGAGGAUCGCGGUCUGAAACAAUCUCUACUGGUACGCCAUGGAAACGAAUAAUCUCCUGAACGAAAACAGCAGCCACUAAAAUGCUAGUAAAAUUAGUGGGCAAUCCGAUGAAAUGGCCGUAUUUGGAUAAUCUAUCAAUGACAACGAAGAUAACGGUUUUGCCUUUGGAAGAAGGUAAUGCCGUGAUAAAAUCCAUAGAGAUGCUCUCAAAAACCAAAUUGGGAAUCGGUAAUGGCUACAGCAAACCACUAGGACUUAAGGAUGAGGCUUUCAUUUGCUGACAAAUUUGGCACUCUUUGACAUAUUGCUUAACAUCCCGACGCAUAGAAGUCCAAAAGAAAUUUGAUGAAAGACGAUGAAAGGUGCGUGUAAUACCAGAAUGGCCACCGAUAGGAGAUGCGUGAAACUCAUGAAUAAGCUGUAAACGGAUAGGAGAAUCAGCUAGAAUCAUUAGGCGACCCCGAAAUAGUAACAGCCCCUCAUGGAAACUAAAGUCGGGAAAUUGUGCUGGGUCAGCGCACACUCGUUGCUGCAUACUCAAAAGUUAAGGGUGUUGUAAGUUGGCUGCACGAAGAUCAGCAAUAAGAUCAAAUUGCACAGUAGAUAAAGCAAGCAAUUAAGAGGAAGGGAUGCGAGAAAGAGAGUCAGCAGCAGCAUUCAACUUCCCAGGGCGAUAGAUAAUGUCAAAGUCAUAACCAAUAAGCUUGCUCAACCAUUUCUGUUGCUCGGGGGUUUGUAUAACUUGUUGCAUGAGAUUCUUAAGUGGCUGUUGAUCAGUGAUAAUUGUAAAUCUCCUCCCCAACAAAUAUUGCCGCCAUUUCGAAACAGCUUGGGUGACCGCAUACAUUUCACGUUGGUACGUUGAGGAUUGUUGCAUGCGAAGACUCAGUUGCUGGCUGAAAAAUGCUAUUGGAUGCUUAUCUUGGGACAAAACGGCUCCGACCCCGGUACCGGAAGCAUCUGUUUCAACUGUAAAUGAUUUCGUGAAGUCCGGCAAAGCUAAGACAGUGGCUGAACUCAAAACUUCUUUCAACUUGAUAAAAACAUUGGUAGCAGAUUCAGUCCAAAGAAAGUUAUCUUUGCGAAGAAGAUUAGUAAGGGGUCCUGCAAUAGAGGCAAAAUGUUGAACAAAGCGUUGAUAGUAUCCCGCGAUACCAAGAAAUCCGCGAAUCUCCUUAAUUGAACGUGGCAAUGACCAUUUUUGAAUUGCAACAAUUUUAUCAGGAUCGACGGAUACACCUUGGCUAGAGAUGAUAUGCCCCAAAUAUCCAAUAGAAGUUUGGCCAAAAAUACAUUUGGAUUGCUUUGCCACUAAUUGAUGGUGUCGUAAAACCGAGAGCACAAGAAGAAUGUGCUCCAAGUGAGUCUCCCAAGAAGGGCUGUAAAUUAAGAUAUCGUCGAAGAAAACGAGUACAAAAUCCCGCAAGUAAGGUUGAAAAAUGUUGUUCAUGAGACUUUGAAAGGAGGAUGGCGCAUUGGACAAGCCAAAUGGCAUUACGAGGAAUUCGUAAUGCCCCUCAUGAGUUCGAAAGGCAGUUUUGUACUCAUCGCCAAUACGAAUUCGCAGUUGAUGAUAGCCGGCCAACAAAUCCAAUUUAGAAAAAUACACCGCACCAUGUAACUCAUCAAAAAGUUCAUCAAUGGAUGGAAUAGGAAAUCGAUCCUUAAUGGUAAUGGCAUUUAGGGUGCGAUAGUCAACACAAAAUCGCCACGUACCAUCCUUCUUGCUCAUAAGUAGUACUGGAGAAGAGAAAGGGCUAGUGCUUGGUCGAAUAAUUCCAUCCCGAAGCAUUUCAGCAACUAGUUUUUCAAUCUCAUACUUCUGAAAAUAUGGAUAACGGUAAGGUUUAACAUUGAUUGGCUCAUGGUCAGGCAACAAAUGUAUCGCAUGAUCACAAGCGCGAAUAGGAGGGAGACCUUGCGGUUUGAGGAACACAUCAGAAAAUGAAGCAAGUAGCUGUUCUAAUUCCAAGGGGAGGGGCGUGGAAUUAACAGGAUGAGAGGAAACCAAUUCCAAAUGAAAAUAUUCUGCAAUAGCAUUGAUUUGUUGAAGGCGGCGUAACCAAUUAAAUUGUACCGAUUGAACCGAGGAUGAGGCUUCUCCUGUCCAUCGAAUAGACUGACCGUGAUGCUUGAACUCAAAAACAGAUGACCCAUAAUCCAUCAUAACUGGUCCGAGGGUGGAUAACCAAGUAACACCAAGGACCAUGUCCCAUCCCUUUAAUGGUAAGACAUAAAAAUCAAUGCAUAUUUCACAGCCUUGAAUUACCAAUGGUACUUGUUUGACAAUGCCAGUGCCAAUUAAACGCUCUCUACUGCCGACCAAUACAGAGAAACUAGGAGAGGCAGUUAUUGGAAGAUUCAAAUACUUGGCCACACGGGUUUGCACAAAGUAAUGUGUGCUCCCACCAUCGAGUAACACCCGGACUUGUUUGCCAUAAACUGUACCCUCAAAUUGAAGAGUAGAAGAAGAGCAACCUUCAGCAAGGGCAUUAUAAGAAAUCGAAGAAUGGAGCUGUAACGUGGUGUCAGGUGUGGUGGAAUCAGGAACAGCAGGUGAAGAUGGCGAUAAAAAUUCAGGCGCGAGAGCAUCAGGUGGCUCGGACUCUUCUUUCAAGAGUAACAGGUGGGAUUUUGCUUUGCAUUUGUGACCCCACUCAUACUUCUCAUUACAAUGAUAACAGAGGCCUUGUGAACGGCGGUGAGCAGCCUCAGUAGGAGUAAGGCGGCGAAACGAAACACGGUUACCUCCGGGCAAGGUUGCGCUUGCUGUUGGGAUGGAAGGAGAAAAUACUGAAGUACCAGGAGAUUGUUUGGGAGUUGGUAACAAUGGUUUAGAACCACUCAGGCUGGGCUUAAGUACCCCACGUUCCAGCUGAAUGCGUUGUUCAUGGAGCUGGGCUAGAUGCAUGGCUUCGGACAAGGUGGCUGGUUUGUGAACCAAAACGGAGUGUUUAAUGUCAGCGUAGAGCCCUGAAAUAAAGCAAUGAGUCAAGAACUGAGUCAGAAGAUGCACCGUGUGAUUUGUAAUGGCUUCAAACUCAGAGCGAUAAUGAGCCACGGUAGAGUUCUGCUGCAACUUUGCCAAAAUUCCCUCGGGUUCCUCCAGGUCAUGAGAACGAAAUCGCUGCAAUACAGCAGCUGUGAACGCUGGCCAGCCCGUAAGUUGCCUGUUUCUAUGCAUCCAGUCAUACCAAUCUGAAGCGGCACCAUCAAAAUAAAACGAAGAAAUAGUUACCCGAUCGUCUAGUUUGAUUUGAUAAAAAUCAAAGUAACGCUCUGCCUGCAUUACCCAACGUUUAGGAUGAUCGCUGGCAAAUCGAGCCAUCUGUACCGGAGCGGGUUUAUGACGGCCCAAAGGAGUGAAACUGAUGAAGUUGGUUCAGCAUGCAGCAAACUCGACAGCAUGCAGGCCAUGAAGACCAAGUCAUGCAGGAGCUGCUGAUGCAAGCUUAUUUUGUUUAUUUUGUAAUUCCUAGUCAAUGAAAUGUAAUCUUAGUUCAUUUCUAACUAAGUUAGAUUGUUGACUGAUGUAAUUAGCUUAUGUAUAAGCUGUAAACACAACUUUGUGUAAGUUUACAAGCCAAAAUUUCAAGUUUCCAUGUCAUUAAUGGAGGUAGGUGAUGUUUAGGUAAUUACUUACUGUUUUUGACAAGCUUAGUGCCUGUUUUAUGUAUUGGCAUUGUGCCAUUAUGCAUUUUAUGAAUGAAGUUUAGUUUGUUCAUCAAUUUCUCUAUUCAUUUUUCUUAGCUUUUCUUCCUUUCUCUUGCUCGAAUUCUCUUGUUUGCUCAGCAAGUCUCGAGACUUGCUUAACAAGUCUGCACUGAAUCUGUUAGUUUUAGUUACAGCACCAACAAUUAGUAUCUAGAGCCUAUUUCUUAAGGGAUCUGUUACACAAAUCCAUGGCUUCAUCAAGCUUUUCACCAGUUGCACCUCAAGUCUUCAAUGGAGAAGGCUAUCACAUAUGAGUGGUCAAAAUGAAGACCUACCUGCAGGCUUUCGAUCUGUGGGAGGUGGUCAACUCUGAUGUUGAACCAGAGCCACUUAGAGCUAAUCCAACAGUGGCUCAGAUCAGGCAGCAUGCUGAUGAAAGGACCAAGAGGCACAAGGCUAUGUCUUGCAUCCAAAACUCAGUGUCUGAUGUGAUUUUCACAAGGAUUAUGGCCUGUGAAUCACCAAAACAGGCCUGGGACAAGUUGCAGGAAGAGUUUCAAGGGACAGAGAGGACAAGGCAGCAACAGUUGUUAAACUUGAGGAGAGAUUUUGAGAAUUUGAAGAUAAAGGAAGAAGAAACUGUCAAGCAAUAUUCUGACAGGAUUAUGGUUGUGGUUAACAGCAUCAGGCUCCUUGGAGAGCAGUUCAAUGAAGCUAGGAUAGUGGAGAAGGUUAUAGCAACUCUGCCUGAGAGGUAUGAGGAAAAAAUCUCAUCUCUCGAGGACUCAAGGGACCUGUCCACCAUCUUCCUGACAGAGUUGAUCAAUGCUCUAUAUGCUCAAGAGCAUAUGAGAGCAAGCAGACUGGAGGAGCACCAAGAAUGUGCCUUUCAGGCAAGAACAAAUACUGCCUACAAAGGCAAGAAGGCCUGGAGAGACAAGCCAAAGAAUGAUGCUGCAAGGAAAGAAGGUCAGACUUGCAAGCACUGCAGAAAGGCUGGUCAUUCAGAAGAAAAAUGCUGGUUCAAUCCAGAUGCUGUGUGUCAGCAUUGUAAGAAGAAAGGUCAUGUUGAGAGAGUCUGUAAGAGCAAGGCCAAAUCAAUGCACAAUCAGUUUCAACAGAUGAAAGCUGAGGCUCGAGUAGCUAAGGAGGACAGUGACCAAGAGGAGCAAGUUUUUGCUGUGUCAUGCUCAGCUGCUCAGGAAAGGUCCUCAUCUGGUUGGCUCCUAGACAGUGGAUGCACCAACCACAUGACACCGGAUGCUGCAAUCUUCAAGUCUUUAGACAGAAGCUGCAGAACUAAAGUCAAGAUAGGAAAUAGUCAUUUUAUUCAAGCUGAAGGCAAGGGUGAUGUGCUGAUAUGCACCCUUACAGGUACCAAAGUGAUUUCAAAUGUGCUGUUGGUGCCUGAAAUUGACAGAAACCUGCUCAGCAUAGCUCAGUUGCUGGAAAAAGGUUAUUCAGUUGUGUUUAAAGACCACCAGUGCCAAAUCAGUGAUCCAAGUGGAUCCAAACUGAUGGCAGUCCCUAUGGCUGAUAAGAGCUUUGUGGUUGACUGGACAAAGAAGUCAGACAUUGCCUACACAACCACUUCAGAUGAAUCCAAGCUGUGGCAUCAAAGACUGGGACAUGCCAACUUCAUAUCGAUGGCCCGAAUGAUCAGAGAAGACCUGGCUGAAAACUUCAUCAACUCAGUGGACCAUGAUGAUGUAUGUGAAGUAUGUCAGCUAGGAAAGCAGGCCAGACUCCCAUUUCCCUCGAAUCAAGCCUGGAGAGCCUCUGAAAAACUCUAACUGGUGCAUACUGAUGUGUGUGGCCCUAUGAAGACUGAGUCAUUAAGUGGAAACAGAUAUUUCAUACUGUUCAUUGAUGAUUUCUCGAGAUAUUGCUGGAUUUACUUCUUAAAACAGAAAUCAGAGGUGGCCACUGUGUUUUGGAAGUUCAAAACUUCUGCUGAGACUGAAACAGGCUGCAAGGUGAAGACCAUAAGGUCUGAUAAUGGGACUAAGUACACCUCAGCUCAGUUCCAAGCCUUCUGUGAUAAGGCAGGCAUCAAACAUCAACUUACCAACACAUAUACACCUCAGCAGAAUAGGGUAAGUGAAAGGAAGAAUAGGAGUUUGAUGGAUAUGGCCAGGUGCUUGAUGAUUCAGAAGAAUCUGCCUAAAGCACUAUGGGCAGAAGCAGUUAACACUGCAACAUACAUUCAAAAUAGACUUCCAACCAAGGCUUUGGAUCAAAAGACCCCAUUCGAGGCCUGGUUUAGCUUCAAGCCAUCACUGGCUCAUCUGAAGGUCUUUGGAUGCAUCUGUUAUGCACAUGUACCUGCUGUUAAAAGGGACAAAUUGUCUGAAAGGGCUCGACCUGGUGUUUUGGUGGGCUAUAGCACUGUUAAGAAGGGCUAUAAGAUUUUAGAUCCUUCAACAAACAAAGUGUCAAUAAGCAGAGAUGUGGUAUUUGAUGAGAGGUCAUGUUGGAACUGAGAAAGACAUGAACCUGAAGAAGUUUCUGAAGAACUUGCAACAGACCAAGCUGAGCCAGACCAAAAUGUCCCUGAAAUGGAUAUUGAUGAUGAACCAGUCAGAGGAACAAGGCCAUUGGCUGAAAUUUAUGAAAGGGCUCAUGUAGCCAUAGCUGAACCAAGCAACUUUGAAGAGGCUGAGGCUCAGUAAGGGUGGAAGCAGGCAAUGGCUGAGGAGAUCAGCAUGAUUGAGAAGAACCAGACCUGGGAAUUGGUUGAAAGGCCAGUCAAAAGAAAGGUGAUUGGGGUGAAAUGGGUGUACAAAGCCAAGCAGAAUGCUGAUGGUACCUUGAACAAGCUGAAAGCAAGGCUAGUUGUCAAGGGGUUCAGUCAGAGGUAUGGCUUGGACUACCUGGAGACCUUUGCACCAGUGGCCAGGCUCGACACCAUCAGACUGCUGAUUGCCUUAGCAGCACAUCUUGAAUGGAAGAUCCAUCAACUUGAUGUGAAAUCAGCCUUUCUGAAUGGUUUCUUAGAUGAAGACAUCUAUGUUGAACAACCAAAAGGGUUUGAAAUAGCUGGCAGAGAGCAUAUGGUCUACAAACUGAAGAAGGCCCUAUAUGGAUUAAAACAGGCUCCAAGGGCUUGGUAUAGCAGAAUCGAUGGCUACUUGACUGAUCUGGGAUUCGAUCGAAGCAAGAGUGAGCCAACACUGUAUGUCAAGAAACAAGGGACACAAAUACAACUUAUUGUGUCCCUGUAUGUUGAUGAUCUUCUGGUGACAGGAGGAGAUCGAGUAGUGCUGGCUGAUUUCAAGACCAAGAUGCAGGAAGUGUUUGAUAUGUCUGAUCUUGGGGAGAUGUCAUACUUUCUUGGAAUGGAAGUGUCUCAAGUACAGAAUGAGAUAUUUCUAAGCCAGAGAAGCUUUGCCACAAAGAUUCUGACCAAGUUCUCCAUGCAAAACAGCAAGGCAACUAAAACACCUGUUGCUGUUGGAGAAAAACUAUCGAGCCAAGGUGAUUUUAAGAAAGUUUGUGAAACAACCUACAGGAGUCUAGUUGGUUGCUUGCUAUACUUGACUGCCACUAGACCAGACAUCAUGUAUGCUGUAGGAUUACUCUCAAGGUUCUUGCAUUGCUGCAAUGAGAAGCAUUUCCAAGCUGCAAAGGGAGUGCUGAGAUAUGUCAAAGGCACUUUAAACUAUGGUUUGAAGUACAGCAAAGAAGGAAAUCUGAAGCUGGUUGGCUACACUGAUAGUGACUGGGCUGGCUCGAUAGAUGACAUGAAAAGCACCUCAGGGUAUGCUUUUAACCUUGGUUCAGCCAUGUUUUGCUGGAGCUCAAAGAAGCAAAGCCUAGUAGCUCAAUCUACUGCUGAAGCAGAGUAUGUGGCAACAGCAAGUGCUGUCAACCAAGCCAUAUGGCUAAGGAAAAUAUUGGCUGACUUGAAUGUGCAUCAAGAGGAAGCUACUGAGAUCUUCUGUGACAACCAAUCUGCAGUAGCAAUUGCUAAAAAUCCAGUGUUCCAUGGAAGAACAAAACAUUUCAGCAUCAAGUUGCAUGUUGUUCGAGAAAUGGAGCAAGCUCAGGAAGUAAAGCUGAUCCACUGUAAUUCAGAGGAUCAACUUGCAGACAUUUUAACCAAAGCCCUUAGUGUCACAAGGUUCGAAUGUCUAAGAAAGAAGCUAGGUGUUUGCUCCAUGCAAACCAAGGAGGAGUAAUGAAGUUGGUUCAGCAUGCAGCAAACUCGACAGCAUGCAGGCCAUGAAGACCAAGUCAUGCAGGAGCUGCUGAUGCAAGCUUAUUUUGUUUAUUUUGUAAUUCCUAGUCAAUGAAAUGUAAUCUUAGUUCAUUUCUAACUAAGUUAGAUUGUUGACUGAUGUAAUUAGCUUAUGUAUGAGUUGUAAACACAACUUUGUGUAAGUUUACAAGCCAAAAUUUCAAGUUUCCAUGUCAUUAGUGGAGGUAGGUGAUGUUUAGGUAAUUGCUUACUGUUUUUGACAAGCUUAGUGCCUGUUUUAUGUAUUGGCAUUGUGCCAUUAUGCAUUUUAUGAAUGAAGUUUAGUUUGUUCAUCAAUUUCUCUAUUCAUUUUUCUUAGCUUUUCUUCCUUUCUCUUGCUCGAAUUCUCUUGUUUGCUCAGCAAGUCUCGAGACUUGCUUAACAAGUCUGCACUGAAUCUGUUAGUUUCAGUUACAGCACCAACAGAAACCAACAAAAUCCGUCGAAGGAGAAGCUCCUGGAGAAUCCACAAUGGAUGUCCCCUUGAGUUUAGCCAAAACCUCCUGAAGAAGACGCCUCUGAUCUUCCACUGAAGAAGCUAACAGGUCAAAAUCACGACGCAUUGUUGCUUGAGAAUCGGCAAUUGCCUUGGUGGGUCGUUCACAACAGACUGACAUUAAUAGUGACCACAUAUCAAAAGAAAUAUAAAGAAAGAAGGAAGAGCAGAAUUAUUGAAAAAGUUUGAUCAUGUGGCUAUACUAUAUAUAUUUCAAUGUGCAAGAAAGGAGAUAUAUGAGUCAAAUAAUUUUGUCCUAUUCAAAUAAAAAAAAUGGGGAGGCCACAAUAGACCAAAGUGUCCCCUCAUGCAAUAAAAGGCUUUUUGUGAGUGGCUUUGGUAUAGUAUUCCAUGUGAAUGAGCACUUAUUUGCCUCCACACUCUUUUAUAGGCCCUAUGAGGAUUUAGCUAUAUCGCAGAAGUGAGGUUAAUUUUAAUGAGACUAAUGAUAAAAUGAAACAAUAUUUUGAGGGUUAAAUUAAAUUGAAUAUUUUUAUGAUAGCGAAAAUGUAAUUUUACCAUUUUAAUAGUCUAUAUAUAAAAAGAUCAAAUAAAUUUUUUAGCCUUAAUUUGAUCUUUACUUUUUAAAAUUACAUAAAAGUUCAGAAUUAAAAAGAACACAUAUUUUCAGUAAAAUCCAUUAAAAAAUUGUGGAAAACACUCUUUAAAGUUCGUGGAAAAAAGGGAUAAGAAGGGGUGACUAUUAGGAAAGCUGCAUAAGCACUUUUGUUUGUGAUCUAUCAACAACUUGUGGCUUCAUAUUGUGAAGUUAUAAAAUAUAAAGUUAUAAACAUUCAAGAAAUUAAUUUCACUAAAUAGAUUCAAAUUAUAGCAGCGACCAAAUUGGUGUCCACGCAUUUCUUUGUAAAAGCGUGUUCUCACUGACCUAUAUGAUUCCACACGUAAUGAAUUAAUUGGCCAACAACCUCAAAGUUUCUAUUUAUGAUCUAUCAUGUAAACAUAGGGGAAGACUUAACAAGAAAAAUUUGUCAAGUCGCCAGAAAAGGAAAAGAACUGAAAUGGCGGAGAUAGCUGUGGGUAUAGUUAUUGAUAGAUUAAUUUCAUUCCUUGGUGCGGAGGUGAAACUAUUUGGACGGCUUAAGAAAGAAGUUGAAGACAUCCGGAUCGAGCUCGACUACAUUGCUUGUUUCCUUAGACAAGCAGAUCCAAUGGUAGACAAAGAGGAUUCCAAUGGUGGCUUCAAACUAUGGGUGCAACAUGUAAGGGAGGUGGCUUUCCAGAUAGAAGAUGUUAUGGAUGAAUACAAGCUUUAUCAUGUUCCAGUUGCACAACAUCAGCAGCAGCAAGGUUUAAUGGCUUCCCUGAGCAGAAUAGCUCAUAUGGUCCAGACCGUGAAAAGGCAUCUCCAGGCAGCAUCAAAGAUCAGAGAUAUCAAAACAUCUGUUAAUGAAAUCAAGGAAAGAAGUGAAAGAUACAGGUUCAACACCCUGCAACAUGUUCCAGGUGAGAACUGUAACGAGCCGAUUGACCCUCGAAUGGGACUUCAUUUUGUCAACAGUGAAGCACUCGUGGGCAUUGAUUCUUCUCGACAAGAGUUGGCCCGUAGAUUGGCAGAUGCAGAGCUGAAACGCACAAUUGUUUCAGUGGUGGGGAUGGGAGGGGUUGGGAAGACGACCCUUGUUAAGAAAGCUUUUGAUGAUGAAAUCAUGGCAGGACACUUCGACUGCCAUGCUUGGAUCACCGUCUCUCAAUCAUACAGGGUGGAGGUGUUGCUAAGGACCAUGAUGAAGCAGAUGUAUGAGUCUCGAAAGCAGUCCCCACCUGUUAGGGUCGACGCAAUGGAUGGUGUAGAAUUGAUAAGCAUAUGCAGAGACUAUAUAUAUGAUAAAAGUUACAUCGUGGUGUUUGAUGAUGUAUGGAAGGAAGAUUUUUGGCGACAUAUAGAACAUGCUUUAUUGGAUAACAACAAAGGAAGCAGAAUUUUAAUGACAACAAGAAGUAUGAAUACUGCUGAGUUUUGCAAGAAAUCUUCACUAGUUCAUGUCCAUAAUUUGGAACCUCUUCCACUAGAACAGGCACAGGAGCUCUUACGCAGAACUGCUUUUCAGUAUGAUGAAGAUAAACAAUGCCCUGAAGAGUUGAAUGGUUUAACUUUUGAAUUAGUCAAAAGAUGUGAAGGACUUCCCCUUGCAGUUGUGGCCAUUGCUGGACUUUUGGCAACCAAAGGCAAGGAUGUUGGUCAAUGGAAACGCUUACUUGAUAGCCUUAGUGCUGAGCUAGACAGUAGUCCACAUCUUUCAUAUGUAAAACAGAUACUUUCUUUUAGUUAUUAUGAUCUGCCUUACCAUCUCAAGGGUUGUUUCUUGUUCAUGGGCAUGUUUCCUGAAGAUUAUCCCAUAAGUUGCAAGAGACUGAUUCGGCUGUGGAUCGCAGAGGGGUUCGUAAAAGGGAAACACAAUAUGACCUUAGAAGAAGUUGCGAUGACGUACCUAUCCGAAUUGAUUAACAGAAGCUUGGUUCAAGUAUCAGUGAUUGAUUCUAUUGGCAAUGUCAGAAACUGCCAGCUCCAUGAUUUGAUGCGCGAAGUUGUUGUUUCCAAGUCCAAAGAACUGAGUUUCAUUCAAACAUGUCCAGAAAAUUUGUCCAACCAUUAUCGUGUAGCUCGACAUCUUUCCAUCUGCAACAAAUCAAACAAUUUCCCAAUGGUUGUUGGUAAUUAUCAAACUCAUUCAGCAAUUUUCUUUGACAUAGAAGAGUUACCUAAAUCAUUCUGCUUCUUACAGUUCACAAAGUCCAAAUUGUUGAAAGAACUGGACUUUGAAGGAGCCCCAUUGACUUAUAUUCCAGAGGAACUGGGAAAUCUGUUCAAUUUGAAAUACUUGAGCAUAAGGGACACAAAGGUGAAAAAGCUCCCAAGAUCUAUAGGUAAAUUGCAUAAGCUUCAAACUUUGGAUCUAAAACGUUCUUUUGUAAGCGAGUUACCAGUUGAAAUCAACAUGCUCUUCAAUCUUCAAUAUCUUGUAGCUUACUACAAAGAUAAACAAAGCAUCUACAGUAUCAAUACUCGAAGAGGGAUGAAGUUAUAUUCCAACUUUGGGAGCUUAGAGUCCUUAGAAAAGCUGUAUGAGGUGGACUUGGAGGCCUACAGUGGUGGUAACUUCUUUCGCGAGUUAGCAAGAUUGAAGCGGUUGAGAAAACUAUGCAUCACUAAACUAAAAUCAGAAAGUGUGAAUGCUUUAUGUGAUGCAAUACAGCAGAUGAUCCACCUUCAGUCAUUGAGAAUUUCUUCUAUAAAAGAGGAAGAGCUUCUUCACCUACAUAAAAUGUCAUCCCCUCCGGUUUUUCUCCGUUGCCUCAGGCUACGAGGAAGAUUAAUGAAGUUACCUGGUUGGAUUUAUGAACUGAGGAACCUCACAAAACUUACCUUAGAAUGGUCAAGAAUAUCAGAUGAUUCACUUCAAAUCCUUGGUGUUCUACCAAAUUUACUCUUCUUUUGGAUUUUUGAGGGAUACAGUGGAGCUCAACUGCAUUUUCACAAGAAUCACUUUAAGAAACUCAAGGACUUGAGGCUUUGCUGGUUAAAUGAUUUAAAGAGACUGAUAAUAGAUGAAGGAUCAUUAACACUUGUAGAACAUCUAGAACUUGGACCUAGCCCCCAAUUGGAGGAGUUGCCUGCUACCAUUUCUCAUCUAAAAUGUCUGAAGACUCUUUCAUUUAACAAUAUGCCCAUGGAGUCGGUUCGAAAAUUGUUGCCUGAUGGAGGCUCUGAUCAUUGGAAAGUCAGGCAUAUUCCAAAUAUCUAUUUCCUUUACUUCACGGUUAAAGGAACACAGCAUGAAACCUACAAGCUUGGUGAUUCACGCUUGUUAGAACUCCUUAGUUGAAGCACUUGGAUGGAUCUCCUUCCAUGUCUUAAAAUUCCGAUGUUGGUACUGUGUCAGACACAGUUGAGUGGCCAAUAAAGAGGUAUGUUCAAUCUUUUUCUAAGUCUUAACAUGCAUUUGAGUGGUCCUUAGAGGAUCAUAUCUCCAUAACCAUAUUAUUUCAAGAAAAAAGAGCGAGAGCAACAUAGAUUUUACAUUGUUCUGGUUUGCUAUUUCUUUUAUUUUAUGUUUUUUGGAUGAUUUUACUUGUAGGACAGGGCAGGGACUCAAUGGUUUUCAGAUGGAUCAAUUCAACUGAAUGUAGAAUAACCAUAUAGGAAGAGACUAAAUUUGAAUCUACCAGUCUAACUGGUUAUAAUUACUUACCAGAUCAAUGUGGUUGAUUGAUGUAUGUUUCCUUCCCGGCCCCCAAUCUCAUAAAUAGCUCCUUGUACCUUAUGUCGUUUUUGCUUGUUAUAUUAUACUCAUUGUUUCACUUCACGUCAAUAGCUUCCACCUCAAAACCUAGAAAAUAUCAUCUUACAUGCAAUGGUAAAUUACAGGUUGCGUACAUGGAAGACAGUUUUCCAAAUAAAAAGGUAAUAAGUUAAGCAACGAAGUAUAUAAAAAAGGACUAAAUGAGAGGAAAUAAAUAAAUGAACUAAAGAGGGUUAAGCCUUUAAAAUACAAUGAACUACAAGAAGUACAUUCAGAAGUUGCAAUCAACAAAGCUAUGUUACCUGGACUCUUUAAUUUCCUAAAGUACUUAUUUGGACAUAGGAACGUGGUAUGAUCCUCCAAACAUAUUAAAGUCUUCAAAAAAAAAAAAGAAGAAAAAGCAUACUCAUAUCAUACACAUACAAUACUCAAGCCAAAUUUAGGUAACAGAGCUCCACAGGAAGAAAGUGUGGAGUUUCUUAAUCUAUUAUACAAACAGGGGCAACUGAAGCAACUUGAAAUUCCAAUAAACCAAAUACAUAGAGCAACUAAAACAUCAAGUUCCAAUGAACCAAACAUCCAUAUACGCAAGAAAAUGCAUAGCCAACAAAAGAGGGAGAAUCCAUAUAAAACUUCAUGCAAACUGAUAAAACAAAAGAUAAAAAAUAUCAAAUUUACAAUGAAAGCGCAUAAAGAGAGGACUGUGAAAGAGUUAAUAGCCAAAAAGUUGAGAGAAAGUGAUUCAAGGCAGAAAAAUUGAAACUCAAAGCUACUGCCUCAGCCAGUAUCAUACAUCUACAGCUUAAUUGAAGUUGAUUUCAGCUUCCAUUAUUACCCAUUUUAUUCUUUCCAUAAGAGAUUGAAGCAGAAAAAGGCUUAAACCAGAGUCAGCAAAUUUCAACAUCUCACCUUUGAUUUUAUUAAACUAUUGAUCCCGAAAAGAAACAUUGUUCAGGAACUGAUAACAAAAAGCAUUGAAGUUUGUAGCAAUGCAUUCAUAACUCCAAUAAAUAGAAGAGCUACAAUAUUAAAACUAACAAAAAGGGAGAGUAGGCUAUAGUUUAACUGGUGAUCAUUGUGCCAGCGCCCUCAUCGGUCAUAAUCUCAUGAAGCAACGAGUGCUCAACACGACCGUCAAUAAUGCUAGCAGUGGUAACCCCUUGAGCAAGCGAUCGAAUACAACAAUUCACUUUGGGAAUCAUCCCACCGCCUACCUUCCCUUCCUCAACCAUUUUCUUCACUCCCUUUAUAUCAAUCUCUUUCACCAAGCUUCCAGGGUCCUCUCGGUUUCUCAGAAUCCCUGCGACGUCGGUCAACAGAAUCAGUUUCUCACCCCCCAAUGCCGCCGCCACCUCACCAGCUACCGUGUCUGCAUUGAUGUUGUAAGGCUGACCAUACUCAUCCGCCGCCACUGAAGCAAUCACCGGGAUGCUUCCGUUGUCCACGAUCGUUUGGAGGACUGUGGGGUCCACUCUCGCAACCUCUCCGACAAACCCCAACUGUGCAGCGUUUGGGCUGGGCCUGGCAACUAAAAGGCGGCCGUCCAUGCCAGAAAGGCCCACGGCGGUGGCUCCAGCGUAAUUGAUACGAGAAACCAGGUCUUUGUUAACUUUUCCAACAAGGACCAUAGAAACAACUUCCAUGGUCCUGGCGUCGGUUACACGGAGCCCAUCGCGGAACUGAGCGGGGAUAUUGAGCUGAUUGAGAAGGACGUUGAUUUCAGGACCACCGCCAUGGACGAGGACGGGACGGAGGCCAACGCAGGAGAGGAGGACGAGGUCCCUGACAACAGAGGCCUUGAGCUCCGCAGAUUUCAUGGCGGCGCCUCCGUAUUUGACGACAAUGGUUUUUCCCCUAAAUUUCUGAAUGUAGGGGAGUGAUUCAGAGAGGAUUCGAACUCGAAGUUGAAGAUCGGAAUUGGUGAGAGAGGGAAGAGGCGGGUCAUUGAGGGCGGUGGAGGAGGGUGAAGAAGCUCUAAUGGAAAGACGAAGGCGACGAGAAUUGGGGGUUUGGAGAAUCUGAAGUUGAGGUUUAGGGUUUCUGCUUUUGAUUUUGUCUUUGUUAGGGAGAGAAAUGAAAGGGGGUCCUGUGAAGAGCAAAAAUGGAGAGAUUUGCCGGUGGCUGUUGCGCCCAUUUUUCUAUCUUCCUCUCCUCUUCUCUGCUGCUUUGGCUCUGGCUUAGAAGGAGCUAAUGGUGCACCCACUCAUUCACGACCCAGGAGUGUAAGCAAAUUAUUACAUUCUAUUUUCAAAAGAAUUUAUAAUAAUUAAAAAGAUAAAAUAAGAAACUAAAAUGAAAUUUUAUUAAAAUCCAACAGUGUGAUAUUAUCCUUCAUCCUUAUUAUUAUAUUAAAAAAAUUAUAAAAAAAAGUAUGUAAAAACAGGAUAAUAUCAUUUGUUUUGGACGAAAGACUUCAAUUUAACUUUAUUUUCGAUCUCAACCAUAUUGACACAAUUAUCUCCUUUUCUUUCUUAUCAAACAAUUGAAAAGGUCACAUUAAUUAUAUAUAUUAUUGACAUCUAAGUAAUAUUUAAAUUAUUAUGAGAAAAUAUUGUUUUAAUAUAAAAUUUAAUAAAUUAUGAUCUGUCAUGUCAAAUAAUCAAUAACAAGACUAUGUAUAGAAGUGUAUCUGAAUCCAUUGUUGAAGAUUGCGAAAGUUUUGAUCUUUCAAGAAAAUAGUUUUUCUUCUAGUAUAUCUCUGAAAUGGGGAUGGAAAAGAUAUAUGAGAUAACUCUAUUUCUUGGGAAUAAUUGAUUAUUAAAUUAGUUUUGAGUAUUUAUAAUUUGACCCCUCAUCAAGUUAUAAAUACAACUUACAACUUAUGAUAUCUACAUAUUAUUUUCAUGACACUUUGAUACCUAUGACACUUAUAACAUAAUUGGUCACUUAAUUUUGAUCAUAUUUUAUAAUAGCAUUAUACAUUAUAUAUAUGUGUCCAUAAUUGGGGAUUUUAAUCCAACAAUCUCCCACUUGGGCAACAUAUAUUUCCUGAUAAAUGUACAACUUUAUGGGCUCAAAAUUUUCUAUAAUAUAACAAGUAUUCUAUAACAGUCUUGUCCAUCAACUAUAUCCAUAUAGGAUCAAAUUAGUCUUUGUCAUAUUAAUCAUGACUAAACUCAUCAAUAGUCAGAUAUACAAAUAUAGUCAAAUGAUAUGGAUCAAUCAUAGAUGUGUAGCAUGGAAAUUACAUGCAAUGUGAACCAAACAUGCAUAUUUCCAACUGGUCAUCCUUAAACUUAAGCGAUGUCAAUAUCAAACAGAGUGAAUAAAUUAAAUAUUUCAUUUCUGAUCAGAAAAUAACCAAAUACAUAAAUGUCUGAAAACAAACAUAAAACAAAUAAAGCACAAACCCUCACUAAACCAUGAUGCCCUCAAAUAAUAUAACAUGCUGGGGAAUGUGCCCAUCUUGUAUUAAACAUGUAACUGUUUUCUAUUUAUUUGAACGAUGAAUAAAUAAAUAAAGUUAAUUUCACAUUCCACUAUUAUGUCAUUGUAUUUUCUGUUUUUUAUAUUUUGCAUGCAUAGCGAAAUUAUGACAAACAAAUAUUAGCUCAUUGAUUGUCUAAAGUUCAAAUUGAAGAUAAGUGACAUUGUAAAUAACGUUUACAUUGCGAGAAAGAAAACUUACUUCAGUAGAUAAUCUAAAUGAGUUUGUAAUUUUGUAAAAUAAUCAAAGUGAGCAUUUGAUUCAAAUACUGAGAAGGAUUAUUAUGUCGUCUACAAUUCCAAUUGGGGAGAUGACUAGUCUUGGCUAUUGGAGCAGUUGACUCCACAGGUAGAAACAUAGAUGUAUUCAUUGGUAGAAUGAUAUAUUGGACUAGACUCAAGAUGAAUUAAUUCUGAAUUUGUUUGUGAAUUAAUUCACUUGUGACGUUCAUGGUGUGAUUUACCUAAAUCCUAAGUUAGUCACUGACCAUGCGUAUGUAACUCAUGUGCUUUAAUAUAAUUGGAGGCUUAUGCUAUAAAGAUGAUCGAGCCCAUAGCCGAUAUGUUGGGUACAUGAUUUGUGUAUGGCAUGGCUUUACUAGAAAUAGUGGAAUUCAUAACUCAAUUAAAGAAUUAAUGAUAUCCUAUUAUUGGCAUUGUUUGGAUUGAUAAAUAUGGAACGUGGUGACGGAUCGCUAGUUCUCGAAUGAGUAAUUUAUCAUAAUCAUUUGUUGACAGUGACCAUAUUAAUCAUUAAGAAGACACAAUGGUGACAAUGAGAUAAAAUAUGAUUGUAUUAAGUGAACGGAUUUAACUCAAAGGAAUCAAAGAUAUCAUAUGAGGAUAACAACACUUGAUGAGGUCAUUGGACAAAGUAGUUGAAUGAAUUGCUUUCACAAACAGUAUACAAUAAGGAGUUUUCAAUCAUGGUAUUUCUUGUGGACUGACUCUAUGAUUAAGUAAUUGUGAAUUAUCGAAACGAUGCUUCUGGACAUAAUUGCAAUCAUUAGAGAAUAAUUGUAUAUGUUUGAUUGGUCCCUCCGUUAGCUCAACAAAAGCUUGAUCGAACUGCAUUUGAAUCAAAAAUAAAUUCUACGACUUUGGGAAUAAUUUAAUUGAGUUAAUUUAUUCAAUGUGGAAAUAAAUUAGGUGGUCGUAAGAAAUAUUCAACUAGAGAAUUUGAUUAAAGAAUUAUCUUGAAAAAUUAAUUUGGAAAAUCUAAGUGAUUUUUGGAAAAAUUAAUUUUGAUCAAGUAAAAUUAAAUUAAUCAAAUCAAUUAAAAUUAAUUUGAUAUUAUUGGAAAUUAAUUUUCAAGUUAGACAAUUGGACCAAUGAGUAAUUGAACUUGAAAAUUAGACCUGAGAUCGUAAAUUGGGCCUGGGAGCCCAAAAUCGAGACCAAGACCCAAAAACUGGUCAAAUCGAGCCCAAUAUGUUAAACCGGGCUGACAAUCCAACAAGUGGCUAGAUUGGACCGGUCGGGUCGUCAUUGACCUGGACCGAAUCGACAGUAGUCGAACUGGCUCAGGGUGCCAUAUGGAUGUCUGUAAUGACCCAAAUUCAAAGUUAUCGGAACAGUGGUUUUGAGACCACAAAUCCGAUGAGGAAAAAUUUAUUUUUCUUAUAUUUUUAUGGUCUACGAUUUUAUAAAAUGAUUUGGUGAAAAUUUCGUUCAAAAAUUUCAACGUUUGGGCACUUAAUUUAGUUAAAAUGACUAAAUUGUAAAAAGUGCAAAAGUUGAGUUCUACAUGUUAGAGGUGCCCAAUUGUUAUGAAACUUUAAAUUGGAGGUCCUUAUAUGGUAAUUAGACCCUUGGUUAAGUUGGUAGACAAAAAUAGACAUGAGAUAAGUGAAAUAUAAUAUUUUUAAGUUAGGGGUAAUUUGGUAAUCUAGUAAUUAAAAUGAAUUAAAAGGGAAAAAGAUGGCAAAUUGUGCUCAUCUUCUUCAUUUGGACGAAAUCAGCAAGGGGGGAAGCCAUAGUUAGGGUUUUGAAGCUUCCAAGCUCCAUAGUAAGUGAUCCCAAGCCCCGUUUUUAAUGUUCUAUUCGUUUUUGAGAUCCCGGUAGCUUAAUUUAGCUUAUUCUAGCAAUAAUUUAACCUAGGGUUUAUAUUUGGAAAAAUACCUGUACAGCCCAAUUAUUGCCCGGGCCCAAUUAACAGAGCCCAAACACCAACCCACAAGCCCAAUUACAACCCAAACCUGAGGCCCAAAUUCGGAGCCCAAUUCCCCCCAAAAAUCCAACUAGGGUUUCAGAAAAAUGAAACCCUAGCCAAACCUAGCGCCGCACCCAUCCCUCUGCCCUUCGCCUUGUCCCAUCGUCACCCACCGUGCCUAGCUUCAUCAACACCUGCAAAAUGGCAGAAAAAGCCGGAGCACGCAACAGAUAGUGCAAAGCAAUAGAAUACAACCAAAAAAUACAAUGUAAAUUGGCUAUAAAAGCCAAACAAUAUCUCUGUACAUUUUUUAGAGACAGCAUUUUGAAUUCAAGAAAAAGAAAAAGCAAAUCAAAAAAGGUUGACUCUAGUUAUUUCUACUCUGUUCUCGUGUUCUUAUUCAUUUUAUUUCUUUUAUUUUUGUUUAUUUUUCUGCAAUCGUUUAAUAAAUAAAGCGGGACUAAAAGGGAAAGGGGAAGAUACCUUACUGCUUCGGUGGGCUGGUGUCGGAACUCCGCCUUUGCCGUCGUCGGAGCCGAGCAAAAAGGGGCGUUUCAUCCCUUUUCCUUUUGGUCUCGCGGUUGAGAAGGCAUAGCCUUCGGGGACGCCGCAAAAGGGGGAGGCCUAGGGGCCGUUCUCGUGCAGCUCCGGCCACUGGCCAUGGAGGCGGAGAUGGUGGCCUGAGCUUUAAGGCCGAGGGGGGCGCAGAGAGGAGAGCAUUCGAGCUCUCUGUUCUCUUUUCCUGUUUCUUUUUUUUUAUUUUUUUUAUUUUUUCUCUUUUCAUUAGAAAAUGAAAUGGAGGCUACCAGAUUAGGGUUCUUUUUGGCCCUUACAUGAUGUGUGAAACGAUGCCGUUUGGAGUCUGAUCAGUGGCUCCAAAACGGCGUCGUAUUGAGCUCUGACCCGCGCGGUGACCCGACCCAAGGGAAGGAUCCGCGUGUUUUUUUCUUUAAAUGGGAUAUUUGUGCGCGUAGUCCCUCCGACUUUGUAGCGCGUUGCAAUUUGGUCCUGUUUCGCUAUUUCCUAUUUUUCAAUUUCGCCCCAGAAUUCUGUUUUUGUUCUAUUUUGACCUUCUGCUGCACUGCGUUUUGGGGCUUCGGGGUAUUUAUGAUUUUGGUCCCCCCCUUUUUCGCGCAUAUUACAUUUUGAUCCUUUAUUCCAUUUUAUUUUUUAUUUCAGCCCUGAGAUUUCGUUCCCGUUUUGAAUUAGUCCUAUUAUUAUUAUUAUUAUUAUUAUUAUUAUUAUUACCUAUUUAUUUAUAUUAAUUUUAUUUAAACUUGUGGUACAUAUAUAUAUUUAUAUAUUUUACAACUUAUGUACCUAUCUAUAUAUCUAUAUACAUAUUUUCAUUUUCAUAAAUACAUACAUAUUUAUAUAUAAUCUUUAUAGUCUAAAAUACACCUUUUUUAUAUUUUUUUAAAUCCGCAUAUACAUACACAUUUUCAAUAUAUUUUUAGUAUGUAUAUAAAUUAACGUAUUUAUUUGUAUACAUAUGUAUAUUUUCAUUAGUUUUAAACUUUAGUUUGUACAUAUAUACUUUUUCUUUUAUUUUACAAUAUAUAUAUACACUUACUUUUUAUAUGUAUUUCUUUAUCUUCGUAUUCCAUAGUUUUAUACACCUAUAUAUGUACAUAUUUUUUUAUACAUACGCGUAUUUAUUUAUUUUAUAUAAAAUAUACUUUAUAUAUUUUGUUAAUUCAUGUAUACACAUAUUUUAGUUCAUGUCUAUAUAUAUCUUUUUAUACUUAAUUGUAUUUGCUAUUUAUUUAUUUCAUUUUGUUAUUAUUUUGAAUGAAUGAUUUAACUUUAUUCGUUUUUUUUUAUUUUGUUAUUUUGUAUGUUGUAAGUUUGAUCGUUCAUAUUGAUUGCUAUAGCUUGCAUCGUUUUUAUAUUUUCAUGUUCAUUAUGAUUUUGCCAUGCAUAAAUAAUGUAAUUUGCUUUCACUAUAAUUUUUUGCUUUAUUUUUACUCGAUAUAACAAAAUUUAUUUUUUUAAAAAUGGCAUUUCGUGUUUGGAUUCGAGAAAAUCGUGCCCUAACUUACUGGGUUUCGAUUUUCUCGAUAAAUCUAAAUGUACGAAUCUUUCUAAACUCAAAUUUUAGAUGACCUCGGGAUUAAAAAAAUCACGUCCUAACUUACUGGUCGUGAUCUCAUUUUUAAAUCCGAGAUGGCUAAAAUAUCUUUUAAAUAAGCAUUUUUCAUUCGCGUAUCGAGAAUUUGAGAUAUUGUAUUCUAACUUACUGGAUAUGAUUCUCUUCCUCGAUUAACGUGAAAUAUAUUUCUUUUUCCAAAAAUUUUCAUUUUAAUACAAGGAUCGUAUUUUUAAUUCUUUCAAGUUCUCAAUUUUCGACAUCGAGACAUUAGAUAAUCAACUAGGUACCAAUUUCUGGGCGUUACGAGGGUGCUAAUCCUUCCUCGUACGUAACCGACUCCCGAACCCAUUUUCUAAAUUUCGUAGACCAAAACCGUUGUUUUAAUAAAAUCAAAUUAUUUAUUAAAAACAACCUUUUUCCAAGGUGACCCAAUCACACCUCAAAAAGGAUUGGUGGCGACUCCCUUUUUCAUUUUCAAAACCCAAGUCGACCCCGUUUUUCAAUAAAAAAAAUGGUGUCAACAGCUUGGCGACUCCGCUGGGGACUCAAAAAAUUGAGAGUCAAGCCACGAGUUGAUUAUCUCUUGUCCUUUUGUCAAAAGUUGAAAAUUUGAGUUAAAUAUCCGAUCCUCUCAUUGCAUUUUAUUUUGAGUUAUAGUUUUUAUCAUGUUUGGUAUUUUAAGUUUUUAUAUACCUCUGCACAUUGCAUUGCAAGACCGUUGGUCACACCUCUUAAGUGGGAGUGAGAAGCUACGCCUUCGUGAGGUUUUCACCUCCGCAUGGGAUAGUGAAUCGCUUCCGGGAUACAUCCGUACCUAUGUCUUCGUGAGAUUUUCAUCUCCGCAUGGCCACAGGGAAAUGUAUUCCCCUGAACUGAACUCGGUUCGUAUGACCCUAUAAUGGGUGAGGAUUGAGGAAUCUGCUGGUUCAGGUACCCUGCUUAGAACCAAACCACAUGUAAUGACCCAUAAGAACCGACCUAGGUAGAGCUACGCCAAACCUCAGUGCUUACCUAAAUGGAUGUUAUAUUUAUCGUCAUUUACGUUAAAUCUUGUUCUGCGUAAUAUUAUCUUUGCUUUAUUUGAUUGUAUAGCAUUGUCAUUCUAAAAGAGGUGUCGAUUCAUGUUCAGUGUCUAAAACGAAAGCUUAUCAUGGAAAAGGGAUUUCUUGAUAAAGUAGAAGAUAAUGCGGCUGUGCGAGUUUGGGCUGAAACGACACAACGGGAGAAAGGCGAUAGUCUUACCGAGGGGCACGUGUCAGAAUUAUGGGAUUUCACCCGUAUCAGUGUAAUCCAGAAUGACCUUCGAGAAAUGAAAGAAGUCUGGGAUCAGUGGGAUGUCAGGACCAAGCAGCUGUUCUAUUGUAACUACGGUGACCUACCUUAUCUACUCAGUGUCAAAGUGGACAAGUAUUUAUUCCGAGCCCUUGCUCAAUUUUGGAAUCCUGCCUACAGUUGUUUCACUUUUGGGAAAGUCGAUUUGACGCCUACUGUGGAGGAGUAUACGACCUUGCUGCGGUGCCCAAAGUUUCAAGUCGAUAGAGUUUAUUCUAGAGCUGCUUGUGUCCCUUCAUUGUUAAGGAAAUUAAUGAACAUUACCGGGAUGAGCGAGCAGUGGGUCGCUGCUCGAAUCCAACAGAAGGGCGACAGUAAAUGUGUCCCUUGGAAAAGCUUACGAGAUUUGGUGCUUGUACAUCCUGACGUAAAGAAAAGGGUCGAUGUCUUCGCUUUAGGUAUCUACGGGCUAGUGGUCUUCCCCAAGGCUUUAGGGCACAUCGACGAUGCUGUAUCUGAUUUGUUUGAUCGGCUUAGUAAAGGGGUUACACCGGUUCUGGCAAUACUGGCGGAAACUUUCAGAUCCCUGAGUGCAUGUCGGAAAACAGGUGAGGGAAGGUUUAUUGGAUGCGCACAACUUUUAUUGGCAUGGUUUCAUAGUCAUUUCUGGAAAAUGGAAAAGGUCUCUUAUCGAGUGUUCUCUAACGGUUACUCCCCUCUAGAGGAAUUGGUGGCCACACCAAGACGGGAUGAUCUUUCAGAAGAAAGAUGGAGGGAGAUACUCCAGAAUCUCCAGGAUGAAGAUAUUGAAUGAAGGGCUCCUUGGUUAAUUCCUGAUGAGAUAUUGUACCGGUGUGGAGAUUUCGACUAGGUUCCUCUGCUCGGGAUGUGGGGAGCUAUCGGAUAUGCUCCCCUACUCGUAUCUAGACAGUAUAGAUCACGACAAUUCGUACCAGCAACGCUGGGGUUGGCCUAUUCUGAUUUUUCUUAUAGGGAGGACAAUUACAAGAAAAAGGUUCGAGAGGUGUCUAAUGCCUGGAACCAAACUCGCCGAAUGAGAAUUUUAGCCGUGGGUCCGACGAUGACCCCCGAGUAUAGCCAGUGGCGUGAUCAAAGGGUCAACGAUAAUAUCCCGGCGUCUAAUCCAGAAACUGCUCGAUCUUUAGAGGAACACCUACAGGUACUGCCCUCUGAGAUAGAGAUUAUCAAGCAAGAAUUUGAAAAGAGGAGUUUGGAGAUAGGAAAGAAAGUAGAGAAGUUAGAGGAAGAGAAAAUGUAGUUAGGACUAGAUUUGGACAUUCAAAGAUUAGAGGCCGACAAAUUAAGGAAAGGGAAGAACAAGGCAGAAGAAGAUUUAGACAGCCUGAAGACUGAUUACAAGAAGUUGCGCAGGUCGAUAAGAACUGUUGGCUUGGGUAAAACGUCAGAACAAUGGCGGCAGGAAAUUCAGAAGGAAAGAAUGAAAGCUAAUCAGUGGGAAAAGAAAUUUCAGGAUGCUCAAACUCGAGAGUUACUUUGGGAGAAAGUCUGCUAGUCUGCCAAAAUGAGAAGACGAAGUUGAAUGCCCGAAUAACUGAACUGGAAAGGCUACUUCACCAAUACCGUAGUCGUAAUUCUGUGAUUGAAUUAAAGGCAGGCUUGAAAAAAAUUGAAGAAUUAAAGGGACAAGUAAGAGAGCUCGAGGACGCAUUGCAAAGCAGCGAAUUCCGAAUAGAGCUUCUGGAAAGAAGUAGUGAGCAGUGGCAAGGGCGAUUCCAGCGGUCUCAAGAUCAGAUUAGAGACAGAGAUUAUGUUAUGGGUGAGGCAGUGGUUCAAGUACGCGAGGUAGCUGAUCACCUGCAAACCUUAGCGGUUCAAGCUGAUCUAUUAAGUUUAAAGUUUGAGGUGGAAUCGGACCGGGGCCGAGAAUUAGCUUGGCUCCUUAAAAAGGUUAAGGCUUUGGGCAUAAGGGCAAAGCCGUAUAUGUAAUCUAUUUUAUGUAAAGAAAUUUCUUCUCUAGUAAAGCUCUCUAAUGAAGUUGAAUUAGAAUCAGUGCCUCUUUUUUGCAUUCAUGCAUUUACAUAUCAUCAUAUGCAUUAAGUUUUAAAAAGGGAGCCUAAUUAAUUUAAAAUUAUGACAGAACUACCCUGGAAACUAACAAAAAUUCGCCAAUCGUUUAUCACUACGGUACCCGUCGCAAAACAAAAGCCAUGGAUCAAAGACUCGAAAGACUCGAACAGCUCCAAAGGGAGAUACAAGAACAAAUGCAAGAGCGGUUAGAGAAGAUUCAACAAGAUAUGAAGAACGAAAUGAUAGAGUCUCAAAAAAGCAUGAUAGCUGAAUUAACGCAAUUGUUCAAAGGGGGAAGCGACAAAGGAAAAGACCCCGUGGUUAAUACAGAAGAAGAAAAUAAUGAUAGCCCUCUCUAUCCCCCAGGUUUCACUCCUCCUCAUGCGCAAACCCAAGCUGAGGUGCAACCACGCAGAUCAUCUAUUACUAUCAGGCCUCAGCAAUUUCAAAUUGGUGCCUCAAUACCAGUAAAUUUCCAAACUGGAAUAGGUUCUCAUCUCGGAGAAGCCCCUACUAAUCCCAUAGUACCCGAUUUUGACGAAAUGAUGGGAAAAGAGAAAACAAAGGAAGAACUACCGAGUCGAUUGGAGGAAAGAUGUAAAUGGCUCGAAGAGAAAUUCAAAGCCAUGGAAAGUAGAGAGAAUUAUCAUGGGAUGGAUGCUAAAGAUCUAAGCUUGGUACCAAAUUUGGUCCUUCCUCCUAAAUUUAAGAUACCGGAGUUUGAAAAAUAUGACGGGACAAGUUGUCCUCAGGCUCAUAUCACUAUGUUUUACCGAAGAAUGACCGGGUACAUCAACAAUGAGCAACUGUUGGUUUACUAUUUUCAGGAUAGUUUGAUCGGGUCAGCAGCUAGAUGGUACAAUCAAUUGAGUCGAACCGAAAUCCACUCCUGGAAAGAUUUGGCGCAGGCCUUUAUAAAGCAGUAUAGACAUGUGAUGGAUAUAGCACCCGAUCGAAUUGUAUUGCAAAACAUGGAAAAGAAAACUAAUGAGAACUUUCGCCAGUAUGCUCGGAGAUGGAGGGAGGUAGCAGCACAAGUUCAACCACCACUUUUAGAGAAAGAGAUAACCAUGCUUUUUAUCAAUACCUUGAAAGCUCCAUUUCUCAAUCACAUGUUGGGCAGUGCCACUAAAAGCUUUCCAGACAUAGUGAUGUCUGGAGAAAUGGUAGAGAACGCCAUAAGAUGUGGCAAGAUAGAAGCAGGAGAAAGUAAUAAAAGGUCGGCUCCAAGGAAAAAGGAACAUGAGAUAAAUAAUACAAGCACGUUUAAUAAGGACCAUUCUAAAUCAAUCACGGUGGGGCAAGCCAGAGCAGUAACCGCUAAUCUGCAAAUUUUUUCGACACAGGAAUCCAAUCCAAGGCCAAAGGUAGAGAAACUUCAAUUCACACCCAUCCCAGUGACGUAUAGGGAAUUGUACCAGAACUUAUUCGAUGCACGUGUGAUAUCUCUAUUUUACCUCAAACCUAUGCAACCUCCAUACCCUAUGUGGUAUGACGCAAGCGUUCAAUGCGAGUAUCACGCGGGGACCAAGGGGCACUCAAUUGAAAACUGCACUGCAUUCAAUAAGUUAGUUGAAAGACUUAUCAAUUUGGGGAUCGUAAAGAUAGGCGACUCAUCAGGACCGAAUGUAGCAGAGAAUCCGUUGCCCAACCAUGAUAAUAAAGGGGUGAAUGCGAUAAUUGAAUAUGGAGGAAGGAGAGUCAAAGCCAACAUAGCAGAGAUAAAGACCCCCCUUGAAUGGGUUUGGAAACAAAUGAUGAAAAGAGGUCUCAUCAAGCAAGUUUCAAUAGAAAGGCCUGAAGGAACAAGGAAAUUUUGCGAGUUCCAUGCAGAAGAAAGCCAUGACAUCCAAGAUUGCACCGAGUUCAGAACCAUGAUGCAAAACUUAAUGGAUAGCAAAGAGUUGGAGUUUUAUGAAGAGAUUAAGGGAUUAGAAGGAGGAGAGGUUUAUGCUGCAGAAGAAGGAUCCACGGGGAAAGCCCAAAAGGCUAAUUACCCGGUGGUGAUUAUUGCAAAACCAAUGAGCAGAGAAUCUGGAAUACAAAUAGCACCAAAGGUCGUAAUCCAAAAACCUGUAUCCUUUCCCUACAAGGAUAGCAAAAAGGUUCCUUGGAAUUACAACUGCAAUGUAACAAUCCCAGGAGAGGAGAGCUUGAUAAAUGCUUCAGGAGAGGAUGAAGGAUUCUAUACACGAAGUGGAAAACGCUAUGAUCCGGCAAACGCAAGAGUGGAGUCUGGAAAAGGAAAAGCCUUAGCGGUUGAAUUGGGAAAAGUAAAGACAGACAAAAUCGAGCCGCGCAUCAAUCAGCUGGUAACUGAAAAUGAGGCUAGUGAAUUUCUAAAAUUUUUAAAACAUAGCGAGUACAGCGUGGUAAAGCAAUUACAUAAGCAACCGGCUCGUAUCUCGAUGCUUGAAUUGCUUCUAAGUUCAGAGAUACAUCGUAAUGCGCUGAUUAAGGUGCUAAAUGAAACUUACGUCGCUGAUGAUAUCUCAGUGAAUAAGUUGGACCGUUUGGUUAAUAAUAUCAGUGCUGACAAUUUUAUCUUCUUUAAUGAUGAUGAAAUACCACCCAGGGGAAGAGGAACCACCAAAGCCUUACAUGUUUCUACUUACUGCGGGAAACAUAUGUUGUCAAGAGUGCUAAUUGAUAAUGGAUCAGCCUUGAAUGUUUUACCCCUAUCCACCUUAAAUAGGUUACCGGUGGACAGCUCUCACAUGAAAUCAUGCCAGAACAUAGUGAGAACAUUUGAUGGUACCGAAAGAAAGGUGAUGGGAAGAAUAGAAAUACCUCUCUUGAUUGGCCCAAAUACGUACGAAGUGGAUUUCUUAGUGAUGGAUAUCAAGCCUUCGUAUAAUUGCUUACUGGGGAGACCAUGGAUUCAUUCAGUAGGGGUGGUGCCUUCAUCAUUGCACCAGAAGUUGAAAUUAGUGACAGAAGGCCGGUUAAUUACGAUUGACGCUGAGGAAGACAUCAUUGCAUCGGUAACCAGCGACGCACCAUAUUUGGGAGUAGAUGACGAUGCGGUCAAAUGUUCUUUUCGAUCCUUAGAGUUAGUAAAUGCAACUUUUGUCACUGAAGGAAAGAAAAUCCCAAUGCCCAGCAUAUCUAGAGCCACAAGGAUGGGACUACAAAUGACAGUUGGGAAAGGAGCUGUGCCUGGAAGAGGACUGGGAAGAUGCCUUCAAGGAAAGAUUGAGGCACCAGUGGUGAAAGACAAACAGGACCAUUUUGGUUUAGGAUUUAAACCAAAUGCCAAGCAGAGAAAGAAAGAGUUAGAGAAAAGACAAGACAGGAGGAAAGCGCGUUUGAACGGAAAAGAAGUUGAUUGGGAACCUAUGGCUUUCCCCCACAUAUCCAGGACAUUCAUAUCAGGAGGAACCAUGUAUUCUGGACUGAGGACUCCAAGAAAGAAGACCGCAGAGGAAAUGUUAGGAAACUUAAGCAUCAAUGCCAUAUUUGAAGAAGAAUCUGAAGAGGGAAGUACAUCAGGCAUCUAUCCCGUUGAACCUGGGAGUGUUGUAAACAAUUGGACUGCAGAAGAAAUGCCUGAAGUUUUUAGAGCUUUUCCAGAGUAAUAUUCAAAACAUAUUAAUUGUUCUAAGCCUAGAGAAAAUAAAAACUUUUGUGAACUAAAAUAGGCUUAUAUGUGGACAUUGUGAUUUCAAUGAAAUAUAUCUUCGCAUUUUGAGUAUAUAUAUUCUUUUAAAACUCUUUCCAUUCUUUCAUACGAAUAGUCAUCCCGAAUGCUUUUAUUCUGAAUCAUUCUUUUAUUCAUGGUCAUACUAAAUAAGAAUCCUUAAAUUCAUACGUUCCCUGUACAUUCUUUGAUACCUAUAACAGGUCCCAAGAUAUCAAUGAUAUGAGUGACUCUACUAUGGACUUAGAAAAUCCUUUUGAACGAGAUAUGUGUUUAGAGGAAUCUCAAGAUUUUGAAGAUAACACGGAUUACAACCUACCUCCGGACUUGUUGAGGAUGGUAGAGCAGGAAGAGAAACAGGUUCUUCCUCACGAGGAGACGAUAGAGACAGUGAUCCUGGAGGAGGGAAAGAUGGUAAAGAUUGGCACGUGCAUAGCUGAUGAAGUGAAAUGAAACCUCGUUAAAUUGCUUCGAGAGUUCAAAGAUGUCUUCGCAUGGUCAUACCAAGAUAUGCCGGGGUUAAGUACUGACAUCGUAGUUCACCGACUUCCUAUAAAGGAAGAUUACAAACCAGUUCGGCAAAAGCUCCGAAGGAUGAGGCCUGAUGUUGUGUUAAAAAUAAAAGAGGAGGUACAAAAACAAUUCGACGCUGGAUUCCUGCAGGUGGUCAAAUACUCCGAGUGGGUAGCCAAUAUCGUUCCUGUCCCUAAAAAAGAUGGGAAGGUCCGAAUGUGUGUAGAUUAUAGAAAUUUAAAUAAGGCCAGCCCCAAAGAUAACUUUCCCUUGCCGCACAUCGAUGCCUUGGUGGACAACACAGCAGGACAUUCGCUGUUUUCUUUCGUGGAUGGUUUCUCUGGAUAUAACCAAAUUAAGAUGCAUCCUGAGGAUAUGAAGAAAACUACAUUCAUAACCCUAUGGGGAACCUUUUGUUAUAAGGUGAUGCCAUUUGGGUUGAAAAACGCAGGGGCAACGUAUCAGAGGGCCAUGGUAACAUUGUUCCAUGAUAUGAUGCAUAAUGAGUUAGAGGUCUAUGUUGAUGACAUGAUUGCAAAAUCUAAAACAGAAGAGGACCACGUGCAGGUCCUUAAGAAAUUAUUUAUGAGGUUGAGAAAAUUUCAGCUAAAGCUAAAUCCAGUAAAAUGCACAUUUGGGGUCAGAUCAGGAAAAUUGCUUGGGUUCAUGGUCAGUGAGAAAGGAAUUGAGAUUGAUCCUGACAAAGUAAGAGCAAUACAAGAAUUACCCCCGCCGCGUACUCAAAAGGAGGUUCGAGGUUUUCUAGGAAGGCUGAACUAUAUUGCUCGGUUCAUCUCACAGCUAACUGAGAAAUGCGACCCCAUUUUUUGCCUCCUCAAGAAACAUAAUCCUGGUGUAUGGGAUGAGGAAUGUCAAAAAACUUUUGAAAAAGUCAAACAUUACUUAUCCAACGCCCCAGUGCUGAUGCCACCCUGCCCAGACAAACCACUCAUACUGUAUUUGGCAGUAUUUGGAAAUUCCAUGGGAUGCGUGCUUGGUCAACAUGAUGAAUCAGGACGAAAGGAAAGAGCAAUCUACUAUCUCAGUAAGAAGUUCACUGAAUGCAAAACAAGAUAUUCGCCAAUCGAGAAAUUAUGUUGUGCCCUAAUCUGGACCACUCGGAGACUGAGACAGUACAUGUUGUACCAUACGACCUGGUUAAUCUCCAAAUUAGACCCUUUGAAAUACUUAAUGGAGUCAACCGCUCUGAAUGGAAGAAUGGCCCGAUGGCAAAUUCUUCUAUCUGAAUUUGACAUAGUCUAUGUAAACCAGAAAGCGGUCAAAGGAAGUGCAAUAGCGGAAUUCCUAGCAAGUAGGGCUCUGGAUGAUUAUGAGCCAUUGAACUUCGAUUUCCCAAAUGAAGAUUUGAUGUAUAUCGCAACUGUAGAGAAAGAUUUCUAAGAAGGUGGUUCUUGGAAGUUGAGUUUUGACGGAGCUUAAAAUGCUAUAGGCAACGGAAUUGGGGCAGUACUCGUGUCUCCCAGUGGAGACUAUUAUCCUUUCACUAGCAAAUUAGACUUCGACUGCACAAAUAAUAUGGCUGAGUAUGAAGCUUGCAUUAUGGGCAUCCGGGCAGCCAUAGAGCGGAAAAUUAAGGUGCUAGAAGUAUACAGGGACUCUGCAUUAGUAAUUUAUCAGCUCAAAGGGGAAUGGGAAACAAGAGACCCGAAGUUGGUCCGCUAUCGAAAAUUGGCUAUGGAAUUGAUUGAGGAAUUUGAUAGUGUCACCUUUAGUUACCUCCCGCGAGAUGAAAACCAGAUGGCAGAUGUUUUGGCCACUUUAGCCUCCAUGUUUAAAGUGAACAAAUUAGAAGAUAUGAAGCCUAUCUAGAUCAGCAUCUACGAGGCUCCAGCUCAUUGUUGCAACAUUGACAGUGAAGAGGGAAAGGAUGAUCACCCUUGGUACCAUGACAUAUUGCAAUAUGUGAAGAGUCGUGAAUACCCUGACCAUGCGACAGAAAAUGAUAAGAAGACAUUAAGGAGAUUAGCCAUUGACUAUGUCCUAGAUGGGGAAAUUUUGUAUAAAAAGGGAAAAGAUCAAGUAUUGUUGAGGUGUGUGGAUGCUGUCGAGGCAAAAGAAAUUUUGGAAGAAGUGCAUGAAGGUAUCUGUGGAAUGCAUGCCAACGGCUUCACGAUGGCCAGACAAAUUAUGAGAUUUGGGUACUAUUGGUCCACCAUGGAAGGGGAUUGCAUUAAUUAUGCCAAAAGGUGCUAUAAGUGUCAAAUCUACAGUAACAAAAUGCACGCACCACCUUCACCCCUUCAUGUUAUGGUUUCUCCAUGGCCUUUCUCCAUGUGGGGAAUGGACGUUAUCGGGCCAAUAUCUCCAAAAGCUUCUAAUGGGCAUCGUUUUAUCUUUGUGGUUAUUGAUUACUUCACUAAAUGGGUGGAGGCUGCUUCAUAUGCAAAUAUCACGAAGUCGGCAGUUAGCAAGUUUCUGAAAAAGGAGAUCAUAUGUCGAUACGGGAUGCCUGAAAGGAUCAUAUCCGAUAAUGCGAUGAACUUAAACAACAACUUAAUAGCGGAAGUUUGUAGUCAGUUCAAGAUCAGACACCACAAUUCGUCACCGUAUCGUCCAAAAAUGAAUGGUGCCGUGGAAGCAGCUAACAAAAACAUCAAGAAAAUUGUAGGAAAAAUGACUGAAACCUACAAAGACUAGCACGAGAAAUUAUCUUUUGCUCUCCUGGCAUAUCGCACUUCCGUUAGAACCUCUAUUGGGGCAACACCGUUUUCUUUAGUCUAUGGGAUGGAAGCAGUUUUACCCAUAGAAGUUGAAAUUCCUUCCCUCCGAGUAUUAGCUGAACUAAAGUUGGAUGAGGCUGAAUGGAUUCAAUCUCGAUAUGACCAGCUAAACUUGGUAGAAGAAAAGAGGUUAAAAGCUAUUCGUCAUGGUCAGAUGUAUCAGAAACGAAUGACGCGAGCCUAUAACAAAAAAGUUCGUCCCAGAGAAUUUUACGAGGGGGACUUGGUUUUGAAAAAGAUUCUUCCUCUACAAAAGGAUUUUAGAGGAAAAUGGAUGCCAAAUUGGGAAGGUCUUUAUGUGGUAAAAAAGGCCUUUUCAGGAGGAGCUUUGAUCUUGAGCGAGAUGGAUGGUAAAAGCUUGCCAAAUCCUGUGAACUCAGAUUCAGUCAAGAAAUACUUCACCUGAAGGAGGAGGACCAAAGUGAAAACCCGUAAAGGGAAUUCAAAAAAAAAAAAGGGAGAGGCCAAGGUGAAAACCCGUAAAGGGCGCAUUGAGACCAAAGGGGAUUUGAGUUGAAAACCUGAAAAGGCGGCUCAAAUUUUGAAGAAGCGUGAGGUGAACGAAACAGCUCAAAUUUUGAUCAGGAUCUGAGGCAUGUGGUGGUCUUACUAUACCUGAAUCACAAGAAGGAAUAGGUGACAUCUUGGGGUAUCGACAGAAUACUGUAGAUUCCCUAAACACAUAUUAAAUGGUCUUUAGAAAACUUAUGCAGAGAAGCUCGUGCUGCGAUAUCUGGGGCACCUGUCGUUAUCUUAUAUUUUGAAUCUUGGCAAAAUUUGUUGUCUUGAUUAAUGUAUUCAUUUCAAGCUUUGCUCCCCAGUAAAAUUUCAUUUUGUCUAUUGUCUUAUUUCAUUUUUAUCUUGGCAAAAUUUGCUAUCUUGAUUAACUCAUUCAUUUCGAGAUUUGUUCUCAAUAACAUUUGUUUGAUCGUUGUGGUAAUCUUUUCGAAAAACAUUUAGAAUAACUAUUAAUGAACUGAAUGUUCAAGCAAAUUGAGUUUUGCAUAUUACUCUAGAAAUUUCUAAAUAAUGAAGGAACCUGAAACAGGACUGUUGUUUAGAGCACACUAAAUUCAAAGUGUCUAAAAGGGAAAAGUCCAAGUCAGGACUAUCUUUUCAAAUUUUGUUCUCCAAACAUUGAACAAAAUGACAAGAUGUCGUGUUAGUGGCAAAGCUUCAAUGAACAAACAAGUGAUGUUCACCAAGCAAUAAGAAAAUGUCUUCUGGGAGAAGAAAACUCUUCAUUGUGCAUGAGCAUUUGGUAUGACACCUUGGGAAUGGGGUAAAGGACCAAAGAGCUUCACAUUCUGUAUCAUUGAAUUGUGAUAGCAGAGGAUCGAGAAAAGGCCAGAUCUUCCUACCUUUGGGUUACAGCGGGAGAAAGAUGGUUCAAAUUUUGCAUCCAGUGGAUUGAACCUGGAGGUUUACAGUGGGGGGCAGUCUGGUUAAAUUUUUCUUUGGAUUUGCCAGUCGAGCAAGAAGGCGUUGUAGCACGUCAACGAUAAACCUUAAUAAGCUUUUGCGUGAUGAUAACCUAAGCAUCAAGAAAUCACUUUCAUAACAUUUCGACAUUCAUUCAAAUGUCAUUCAUACACGUCUAGUUAGGACCAUUUGAUUCAUUCUGGUCAUCCUAAUUACUAGACAUAAAUAGGUCCAUCAAAUGGAUUAUACAGGUCAUGUUCCCCAGAGAACAGAUCAAUGAAGAUAGCAGAUCUUGCCUUCCUGUAUUGACAGCGAAGCAGAUCGAAUAAACCAUAGUUUGCAAUUUAAAAGAUCAAAGCCACAACGGCGAAUCUUACUUCCAGGCGAUGCAGUGGAACAGAUUGAAGCUACAACAGCGAAUCUCACUUCCCCGACAUUGCAAUUUAAAAGAUCGAAGCCACAACGGCGAAUCUUACUUCCAGGCGAUGCAGUGGAACAGAUUGAAGCUACAACAGCGAAUCUCACUUCCCCGACAUUGCAAUUUAAAAGAUUGAAGCCACAACGGCGAAUCUUACUUCCAGGCGAUGCAGCGGAGCAGAUUGAAGCUACAACAGCGAAUCUCAUUUCCCCGACAUUGCAAUUUAAAAGAUCGAAGCCACAACAGUGAAUCUUACUUCUGGCAAUGCAGUGGAACAGAUUGAAGCUACAACGGUGAAUCUCACUUCCCCGACAUUGCAAUUUAAAAGAUCGAAGCCACAACGGCGAAUCUUACUUCCAGGCGAUGCAGCGGAGCAGAUUGAAGCUACAACAGCGAAUCUUAUUUCCCCGACAUUGUAAUUUAAAAGAUCGAAGCCACAACAGUGAAUCUUACUUCUGGCAAUGCAGUGGAACAGAUUGAAGCUACAACAGCGAAUCUCACUUCUCCGACAUUGCAAUUUAAAAGAUCGAAGCCACAACGGCGAAUCUUAUUUCCUCGGCAAGACUGGGCAAAAAUUGGUCUUUCUUAGUCUUUGCUCUGUUAUCGUUACACGACAACGAGCAAAGAGGGGCAGCUGUACAGCCCAAUUAUUGCCCGGGCCCAAUUAACAGAGCCCAAACACCAACCCACAAGCCCAAUUACAACCUAAACCCGAGGCCCAAAUUCGGAGCCCAAUUCCCCCCAAAAAUCCAACUAGGGUUUCAAAAAAAUGAAACCCUAGCCAAACCUAGCGCCGCACCCAUCCCUCUGUCGUUUGCCUUGUCCCAUCGCCACCCACCGUGCCUAGCUUCAUCAACACCUGCAAAAUGGCAGAAAAAGCCAGAGCACGCAACAGAUAGUGCAAAGCAAUAGAAUACAACCAAAAAAUACAAUGUAAAUUGGCUAUAAAAGCCAAACAAUAUCUCUGUACAUUUUUUAGAGACAACAUUUUGAAUUCAAGAAAAAGAAAAAGCAAAUCAAAAAAGGUUGACUCCAGUUAUUUCUACUCUGUUCUCGUGUUCUUAUUCAUUUUAUUUCUUUUAUUUUUGUUUAUUUUUCUGCAAUCGUUUAAUAAAUAAAGCGGGACUAAAAGGGAAAGGGGAAGAUACCUUACUGCUUCGGUGGGCUGGUGUCGGAACUCCGCCUUUGCCGUCGUCGGAGCCGAGCAAAAAGGGGCGUUUCAUCCCUUUUCCUUUUGGUCUCGCGGUUGAGAAGGCAUAGCCUUCGGGGACGCAGCAAAAGGGGGAGGCCUAGGGGCCGUUCUCGCGCAGCUCCGGCCACUGGCCAUGGAGGCGGAGAUGGUGGCCUGAGCUUUAAGGCCGAGAGGGGCGCAGAGAGGAGAGCAUUCGAGCUCUCUGUUCUCUUUUCCUGUUUCUUUUUUUUUUUAUUUUUUUUAUUUUUUCUCUUUUCAUUAGAAAAUGAAAUGGAGGCUACCAGAUUAGGGUUCUUUUUGGCCCUUACAUGAUGUGUGAAACGACGCCGUUUGGAGUCUGAUCAGUGGCUCCAAAACGGCGUCGUAUUGAGCUCUGACCCGCGCGGUGACCCGACCCAGGGGAAGGAUCCGCGUGUUUUUUUCUUUAAAUGGGAUAUUUGUGCGCGUAGUCCCUCCGACUUUGUAGCGCGUUGCAAUUUGGUCCUGUUUCGCUAUUUCCUAUUUUUCAAUUUCGCCCCAGAAUUCUGUUUUUGUUCUAUUUUGACCCUCUGCUGCACUGCGUUUUGGGGCUUCGGGGUAUUUAUGAUUUUGGUCCCCCCCUUUUUCGCGCAUAUUACAUUUUGAUCCUUUAUUCCGUUUUAUUUUUUAUUUCAGCCCUGAGAUUUCGUUCCCGUUUUGAAUUAGUCCUAUUAUUAUUAUUAUUAUUAUUAUUACUACUACUAUUAUUAUUAUUACCUAUUUAUUUAUAUUAAUUUUAUUUAAACUUCUGGUACAUAUAUAUAUUUAUAUAUUUUACAACUUAUGUACCUAUCUAUAUAUCUAUAUACAUAUUUUCAUUUUCAUAAAUACAUACAUAUUUAUAUAUAAUCUUUAUAGUCUAAAAUACACCUUUUUUUAUAUUUUUUUAAAUCCGCAUAUACAUACACAUUUUCAAUAUAUUUUUAGUAUGUAUAUAAAUUAACGUAUUUAUUUGUAUACAUAUGUAUAUUUUCAUUAGUUUUAAACUUUAGUUUGUACAUAUAUACUUUUUCUUUUAUUUUACAAUAUAUAUAUACACUUACUUUUUAUAUGUAUUUCUUUAUCUUCGUAUUCCAUAGUUUUAUACACCUAUAUAUGUACAUAUUUUUUUAUACAUACGCGUAUUUAUUUAUUUUAUAUAAAAUAUACUUUAUAUAUUUUGUUAAUUCAUGUAUACACAUAUUUUAGUUCAUGUCUAUAUAUAUCUUUUUAUACUUAAUUGUAUUUGCUAUUUAUUUAUUUCAUUUUGUUAUUAUUUUGAAUGAAUGAUUUAACUUUAUUCGUUUUUUUUAUUUUGUUAUUUUGUAUGUUGUAAGUUUGAUCGUUCAUAUUGAUUGCUAUAGCUUGCAUCGUUUUUAUAUUUUCAUGUUCAUUAUGAUUUUGCCAUGCAUAAAUAAUGUAAUUUGCUUUCACUAUAAUUUUGUGCUUUAUUUUUACUCGAUAUAACAAAAUUUAUUUUUUUAAAAAUGGCAUUUCGUGUUUGGAUUCGAGAAAAUCGUGCCCUAACUUACUGGGUUUCGAUUUUCUCGAUAAAUCUAAAUGUACGAAUCUUUCUAAACUCAAAUUUUAGAUGACCUCGGGAUUGAAAAAAUCACGUUCUAACUUACUGGUCGUGAUCUCAUUUUUAAAUCCGAGAUGGCUAAAAUAUCUUUUAAAUAAGCAUUUUUCAUUCGCGUAUCGAGAAUUUGAGAUAUUGUAUUCUAACUUACUGGAUAUGAUUCUCUUCCUCGAUUAACGUGAAAUAUAUUUCUUUUUCCAAAAAUUUUCAUUUUAAUACAAGGAUCGUAUUUUUAAUUCUUUCAAGUUCUCAAUUUUCGACAUCGAGACAUUAGAUAAUCAACUAGGUACCAAUUUCUGGGCGUUACGAGGGUGCUAAUCCUUCCUCGUACGUAACCGACUCUCGAACCCAUUUUCUAAAUUUCGUAGACCAAAACCGUUGUUUUAAUAAAAUCAAAUUAUUUAUUAAAAACAACCUUUUUCCAAGGUGACCCAAUCACACCUCAAAAAGGAUUGGUGGCGACUCCCUUUUUCAUUUUCAAAACCCAAGUCGACCCCGUUUUUCAAUCAAAAAAAAUGGUGUCAACAAUACCCAUAGGUGAAAUGUAUUUAUUUUGAUGUUUUAUGGUAGAAUAUGAAGCUAGAAAUUAUGAUAAACAACUUUUGCUAGGUGAUUUUAAUUGAAAACGAGUAAAUUGACAUAAUCGGUAAAAAUACCUAAUGUUCAUAAGUACAUGUUAGAGUGAGAAUUUGAUGUUGUCAUAGAAGGGAAAAAUGUUCAGCAUGUUAUAAAACAUAAGAAUAAGAGAUGAAGUUUAAUUUUCGAGCCUUGGGGCAAAAAUGUAAUUAUGCAAAAGUUUAGGGGCAAAAUCAUAAUUUUGACAAAGUUAGACUCGAGGGCUGUUUUGAUAAAUGUGAGUAUUAAAUGAGUUAAAUUUUCUAAUUUAGAUCAAGAAGAACGGAACUCGAGGUUAGACAAAGGGAAGAAUAAAGUUGAAGGCUAAGUUGGUGAAUUUGGCUAUAAUUGGUAUCGAGGUAAGUUUACAGUAAAUAAAUGCAAUAUUUCAAUAAUUAUUAUUAAUGCUGCUAUUUUCCAGCAACUAUGAAUUUAUUUCAUGAAUUUAUUUGAUGAUGAUCCGAGCAUGAAAUGAUAAAGAAUUAAUAUUAAAAAGUCCCGUUGAUACAUAAGGAUGGUACUGGAUACGAAUGUCAUGACAUUUGGGUAAAGAGGUCCCAUGUAAGACCAUGUCUGGGACAUGGCAUUGGCACUGAGAUGAGAGGUCUCAUGUAAGACCAUGUUUGAGACAUGGCAUUGGCACCGAGACCAUGUCUGAGACAUGGCAUUGGCAUCGAGAUGAGAGGUCCCAUGUAAGACCAUGUCUGGGACAUGGCAUUGGCACUGAGAUGAGAGGUCCCCCGUAAGACCAUCUCUGGGACAUGGCAUGGGCACCGACAUGAGUACAUCCCAUGUAAGACCAUGUUUGGGAUAUGGCUUUGGCAUGUUAUUAUCAGAAGAGACCCGAGUAUCCUUAUUAUUCCAAUGUAGCUCAACGGGUUAGUAAACAACUCAUGUUCAUGAAAGUUCAGUUAUAAGCAUAAGUGGCAAGCUCAGGUAAGUUAUAAGAGUUAAGAACUUAUGAUAUUAUCAAUUAAUACUCAACGUUUCAGCAAGGGAAGAGUAAGUUAUAAUCACAAGGUAACUAAGUAGACAAGCAAGAGAAUGAGAAUGAGAUUAAUUAAAGAGUAAAUUAGAGAUCUUGACAUUUGAGUAUAAUCAUUUGUGUUAAAUGUUGUUAUUUAUUUGCUAGUAAACUUACUAAGCUUAAUGCUUACUUCUUUUAUUUUUCUUUCUCUUAUAGUAUUGCCAAGCUACUUCAAGGAUCCUAAAGAAGUCGGAGAUCGUCCACACUAUCAACCACAACUGCUCGGUAUUUUAUGAUGAAACACGUUUGAGUUAUGGCAUGUAUAGGGAUUUAGUUAUUUUGUAUGUUUGUAAUUAUGAUUUUGCUAUAGAAUGAUGCAUAAGUAUUUGAUGAUGAAUGGUUGUUUAAAUGGCCAAGGAGGAAGAUGUUUGUUGUUAUAAAAGUCUAGGUGAUAAAUUAUGCAUGGAAAUUAUGAAAGGGUAAAAUUUUGCAAAGAAACAGAAUUCAGGCAGCAACAGUGACGUGAAUUUGAAAAAUCACCUAGGAUGGUAUAAAAUGAAUUAGAGGGUGAAUGAUAUAUGGAGUUAAAGCUUGUUGAGUCUAUUUUCAAAUAAAAAUAACGGUUUAACAAAAUUAAUUUUAUAUUUUGAUAUAUGUGUAUUUUAGUGAGAAAGGGUCAGAUCUAUUUUUUUGACUCCCCUGUUAAGAGUUUAGAAAAUCAUUAAAAAUUGUAAAAAAAUGGUUAAGAGUUAUAGUUUAUAUGUAUAGAUUCCUUAUUGAGUCUAUUUUAUGUAGAAACAAGUAAGGACUUUAUAUGAAAAUCCUACAGUGAGAAAAAUUAUUUUUAGUGGCAAGAGGUCAGAACAGUCAGGUGGUGAAACAGGGGAGACUUUAACUAAUAAACUGUACUAAUUGGCUGAACCAAAAAUUCUAAAAAUUUUAUGGUAAGUAGAAAUGUGAGUCUAGUUUCAGGUAAAAUUUACAUAAUUAAAUUUUGAGUUUUUUAGCUCGAGUUAUACUUAAUUUAGUAACUGCUGCGCGAUUGGACAGAUUUGCUGUAAAUAGUGAAAUAAAUUUUCAAACCAAGUUUUUAUGCUCCGAAUUAGAAAGAUAAGCUAAGUAAUGCCUCGUGCUCGAUUCCGGCAACGGUCUUGGGUAACGGGUCUUACAAUGUCGCACUUGCAUCACCAGACACGGUGGUGCCGGUGGCUGCGACAGCGGCGUCUCAGUGGGCGAUGGCGAGUGGUUGUCGGUAGUUGAGCAGUGGAAGAGUUACACUCCUAUUGGGACUCUACCAGAGAAUUUAAUUUCAGAUUAACUAUUUUAAAAAUAAAAUUAUUUUAAUAGUUUAAUAUUUAAUUUAAUUUAAUACCUAUCUUAAUAGUAAUUUUUUUAAUUUAAUAUUAAAGUGAUUAAGUUUAAUCAUAGUUGAACUCUCUAAACUCUUCCUAUAUAAAGAGAGCCAUGGGUUAUUAUUUUCACAUACUUGAAUUUAAGGGAAAGUUGUAGAGAGAAAAUUCUCUGAAGAUAUUAUUCUAGAAAAUUUGUAGAGAGAAAUUUAUUUUUCGCUGCAUUUUCUAAACUCGUUUUUCCAACAUAACACUAAUAUAAGCAAUGUGCUUAUGAAAGAGCUUGGGUGGUAAACCUUUUGUGAGCGGAUCCUCUAUUAUAGAGUUUGUCUCAAUGCGUUCUAUGGAUAUUUGUCCACUUUGCACUCUCUCUUUCACAACUUAGAAAUUUAUGUCAAUUGACUUAGUUGAGCUCCUGUUGUUGUUGGAAUAUAGCACCCCUAACUUAUUGUCACAAAAUAAUUUGAGUGGUGUUUCUACAUUCUCCAAAAUGCACAGCUUAGUGACAAAGUUUUGCAACCAUAUUCCAUGGUUUGAUACCUCAUAACAUUCUACAAUUUGCUACCAUAAUGGAAGAAGCUACAAGUGUCUAUUUGACAUUUUUCCAAUAUAUAGCUCCUCCAGCUAACAGGUAAAUAUAGUCUGAUAUAGAUUUCUUGCUAUCUUAACACCCAACAAAAUUAGAACCAAAAUACCCUACGACCUCCAAAUGAUUUGAUCUCUUGUAAGUGAGCAUGUAAUCUUUUAUUCUCUAAAGAUACCUCAUAACCCUCUUGGUUGUUAUCCAAUGGUCCAUACCAAGGUUGCUUAAAUGUCUACCUAACAUCCUAACAAUGUACACAAUAUCUAGACGCGUACAUACUUGAGCAUACAUUAAACUCCCAACAACUAAUGCAUAGGGCAUCUUUUGCAUUUCCUUAAUUUCAAGGUUACUUUGUCUCUUUUAGCAACAUUGGUGUCAUUUGGUCUACAACCGUACAUGUCAAACCUUUUGAGUACUUUAUCAAUAUAGAUCUUUUGUGACAAUCCAAAAAUAGCACAAGAUCCGUCUCAAUGUAUUUGAAUUCUUAAAAUAAAAGAGGCGUCCCAGUAUCUUUCAUCUCAAAAUGCUUAGAUAAAAAACCUUUUGGUUCCAUGCAAUAAGCCUAUAUCAUUAGUGGCAAGCAAAAUGUCAUCGACAUAUAGAACCAGAAAUAUAUAAAUAUAUACUUACUCCCACUGAAUUUGUUAUACACAUAAUCAUCAACAAUAUUCAUUUCAAAACCAAACAAGACAAUUACUUGAUUAAACUUGUGGUACCCUUGACGGGAAGCUUGUUUGAGUCCAUAGAUGGAUUUUGUUAAUUUGCAAACCAUAUUCUUUGGGUCUCUCAACUCAAAGUUUUCUGGUUGCACCGUAUAAAUUGUUUCUUCAAUGUCGUCAUUGAGAAACGUAGUCUUAACAUAUAUCUGAUGUAAUUAUUUGUACUUCUGAAAUCUUCCCCCUACCACUAUUAAGCAUUCAUGUUUAAUUCUUACCUUUACUACCCUUCUUUCUUUCCCUUUUUAUACUUUUGAGAUACCUAUCACCCAUUCUGCAUUUAUCUGCCAACCUGAACUUAUCCACAAUACAUAAACUAUUUAUAACAUAAAGGACUAAGCCAGACAAAAGUAUCAUGCAUAUGGGGGCUAUUUCUCAAUUUUCAAUGUCUAUAGGACCAACUAAACUGUACUCUGAUACCACUAAAUUGAAACCCCUUACCUAACCAGUUCGCCGGGUCCAGUACUAGAUGUCACAAUUAAACCCAUCCAAUAUACACUACAAUAAACUUAACUAGCCAAGUUUUAUUUGAUAGAUAAAUAAAUUUUUUUUACUAUAUAAACACAUCAAAUAAAGAAACAUUUACAAAUACUUCAAUGUAAUUAUCUAUUAAAAAUAAUCCAAUAGUCACCAUAUGAGUUGUUGCUUAAUUGCUCACUAUAAAGAUUUACUUCAACUUUACUAUAUAACAAUUUAAUUAUACAUGACAUAUAUCAACUCAAGUUCUAUUAAUAUUUCAAACCCUCAAGCAGAACCUAUAAGGAUGCCCCCUAUAUGCACGACACCAUAACCUGCAUAUCCUCUUAGACUCCACAAGGUCCGACUUGGUCUCUUCCAUGCUUUCUAUGCAUUCCUUGGUCUUGCAUCCAAGGCAGGUGAUAACACUCUAGAAUAAUAUAUUUUUAUGUAUUAAUUAUGUAUUUAUUCUGAGUAUGAUCCUGCUAAUUUGAGCUAUUUAUGAUCUUUUAUCUCAUAGGGACUAAAUUUGAGGCAAAAGUGAAAUUAAGGGCCAAAAGCGUGAAUUUAGAGAUAAAAUUGGUCAAUGUGCGACACAAGGAAAAGUUGAUGCCAAAAGUGCAAGCAUGGAGGACACAAGGGUUGAAAUGCAAAAAGAAGAGAUUUUAUUCUAUUAAACUCUAUUAAUUAUAUUAGGAUAAUUAAUGUUGAGAUAAUUAUUAAAGAUUAUUUUUAGGAUUUUAUUUUAUCUUUAUUUAUCUUCAAUUAAAUGUAUUUUUCUUUUAGGAAUUUAAGUAGGAUUAGAAUAUCUCCCCUAGCACUAUAAAUAGGGGGUAAAGUGACUCAAAAGGGGAUUCAUCUUUUCUUCUUCUGUAAACACUCUGUCCCCAAAAGUCUAGGCUUUUGUUCUUUUCAUAUUUCCUUUCAAUAAAAUCUUUAUUUUUAUUUUAUUUAUUUUCUUUUCUACCACAACCAUGAGCCACUAAACCCAUCUAGCUGAAGGUUGUCAAAAAUCCCCAAAAGGGUUCAUGAGGCUUAGAAUCCGUACUUAGCCUCCUCGCUGAGUAUUCAUCGUUUCUCCGCACUACGGGGCUGACGCUUCCGUCCAAGUCCCUUAAGAAGUAAGUUUUUCAACGUACGCAAAGGCGGCCGCUUUGUAUGUUUUGGGAAGGUUGCACAGUCGGUUCGUUAGCUUACUGCGUCAGAGGUUGGCGAGCCCAAGAGACAAAAUGGCGUGGGAUUCGCCAUUGAGAAGCGUUGAUUUAGCAUAAGACGAUCCCAUAGAAGCGAUUGUUGGCUAGAGUCAGGUUCCACUAAAUUGUAAGUCUAAAUCCUUGGAGCUGGUGGUCGUAGGCGUCCUCUUCCACUAUAAUUGGCUUAUUAGGUUUGGGAAGGAUCAUUUAAAAGCCGAGGAUUGAACCCAAGGCGGAACGAGACAACUGGAGGCUGGAAUCUCCCAUAAGAAUUUUCUUUCUCUUAACUCUAUUUUUAAUUUCUCAAAUUUUCAAUUCAAUAUUCUUAAUUCUGUUUUUAUUUUAUUUUUCGUUUCUAAAUCCCAUAAUUUAAUUCUUCUAUUAUUUUUCUUUUUUUUAGGAACGCAGGUUGUCUUGGGCAAGACUCUGCUUGGGAUUUCACGGAACAAGAUAUUUUGCGAGUCCAGUCCCUGAGGAUUUGACCCUACUUCCAUUUUACUAUUAUUUUUCAUUAUUUAUUAGGGAUAGGAUAUUUUUGGUGCUUUCAACGACCGCAUCAGCAGGCCACUUAUAAGUUCAUGCGAACUUAGUGAGGUUCCAUAUGUUCAUCACUACAUAAAAGAAUCAAUAAAAAGAAUUCAUGUAUAUAAUUAAAACUCUCUAUUUUUCAUUUAGACUUUAGCAUCUGCUGUUGUGUUUGAUGUUUAUAUGUUUUCCCUUUACAACUUCUAACAGACACUUUACAACAAUACAACUUCUUAAUAGAUACUCCUUAGCGACUCAUACCAUAGUCUCAAGCUUCAUCUCAGAUUUUCCAUUCUUCUUGCUUGAUAUUCUAUUGGACAUUUCAUCUUUUGGAUGGAUGUUUAUAUAUUUACCCACCUAGAUAACUUGACGAAUUAUUAUAUAUUACAUUGAGAGUGCAAAUUUUUUUCAUCAUCUUUACCUUCAUGAAGAUCUUGAUGUAGGUAUACGAUCUUGUUAUCUUUUCACUUGUUUAUUGCCCCUUUGGAAAAUUUAGUGCAGUUGAAAAAUCCCAUGAAUGCUUGACCUUAUCAGUAGGCAGUUUAAGCCUAAAAUCUGGUAGACCAUCGAUAAUAAACCCCUUUUAUAGAUAGUCAUAUGAGAUAGUCCUUAUGGCAUUACAAUUCCGAGAUAAUCCUAGCAAACUUCAUUUUACUUCAAUAAUACACGACAGAGUUUUAGAACAGAUAGUCCUUAUGGACAUCCCACAAGAUAAUCCAUGGUGGACUUCUUUUUACUUUGAUAAUACACGACAGACUUCUAGAACAAAUAGUCCCUAUAACCGUCCCACAAGAUAGUCCAUGGCAGACUUUCCAGAUAUGAUAAUCUUGACAAAUAUUCCAAACUACUAGAUAGUCCAUCUGGACCUUUCCACCUAAACUAGGUUCUGAUAGAACUUUAAUUCAUUUAGUAGUUCUCGUGAACAGUCCUGUCUUUUGGCAAAUCUUUGACUAACUUUACCAAAUAAGAUAGUCCCCAACUAACCUUCCAUUUAAGAUAGUCCUUUUUGGUGAACCCUGAAUGGUGGAUACCUAGUUACAAAUACUCUAUAAAGAAAAACCCUCCUCCAUACAUAUCCACGUAUGCAACACUUUCAUAUAUCUUUCUUACCUUCAUAACUUGGCGAAGCCUUAUCUCAGCAAUUUCACCAAUGCUUCUAUAUUUGACAUAAUUAUCCUAACUAAUUUCCUUGUUCGUUGUCCUGAUGGACUUUAUAAUCACGCGAAUCAUUUCAUAGUUCUCCUGUAUAUGUCAUGUUUUCUAUCCUAGCGGACUUUAUAUGUUGUCACAGCCCAGCUAUGGUUUUACACUAUAUGAUGCCAUAAUUUAGCAAUGGUCUUACACUAUUACAGGCUUAAAGCCUCCGAUCGAUGCCAUGGCCUUACACAUCAUUAUUGUUGUCACCCAUCCAUUCCCCCUCAAAUCCUCCUUGUUAAUUCGAACACCUAAAUAUUCACUUACAAGGCCAGGAAAUCACCUAUUUCAGUUGCAACACAUGCCAAAACGAAUUACGAAAAAACUAACAAAAAUUCUAUUUCCUAAUCCAUUCGUUCAUUCCUCCACAAUGACAAUUCCUACUCCAACUAACCCGGCAAUCAAUUUGCUCCGUACUCCAUAAUUCAUGAACACACAUAACACACAACAAUACAUUCAAAAUAUAAUAUGGAAUACACCACACCCAUUUCACAGAUACAACACAUAACAUAUUCUUAGAAAACAUAUUUUCAUCCUUCAUGUAGUCAAAAAACUAACACAUACAUAACACAUCCAAUCAACAGAAAUCCUAUAUCAUCACUGAACUCAACAUAGAAUCACAUCAGUCAUACAACAUCCAGACCAACACCCAAAUAUGGAGUAUGGAAACCCACCUGAUGUCUCUCUACUUUGCCAACUUAGCUUUUGCAAAUGCCAAAACCUCCUUUCUCUUGGUAGCUACGUAUGACAACCAAAAACACAAAUUAAAUCGAAGCAUUUAUGCUUCCAAAACCCAGAAACCAAAAUUCUCAGAAUUCUUUCAAAAGUUAUAGAAAUCUAUAUAUUCUCUUUUUCUCAAAUCCACAAGCACAGGAAGACUAAGAGGCUUACCAGUACACUAGAUUAUCUAUUUUUCUGACUCAAAUCCCAUGACUAUCACUGCAUGCAGAGUUUUCUUUAGCUUUCUCUUCUUCAGUGUAACCGAAGAAGUUGAAGAAAAAAAAAAUAGAACGGAAGAACAAGAAGCAGAAUAGAGAAAAUCCUCCUCUACAGAACAACCCUUCUCACUAUAUAUAUAACCACUACAUGCUCGAUCACCAACUCCCAUAGACACCAUACAUUGGCAAUCUUUUGUCUCCCACUAAGUAACAAAUCGGUUUUGUUGCAACCAAACUAGAACUAGAACCAACUGCUUGCUAACCAACCACUGGAAUUUCCAAAUUCUCACAAUUGAGUCUGCUGAACUAGUAGUUUCUUACAGUUAACUCUCACAUUGUCCCAAUUCAGACCUUAAUAAAGACCGGGUGUGACAUGUUGGGGAGAGCUUAGUCACAAUACUGUAGUGGAAUGACUUCAUGACUAAAUAAGUUUAUAAUUAAUAGGCGAAAAGUUGGAACUUAAUUAUAAAUCACUUAAUCCUCAAUCGCAUAUGUCCAAUUGCUCCAUAUUUUAGCUCGUUGAAACUAGAAAUGAAUUGUAUGUUAAAUCAAAUUAAAAAGAGGAAUAAAAAUGGUGAAAAUGGAGAAAUGAGAAAUCAUUUGAAAAUGAAAAUAGAGAAAUUGAAACAUUUGGAAAUGAUUAUGGUUUUCUCCAAAAUGAAAAUGAAAAUGAAAAUGGAGAAAUAAAAUCAUUUAGAAAUUAAUGUGGUUUUCUCCAAAAUGAAAAUGAAAAAUUAAAAUGACCUGAAAAAUGAAUUUAUGUUUUUUGAAUUAAAUGAAGUUUGAAAAUAAAAAAUAAAUCAUUUGGUCAUAGUGAAUUGUUGAAUAUAAAAAAUUAAAUACAUUUUCUCAUAGAUUCUUUUACGGUAAAAUCGUCAUGAUUUUAAUAGAAUUAGAAUUAGGUUGAGAAGAUUAUUUAAUUGGAAAUAUAUUGAGAAGUUUAUUUUGGAAAAUAAAAAAAUAUCGGGUUGGAUCAAAUUAUAAAGUAUUGGGUUAAAAGUCCGGAAAGUACUUAUAAUUGGAUCCGAUAUGGGAGUGGCUUAAAAGCCCCUCAUGUUAAAGGGGUGGACACUAACUAGGGCUGUCGCCUCUUAUACUUCUAGUUAUACUAGGAGUUCAUUUUUCUAGUUGAAAUAAACUUUUACAAUUCAACAAGGGUUCUACCUUCUCUUUUUAUAAAGAGAUGACACUGGCAGGACUAUUGACACAACUUAAAAGUAUUAUUACUCUAUUCGAAAAUAGAGAGAAUUUAUUCUAAACUAUUAAAUCUAUUUUCUGGAUUAACAAUUAUGUCGGUCUCUAUUUGAGAAGAGAUUUUUUUUUGUUUUUACACUAAAAAAAAAAGAAAAUUGUUUUUAGUUUUGUGUUUGAUUCAAUUUGUCCAAGCCCACAUUCGAAGCAGUUCGUGGUACGAAAAUAGCAGAGAAUAUCGUUUGGUUGAAAGUCGAGAACGAAAAGAAUUCGUCUAUUCAAAAACACAAGUGCGAAUUCGGUCUAGGGUUUAUUGUUAUAAAUAUCACAAACCUGGUCGAUUUUCAAAAUUUUUAUUUUUCGCUGUGUGAAAAUCGUUUUUGAACCGGAUAUUUUCCAACACAGACUAUGAUGGGAAAUGAUGGGUUGAACGCUGCCACCUUUCAUCUGAUCAUCGAAGCAGUUCGUGGUACUAAAAUAGCGAAGAAUAUCGUUUGGUUGAAAAUCGGGAACGAAAAGAAUUCGUCUAUCUGAAAACACAAGUGCGAAUUCGGUCUAGGGUUUAUUGUUAUAAAUAUCACAAACCUGGUCGGUUUUCAAAAUUUUUAUUUUUCGUCGUGCAAGAAAACCGUUUUUGAAUCAGAUAUUUUCCAACACAGACUAUGAUGGGAAACGAUGGGUUGAACCAACCUUUCAUCUAAUCAUGAUCGUGUUGAAGAAGAAGAAGAUGGAGGAGGCAUGUCAAGUGGCAGAUUUCAUGAGAGUCGCCGGAGUUUUGCCCAAUGUGAUGGCAUAUAAUUUUUUUACUGACGGCGUGCUGUUAUGAGUGUAAGUUGAUGGAGGCGAGCACGGUGGAGAAAUAAAAGUUUGGGGGUUGGGUUUUUGUUUUAAAUUUACACAAAUUUUUAAAAAUUAAAUAUUUUCAUUCUGUAAAUGUUGAGGGUUAAAUUUUUUGAUUUUUUUAGAAUUUGAACUACAAUGACAAAUUUUGUAAACAUUGAGGGUUAAAUUUGUUGAAUUUUUAUUUUUAGGCUCAAAUUAAUAGAAUGUGUAAGCAUUAUAGGGCUAAAUUUGUUAUUAGACCAAUAAAAAAACCCACUUUAGCACUUCUGUCAAAUUUCAAACGAAUGCUAACGUUUAGUGACCAAAAAAAUUGAUUUCAAAUAGUUUAGUGACUAAAUAGAAAAAAUUAAAAGCUUAAAUAGUUUAGUGACUAAAUCGAAAAAAUUAAAAGCUUAGUAACCAAAAUAGAACACGACCAAUAGUUUAGUGACCAUUUCUAUACUUUACCUAUUUAAUUAAUCGUAAGGAUUUUCUUUGCUUUUAGCUUAGCAUGGAAGAUUCUAAGAUCAUAUAAUAAAAAAAUUGUGUUUCAUAGAUAAUUAAUAAAGAUGAGUUAUUUGAGUUGAUUAUAUUUUGGAAAUAUAAAAUAAAAUUUAAAAUUUUAGAAGAAAAUUAAAUAAAUUAUUUUUAAUAUUAUAGUAACAAAUUGGUUAACACUAUCAAGUGAUGAAUUUUUUUCAAUAAUUUAUUAAAUUGAUUUUGAUGUCUUGAAAUUUAAAAUUUCAAUAAAAAAGUUAGAACUUUCGACAAUAGGGUAAACAUGUGCAAUUUGAAAGCGGCCUAGAAGUUGGGUGAUCAAAAUGAAAGUGUAAACAUAAUGUGACAUGUACAAUUAAUCGUUGUUAGAAAUUUAACACUUAGAUGACUAAAAUGAAAGCAAUUUAAAAGUGGGGUGAUAAAAUUACAAAAAGUUUAUUUUUGAUGACCAAAAUUAAAACACCCUAAAAGUUGGGUGACUAACUAGAUAGCUUACCAACUCAAGGCAUUAUUCUUAUUAAAUUUUCUACAUCUCUCCAUACUAUUAUUUAAGUUCAUGACUGAGUUGGUGACGCGGUUGGUGUCACCCUCAACCGGGUCACCAACUCGGUUAGAGAAAUUACGGACAUGCUUUUUUGUAAUUAAAAUAAAUUAUACUACUUGGGGUAUUUUAAUAUUUUUAAUUUUAAAAAAACAAUAAAAAUAAGCAUAUUAAGGGGUUUGAACCCAAACCAAUUGUAUUAGUAAAACUUUAAUUUAUCAUGCAACUAGAGCAUUAUGUUAAUAUUUUUAUACAUUUUAAUUUUAUUAUGCACUAUUCAUUACUUCCAUCAUUUGUAUAUAUUAAUAAUGUAUUUAAUUGAGUUGGUGUUACAAGUUAACUCGACACUGACUCAAGAUUAAAGACAACACAAUGAUAAAUAAUUUAAUUUAAUUUUUUUAAUUUUAAUACUGUACAUAUUUCAAUAUGUGUUAUUAUUACUUAGUUAAAAAUCAUGCAUUAUAUUAUUUAUUACACAUUAUUUUUAAACAUACAUUUAUAGUUUCCACGCAUAACUGCGUAUGAUAAACUUUAUAAGAAAACAUAAUGUUUCUCCAUUUAAACAAAUUCACCAAGUUAUUACUUAAAAAAUGAUGAUAUUAUUAUCAUAUUUUUUUAAUAACUAAUACCAAGUUAGGUUUAAGUAAAAGAAACUCUUUUAAAAUUCAAGUAUUACUCUUUAAACACCUCUGAUCUUAGUGGCCUUUUUUCCUUUCUUUGCCUUGCCUUGGUAUAUAUAUAUAUAUUUUUUUUACAAAAGAGAGAUUAACUCUAAUUAAUAAAAAACGAAAUUACAUUACAUCAGGUAGAUCAUCAUGUAAAGACUGAAGGAUUUCAUCCGGGGGUUGCAUGAAUGUAACCUUGCCAAAAGGUGUUGAGAAAGCCAUUUGUGCCAAACCGUCCACUACCUUGUUGCCUUCUCUGAAAGCAUGUAUUAAGUGAAUUGUCGAAUUACGUUGGAGAAGCUCUUUGAUGUUACGGAUCACAAAAGAAUCAUAUUGCUCUUUUCCAUAUUCUUGAAUUUCUUGAAUUGCUUCUUUACUGUCUGUCUCAAGCACCAUUUUCUUCAACCCGAGACUCCACGCUAUUUGGAGCUCAUCAAGUAUACCUCAGAGCUCAGCCAUGAGUACCGAGCAACUCCCGAGAUUUCUUGUGAAGCUUGCAACCCAUACUCCAACCUGGUUACGGAUUAAUCCACCCACAGUAGCAGUCCCUGAAAGUUGACACAUAACACCAUAAGUAUUCACCUUCUUCCAUCUAGUGGUUUACGUCUUAUGGCUUUACAAGAAUCAGCAUUUAUACGCCUCAAUGUCUGGUUCAACCCAUGGUUUGCAUUAAGAAAAAUGUCUUUCAUCCAACAACUUUUUCCCAAAAACACUAUCGGUUUCCAUAAACUCAGCAUGAAAUACAUAAUUAUUUCUCCUAAUCCAAAGUUGCCAACAGAUACUACCAAACAGUGUUACCCAACCGCUAGGAAUACAGGCAAAAUAUUCACGAUCAGAUAGAUUUUUAACAAACCAUUCUUCCAAGCUGAGACUCAUGUCUCGUUUCCACCUUAGUAACAGAAAGCCAAGUUUCCACAGCUGGGGUACAAAAUCGCAGUACAUGGUCAGUAUUUUCCAACGCGCUUCCACAAACCAUAUAACUUGCAUCAGUAAUCAUUUUUCUUCUCACUCUGUUCUCAUUGGUUAGAAUUCUAUCUAAAAAAUGAAAACACACGCCUUUUGAGGAACUCGAAUGUGCCAAAUCCGAUGCCAAAUCCCAUCGUAUCUGCUCCUUUCCACCCCCACAAUUAGUAGCGUAGACAGAUCACACUGAAAACAAAUUCUUUUUAUCGUGAACCCAACUUGUAGAGUCAUCAACGUCGUGAUCUGAUGGAGGCUUAUAAGUUGAGAUGUUUAGGAUGACUGGACGUGGCAGAACCGAGUUAAGAAUAGACCAAUUCCAAUCCCCACUCGGCGUAACAAGCUCCUUCAUAGAGACAUGCUUCUUAGGAAUGCCUUCGGGUUGUGUACAACUGUUUACUAGGGAACCUUGUAUAACUUUAAUUAACUUUUAGAUAAAUACAAUUCUUUUAACAUCUACAGUAAAAAUUAAAUUUCCAGCUAAUAUCAUAUAGUUUGGUAAAUACAUCCAACAAAUAAAAAAUUAAUAUGGUGGAUGCGAAUAAUAUUAUAGUAAGAGGAUUUGGAGAGAGAUUUAAAAUUAUAUAAAGAAAAUUAAGACUAAACUUAGAUGAAGCUGAAUAUACCCUAAACGCUAAGCAAAUUAUAUAAAAACCAAGCCAUACAUUGUGUAAGUGAACAUGUCCGUGAUGCUCUUGAUCUCUGGGUUGUCCAUGAAGUGCAGCUGGCCACCUUUCGUCACUUUCAAUAAAUUUUAUUUGGAUCGACCCACUCUAUGUGAAGCAAUAUAGGAUAAUCUUCGAUUAAGGAUAUGAUGGAUCCAUAAUUUUACUUUGUUUAACAAAUAUUCUUAUUCUUGUUUCUUCCUCAUUUAUUUAUCCUAUAAUAUCACCCAUUCCAUGCACGGAUUUAAAAUUGUUGUUCCUCUUCCAUUUUCUUUCUUCUUUAAACAACCAAUGCAACUCUUACAAAUUACAUCCAUCAACAAAUAACAUAUUAUUCUAUUAGCAAUGUAUUUUGAAUUAUGAAUAAAUUAAUAAUUUUAACAACUUUAUUCUAUUAACAUAAAUGAUGCUUUUAACUAGAUUACAAAUAUUUAAUAUAUAUUAAAAAUAUUUGUCGAGAAAUUCUUUGAUUUGAAACUUUAAAGAGUACAAAUAUAUGCUAGUGUGAGUAAAGGCAUGGAGAAAGUCAAAAAUUAGUAUCAUUGAUGGGAAUGAAGGAUUUCCAUUAGAAAAGUAAAUGGAGAUACCAAACUUGGAUGGACUUGAAGUCCUCCAAAGACAAAUAUGGGGAUAAACUAGCAUAUGAUAGCACUAUAAAUAUACAUUUCAGAUGCAUCCAUUCUCCAUUUCAGUUUUCAUAGCUACCAACAUGAAGCUUGUAGCAGCCAUGGACGCCUUUGAUUCUUUCAUGCCAUACUUACUCCACUUGGUGCUUCUAUACGUCUCUGCCGGUCUCUUUUACUUUCUUUACAAAUACAAAUCUAGCGGCGGCGGCGGCCCCACCCCCAACCUCCCUCCUGGUAAAAAGGGUCUUCCAUACAUCGGUGAAACCUUGGAUUUUGUAUUGGCGUCCAGAAGGGGAACUCCAGAGAAAUUCGUGACUGAUAGAACUACCAAAUAUUCACCUGAUGUGUUUCGCACAUCACUGCUUGGAGAAGACAUGGCCGUCUUCUGUGGCUCCGCUGGUAAAAGUUCCUUUUCUCCGGCCAAAACAAAUAUGUCACUUCAUGGUGGCCGGAUUCUAUUAAGAAAGCUUUGACGGACCCAUCUAGUGUUGACUGUUGACAAUUCUUCCAAAGAAGAAUCCACUAAACUUCGAGCUUAUCUGCCUCCUUUUCUCAAGCCUGAGUCCCUGCAACAUUUCAUACCAGUCAUGGAUAUAAUGGCCAAAGAGCACCUAAAUCAACAUUGGUCGCCGUAUAAUGAAGUCCAAGUUUUCCCACUCUCCAAGAAGUACACGUUCGCACUGGCUUGUCGUCUUUUCAUGAGCGUCACGGAUUACGACGAGAUAGAGAACUUCGCGAAGCCAUUUGCUCUUGCCACUGCGGGUCUCAUGUCGGUUCCCAUAGAUCUUCCAGGUACAACUUUCAAUCGGGCAGUGAAGGCCGGCAGACUGAUUCGACAACGGCUUUUAGCCCUCAUUACCCAGAAGAAAAAUGAGAUAUUGGAGAAAGGGAAAACAGUAGCCUCAGACUUGGUUGACAGCAUGCUGAUGGAUGGUAUGACUGAGGUUGAGAUCGGCAAUAAGAUUGUGGGCUUCUUUAUUGCCAGCCAUGACACAACAAGCACUGCCAUCACCUUCAUUGUUAGCUAUCUUUCGGAUUAUCCUGAAGUAUAUAACAGGGUCCUUGAAGGUACGUGAUUUAGCUUGAUUUUAAGCACCCAUGACAUUGGAAUGGGACUAUUCAUGAAUAAAGUAAUGUUUUCAACUAAUUGCUGGGAAUAUGCAGAACAAAUGGAAGUAUUAAGAUGCAAGGAGGCAGGGGAGCCGUUGAGAUGGGAAGAUAUACAGAAGAUGAAGUAUACUUGGUGCGUGGCAUGCGAAGAAAUGAGGUUGGCUCCGCCUGCUAAUGGAUCUUUCAGAGAGGCCAUAACCGACUUCACUUACGCAGGUUAUACAAUCCCAAAGGGAUGGAAGGUAACUAAUACCUAUUUUUUUUAAAAAUAAAAUAAUGCAACCAUAUAUAAUAAAUAUUGAUUUAAUUGUACUAAAAUGGUCAGGCGUUUUGGAUGGUGCAUACAACGCACAAGAAUCCGAAAUACUUUACGGAUCCAGAGAGAUUUGAUCCAUCAAGGUUUGAAGGGAAUGGUCCUGCACCCUACUCCUUUGUACCAUUUGGGGGAGGUCCUCGAAUGUGCCCUGGCAAGGAGUAUGCUCGACUCGAAAUCCUCACUUUCAUCCGCAAUCUGCUUACCACUUUCAAAUGGGUUAAACUCAAUCCCAAUGAGAAGAUUUCCUACAUUCCAUCACCCAUUCCUAAGGAGGGUCUUCCCGUCAAAAUGCAACCCCUUCUAAAUUAAUUGUUCCUAUUUAAUAACUUUUCCACAAGUGAGUUAAAUGUCUCACUCUUAUUUUUAAUUAUCGAUAGGGUUUCAAAACUCUAUAAAUGCUUGAUGUAAUAAUAUCUUUUAGGGUAAACUACACCCAUGGUCACUUUUGUUUACCUUAGGUUACAUUUCAGUCACUUAUGUUUGAAAUGUUACGUUUUAGUCACUUACGUUAUUGUGUUGUAACAUUUUAGUCACUGAGCCGUUAAUUGUCGUUAAUGGUGUAAUGGUAAGCUGACGUGGCACGUUAAAUUAUCAUUUCAAACAAAAACUUUAGGUUAAAUUAUACAAUUGGUCCCCAUAAUUUUUCGUUUUGAGCAAUUUAAUUCUUUUAUGUUCUUUUAACUUUCUUUCUUUCUUUUCUUUAUUUUCCAUUCUCUUUUGCUUCUUCCUCUGUUUUCCUACCUUCUUUUUUUUCUUUUAACAUACCAGGAAGUCGAAUUGGUAGUGAAGAAAGAAGCAUGGUAUGGGUUUAUGGAUUUUGGUUAUAGGCAAAUGAUGACAGUCGACUUCCUACUUAUUUUUUCACUGCCAAUUCGACUUCCUAAUAUGUUAAAAGAAAUGGGAAAGAUAUGAAAACAGAGGGAGAAACAAAAGAGAAUGGAAAAAAAGAAGAAAGUUUAAAAAACAUAAAAGAAAAAAAUUAAAUUACUUAAAACGAAAAAAAUAUGGGGAUCAAUUGUAUAAUUUAAACUAAAAUUUUGUUUGGAAUGAUGAUUUAACGUGCCACGUCAGCUUACCGUUACACCAUUAACGACGAUUAAUGGCUCAAUGACUAAAAUGUUACAACAUGAUAACAUAAAUGACUAAAACAUAACAUUUCAAACAUAAGUGACUAAAACGUAACCUAAGGUAAACAAAAGUGACUAUGGGUGUAAUUUAUCCUAUCUUUUAAAUAAAUUAUACAAUCAGAAAUAAAUGGCCAGUGCCUCGUUUGGGAAAACUAUGGGUUACUAAUUUGUCUCUAGUCAGCUUUCAUCCCUUUGGAAACCCACAGGUAAAAUCCAAUUUACAGGCUUAGGUCUUAACUACUUUAUUGUUUCCUUGCAUUAUAACUCUGAUUAGGAUUAUGUUAUGUUAUACAAAAUGGACCAUAGUUUAUUGGGGUCAUUUUCUUAUUGUGUGCAAAUGGGAGUCGAACCUUAGGGCAUCUACUGCUACAAUUUCCUAUGUUGCAGUUUGGUUAAAAUUAGGAGUGAGCAAAAUUUGAUUUGAUUCGAAAAGCUCGAUAAAAAAUUCAAAAUUUAAAUUAAAUAGUUUGAGUUAUUUGAAUUAAUCGAGUUAUUCGGAUCAACAUGAAUAAGAAAUCAAAUUUUUCGGCUUAACUCGAAUAGGAAUUACAUAAUUCGAGUUAUCUGAAAAUCUGAAUAAGAAAAGGAAAAACUACGUCGUUUUGAUAAAUGUUUACCUUUUCUAAAGUUAAAAGUCAAAACCAUUAAGUCAAAAGGCAAAACUACGUCAUUUUGAUAAAUGUUUACCUAUUAAGUUAAAAGCAAAACCAUUAUAUUUUUUAUAUAGUUAAAUAAUAUUGUACGUUGUCUACUAGUUAAAUAAUUGGUCCAUGUAAAUGCAACAUUGAGUAUAAUUAAUAGGAUUCGUUAACUUGAUUUGACUUGGCCCGAAAAUUUUUGACUCGAUUUGAUUUGAUUCGAAACGAUUUCAAAUUGAGUUCAAUUGCUAAAAUAGAAUUCGUCAACUCGACUAACUAGAAAUUUUUUGACUCGAUUGACUCAACUCGAUCGAAUGUUCACCCCUAGUUAAGAUCACCAGAAUUACCAGUUCAAUACUUUGAUGUGGAUAUUUUAAGAAAAUUGGUAGAGGUAUUGGAUCUCCCCUAAGAGUUGAUAGUCACACACUUGCUAAAGAAAAGGAUAGAUAUGGUCAUUUAUACGUUCAACUAAAUCUCCGUAAACUUCUUCCUCGUUUUGUUACUAGCGAAGGAUAUAAACAAGCUAUUUUUAUGAAGGUUUGAAUUCUCUCUUGUUGGAAGAUCAACCACUCUAUCGAAAAAUUUCAUGCUUCUACUUCUCCAUUUGUUAAUGCUAUUAACCAUUUAGAUCCAUCGCACUUGGAUGUUCAUACCACUAGUCCCUCUACUUUUGAUGGCUACGGUCCGUGGCUCAUUAUUCAAAGGAAAAACAAGCCAAAGCCGAAAGUAAUUGAUCUCAAGCCUACAACUAUUGAUCAAUUGUGAAGAAAAAUAUCUUGAAUAAAAAAGUGAAGGGCAAGGGAAAAAUUAUCUCAAACUCACCCAACUAUAAAUAUCCUUAAUCCCACUUUGCUUCCCCCAACAAAGCAAAAAGCUAUUAGCUUCCCCUAUGACACCAACAUCAAUUUUGAAUGGUCUAGUGGGAUACUACUGGCGAUUUGUUAAAGGAUUCUCGAUGAUAGCUCUCCCAUUGACUAAGUUACUACAGAAGAAUAUCAAUUUUGAAUGGUCCAAGAAAUGUCAGAAAUGUUUUGAGAAGUUGAAGACAAUGUUAACUAAGGCACCAAUACUAACACUGUAACAUCUCAUACCUGACCCGAUCAUUAGAUCCAAACUAUAGAAUGUCACAUUCGUUGUCGGAGUAAUUAUGAUUAAUCACAUGAAAAUUUCAACUUUAAAUGCCCAAAUGCUAAAAUUUCAACUUUAAACACGAAAACUAACCAUUUUUGGGUCAAAUAUGAGCUUAAGAAAGCUCAAUACCAUCCAUAGGUUGAACUAGGACCAAACUAAAAAGCUUUUAAAAUAUUUCAAGUGGGUGUUGCGACUUCCAAAGCUUGGUGUCACGUCAUUGAAGACAAUAGCCAAGCUUCCCAAUUUGAGGACCAAAUUACAAUUUUUUUAAAAUAAAACAGAGUCGACAUCGCGACCUCAAGCAGGAGCUGCUACGAUGAGAUGGCCUGAGGUUGCGGCAUUCAGGAUGUGAAGUUGCAACAUUGCAAGCAGACCACUAGGUUCCUGUUUCAAAUGUUUUCUACCUAGCAUGUUUAACAUCAUUUUGCAUCAAAGCCCUAAUUUCAUACUAUUAAAACAUGUACAAAAUAUGGUUAUCAAUCUAUUAACAUCACCUUCAUGCUUGACUAUAACCAAAAUCACAAAUCACAACCUUUAUACAAGUAUUUUGGACCAUUUCUAACAUUUGAUAAUAAUAAUAAAAACCCUAGGUACAUGUCAGUAGUAACAUAAUGAAAAAGGGCUAUAAAAACUUAGGUUGAGUUGAUUAGUGUCGCGUGGAUGCGGACUUCACUUUCCUGGGGAUUUGAGAAUACUUGAACUUGCAUACAGAAUAAAUAAAUCGUAUGCUGAGCAAUGGGGCUCAGUGGUACUUUCAUGAUUCAAGAUAACAAAAACAUUCAUAAAUUUUUAUAUAUAACACAUUUACAUAAUGUAUUCAAGUCUCAUCUAUCAAACCAAAUAAUUCACAUAUUUGAUACAAAUAAGAACAUAGAUAUGCCAAGUAACCAAUCCAUUCAUCAAUAUAUGCAUGACAAAUGAACUAUGCAUACCAUUUGACAAAUCACUUAUAUCUUUCUAGCUAUCCUUAUCAACUAUGUGGUCACAUAUAUCUAUAUGCAAUUUACAUUAUGGCAUUCAUGUUUCAUAGUACUAUUAUUUUCUUACCAUUCAAACUCAUUUAUGGAUUCUAUCAACUCAUUCGUACUCGUUUUGGCCCCCAAGGCUCGUUCUCAAAUAAUUUGCUCAAUAGCUUACAUGAUCUUUCUAUCACAUUCCACAUAGGAAUACAAGUGAAACGAUUUCAUCAUACAAUAUUACUUAUCAAGUUUGUCAUUUAUAAAUCUAUUAACAUGACUUAGACUCGGAAAUAUACACGGAUCGUCCAUCCAACACACCAAACUGGCACCAAAGUACAUCGGAUAAGCCAAAGUAAGGUAAACUGGCAUGUAAGGUGCAUAUUGGCACAUAAAGUGCAUCUUGGCGCACAAAUCGCAUACUGGCACAUGAAGUGCAUCCUAGAAAACAAAGUGUAUAUCUGGCAUACGAGGUGCAUCCUAGAGCAUAAGCGUAUAAUCUCAUACACAAACCAAUCCCAUGACAUGCCAAUUAUAUCCAACACAGCCCGAACAACUAAUAGGGUACCAACAUUUAAUCUAUUUUUAUGAUUUAAAUCAUAUAACAUUCCUUAAUCGUAAUCAUAAUCCAAAUCAUUAUCAUUAUCAAACCCAUACAUUUCAUAUUAUAUAACAUAUUCUAUUUCAAUUUCCAUAUCAAAUAAUAUAAUUCAUGUUUUUCAUUUCAUUUUCCAUUUUAUUCAUUUUAGUCCUCUAUCCUGAUAAUCCCUACCAAACUUGAUCAAAACAUGACAUACUAUCAACAUAUACUCACCUCAAUUAUUCACCAAUCAAUAAACAUGCAUACGCAAGCAAAUAUUUUUAUCUCAAAUCAUAAAAGUACAAAUCGUGGUCUCGUGUCACUCAUCGACUACUCUCGCUUUCCCUUUCUCUCUCAAAGUUUCUACGUCAACGUUAGCUAUGAAUAGUCAUGAAACAUAACACACUAUCAAUUUCCCACCAAUCCAUAACAAAAUAUCAAUGUAUGCAUAUUUUUUAAUUUAUUCAAUUUAGUCCCUACAACUGGAACAAGCAUAACUUUCAAUCUAAAGUUUCGGAUUAAAAUUCGAUUUCACAUACAUUCAUUAGGAACCCUCUACUUUCUAUUCCUACUAAAAUUUCAUAAUAAUUUUUCAUUUUAUUCAAUUUAUUCCUUAAUGUGCGAAACUAAUAAUUAAACUUUACAAUUUAUUAUUCAAUUUAUUCCUUAAUGUGCGAAACUAAUAAUUAAACUUUACAAUUUACUCAUUUUCUUAAUCUAAGCUUAAUUUUUUAACAAUUCCACACCUAAUUUAUUCAAUUCUCAAUAAUGGCAACUUAUCAAAAUUUAACCAAUUGGUCAAAGUGAUCCAUGGGUUAGCUUGGUCAAGCUUCCAUGACAAAAAAAAUCUAUAAAAACCAAAGAAAAAUUACUAAGGACUUACUUGUAAUAUUGAUCGAAUAUCAAACUAGGUUUUAAGCUUUCUUCCUUCUUCAAAAAUGGUGGAUGGUGGUUCUUGAAAAGAAGAUGAUAACUUAAUCAUCUUUUUCCCACUUAUUUAACUUAUAUAGCAUGAUUAAUUUUAGUUAAACUUAAUUAAUUUGCUUAAUCAUGAUUAAUUAAACCUUAAUCCUUAAUUAACUUAAGUUAAUGAAAUUUAACAUCACAUCCCACUAUGAUCCAUAUAAAAUAGGUCUGUUGGCCAUUUUAUUCUCUUGGAUAAUUACUAUUUAAGUCCUCAAGCCUUAUCCUAAUAAAAAUCUAUAGUGAUUAAAAUUUUACAAUUUAGUCACUAGGUCUUAAUUAACCCCAUUUUUUUUUGCUAAAUUACCUAAACAAAUUUCAAUUCAUCAAUAUACUAACUUCAUAAAUAUCACUAUUUAAUAUUUACAAACUCGAUUUACGAUAACGAGGUUCUGAAAUUGCAUUUUCCAACACCACUAGAAAUUAGGUUGCUACAAACAUAACCUGAAUUAGGAAAGGAUUUUGUAAUAUUCAGUAAUGCAUCUCAUAAUGGUUACCGAUCAUAGGAGUUUGACGAAUUUUUUAGUGUUCAAUGACGCGUCUCAUAAAGGAUGUGGAUUGAUGCAAUAAGGCAAAGUAAUUACAUACGUUUCUCAACAACUCAAACCUCACAAGAAGAAUUAUCCUACUCACAAAUCUGAACUUGUAGCCAUAGUUUCUGUUUUAAGGAGAAAAUACCUUUACGGUAAGAGAUGUCAUGCCUUUAUCGAUCAAAAAAGUUUAAAGAAUUUGUUCACGCAAAAAUUAUUGAAAUAUCUCUGUAAUUCAAACUUUUAAUCCAACUAUUCGGUUACUUAGAGAGCUCUCAAGAAUUCUUAACACAUUAUUGAGAAAGGUGUCCAAUGGAUUAUAAAAUAUGGUUCCCGAAUUAGUUUCUGGCAUGAUAAUUAAACGAGCAUGGGUCCUAUUCUUUUUUUUUCAUUACCCCUUUCUACCCAAGGAAGAUUGUUUCUUGGUGAAAAACUUUUAUGUUGGCUCUUAUAACUCUUCCUUUGCUAUUUCAAACAACAUCAAUGAUUGUAUUCUUAUGCACCCCACUUCUUUUUUUUUUAAAAGAUGGUUUUGAUGUUUUGUGUUGGAAAGCCACUUCUAAAAUACUCUUUUUCAUGAAAUUACCUUAUCAUAUUGCCUCCAACCUUAUCAAUGCUCUUCUUGAUUCUAGUAAUUGGUUAUUGUCAGGGGCGAAUUUAGGGGGGCUGGUAAGGGCCUUGCCCCCCUAAAUUUGUAAAAUUUCAAUUGUGCAACACCCUAGACCCGGCUUAGAUGUCCAGUCCAAGUUUAGAGAGUUACAUUAUAAAUACUCAAAUACUACUCAAGCCAUAAUAAUACCAAACCAUGAUUCACAUAAAAAUUCAACACAAAGAUUAGUUAAAUAUAUAAUCUUCCGAAGUCAUACACUAUUAUAGUUUAAUGAAAAUCCUAUCAAAAUAUUUUAAAGAAAGCUAAUAGUUCGACUAAGCUCCCACGGCACCAACCCAUUCAAGUCUGUGAACGACCUGAAAUUCAAGCAAUAACAGAAUAAGUUGUGAAAUCAGUGCGUAAAAGAAAUUUAUUCAAUUAAUGCUCAUUUAAAAAGUAGUUCCAAAUUCAGAGAUUCAGUUCGAUAUAGAAGUAAUUUCAGUUUAGAUUCAGAGCAAAUCAGCUACAAAUGUACAUAUAUGCAAUUACAGGUCAUACACGAUACAAAUCAGAUUCAGAUGCAAUAUUCUCAUCCUCGCCCACUGCACACCAUCUUCGGCCAUCCCAAUACACCAUUAAGGAUAUUCAAUGCUCAGCCAACCCUAUACACCUUAAACUGUUCGUUGACACUUUUACAGAAAUGCAGCUUAGCUAUUAAUUCAAUAUUCGACAAGCGCCAGAAUCAGAUUUAUACACAUUGUGGCGUAGCCACGAUUUAGAACAGAUUUCUUCCUCCUUCACAAUAUCCCAGCCCAUGUCGGUGCAGAACACAAAUACCCAUAUGAUGUAUUCAGUCAUUCUAAUUCAUUUCACAAUCAAAUAAGAUAGUUCAACAUCAAAAUAAGCAUUCCAGUGUACUUAUAACUAAGUUGUUCACAGAUCAAUCUCAGGGUAUCAGACAGUUCUAAUAUAAUUAAUUUCAAUCAUUCGUAAAUCGAAGAGGCCAGUAUCAGUGUUAAGUAACAUUUUUAGCCUCGAAAAUAGAUUUUGGGCCUCAAUAACAUGCCACACGACCAAGUGGCACACCCAUGUGCCUUGCUCGUUUAUUUUCGAAGCAUAAACAAUGAAUUACAUGGUCUGGACACACACCUGUGUCCCUGGCCGUGUGGCUUUGUACCCAACACAGUGAGUUACACUGCCUGGGCACACGUUCGUGUCCCUGGCUGUGUGGUUUUGUACCAGAAAUAGUAAGUUACACGGCCUGGGCACACGCCUGUGUCCCUGGCCGUGUGGUCUUGUACCACAAACAGUAAGUUACACGGCGUGAGCACACGCUCGUGUCUCUGGCAGUGUGAGCUCUGCACUAAUAUGGCCAUACACGCUCUAGACACACGACCGUGUGCCUUGUAAAAUUAAGGUUUUCGGUACACACCUAAUUUUGCUUUGACGGAGAAACAACACGAAGACUAUCCGGAACCUAAUUAAUCACUCAAUAAUCAAUUACACCAUCGAUUUCAAAAUUUUAGCAAAAUCAACCUACCGCCAAGAUUAUGUCGAAAGUUUUGAUGCAAUCCCAAGUCAAUUUGUAUACUCACCUCGCACGAAAUAGAGGAAAUCAGACUAACACGGCGAAAUAACGUCUCUUGUAAUAUUCUCGCCUAAAAAGAUAACCAAUCAAAUGAUUAAACAGAAUGUUCAAGCAACCGAGAAAAAUCCCAUUUCAAUAGAAUAUUGUUAACACCACAAAACUUGCAAAAUGAGAGAAAAUUGACGACGAAACUUGCUAAAUACUCGCACAAUCAACCUUACAAGUAACAAAGAACUUCCAAUUAAUGCAGAAUUGAAUAAUUUAAAAGGAAAAAUAAAAGAACAGAAGAACCAGAAAAGAAAACAACUUUUAAAAAACAAAGAAGAAGGUACGAUAGAAUUUCUUUAGACUAUCUUAAGUUAACCACCAUCCCACAUUCUUGCAUUUGCAAAAAAUAUUUCCUAAUGCAUAUGAUGGGAUUCGAACUCACAACCAAACAGAAUAUAGACAGAUGCUUAACCAGUGAACUAGCAGGCUCAUUCUUGAUACCGAUUUACCCAGAAUUGGACUUAACUACGAAACACAUGGAUGAAGGUUGUUUUAAAAAUAAUAACAAAACUUUUAACGAUGCUACUGAAACUUCAGACCUUAAACACAGAAGCAUAGCACAGAACCACAUAUACGAAAAUUUAAUUACUGUAAUUUCUCACAAUUAAAUUCUUAAAAAUUUGGGGCAUUACAACUCUCCCCCUAAAAGAAAUUUCGGCCUCAAAAUUUUACCUAAGUCAAACAGAUACGAAUACAGUCAUCGGAUUGAUUCUUUCGAUUCCCACGUGGCUUCCUCAGUACCAGGGUUCCAUCAUAGGAUUUUCACUAGAAGAAUAGUUUUCUUCCUUAGCAUCUGAACAUCACAUUCUAAGAUCUAGACAGGUUCCUCUUUGAAUGCUAAGUUCGGCCGCAAUUUAAUCUUGUCGACAGUAACAAUAUGUGACGGAUCCAACCGAUACCGUCUCAGCAUCGAGACAUGAAACACAUCGUCAAUCUAAUUUAGCUUCGACGAUAAUUCUAACUGGUAUGCAACAAGUCCGACACGCUUUAAGAUACGGUAAGGCCUAUUGAACCUCGGGUUUAAUUUGCCAUUAUGUCCGAAACAGAGGACCUUUUUCCACAGUAAUACUCUCAAGAAGACUUAAUCACCAACAGAAAACUCGAUGUCUUUUCUUUUUAAAUUAAUAUAGGACUUUUGCUGAUCAGAUGUGGCUUUCAAACGGUCCCGAAUUACUCUCACAGUGUUCUCAGUUUUAGAAACCAGCUUAUGACCCCAUAUCUGACGUUCAUUUAAUUCUAUUUAACAUAGCGAAGUACAACACUUACGACCAUAUAAGGCCUCGUAGGGUGCCAUCUGAAUACUAAACUGAAAGUUGUUAUUAUAUGCAAACUCCGCCAACGGUAGGUAGUCCUCCCAACUACCCCAGAAAUCUAUCACACAAUCUCGAAACAUAUCCUCCAAGAUCUGAAUAACUCGCUCCGACUAUCCAUCGGUCUAAGGGUGAUACGCAAUACUGAAUUUAAGUCAGGUGCCUAAGGCCUCAUGGAGUUUCUUCUAGAAUCGAGAUGUAAAUCGUGGAUCCCUGUCAAAGAUGAUUGAGAUCGAAAUUUUGUCUAAUCUCACAAUUUAGGUGAUAUAUAGUUUAACUAACUUCUGUUAGGAGUAAUCUGUCCGAAUGGGUAUGAAGUGGGCUGAUUUGGUCAAUCGAUCCACCAUGACCAAAACCGUUAGUAGGGAUUAGAGGCAACCCACUAACAAAAUCAAUCGUUAUCUUCUCCCACUUCCACUAAGGAAUUUUAACUGGUUGAACUAACCCGGAUGGCAGCUAAUGUUCCGCCUUAACCUUUUGGCAUGUCAGACAGUGGGACACAAAAGCGACUACCUCUCAUUUCAGUUCGGGCCACCAGUAGAAUUCUCGAAGAUCCUGAUACAUUUUGUUCCCAGUAAAAUGCAUAGCAUAUGGACUACUAUGCGCCUCCUGAAGGAUCGAAUGCCUCGACUCUUUGUCAUUAGGUACACAAAUCUGACCUUUAAAGCACAACACGUUAUCGCUAUUCAAGCCAAAAUCGAAAGUCUCAUUCGAAUCAACAUGCUGCAGACGCUGAACUAAGGACUCAUCGCUCAAAUGUUUUGCUCUAAUCUACUCUACCAAAUCGAUAUUACCUGUAAUUUAGCCAACAGCCCUCCAUCCUCGACCAAACUCAGACGAGCUAACAUUGCUCUCAGAUCAGUCACCUCUCUACGGCUAAGGGCGUUAGCUACCACAUUAGCCUUACCUGGAUAGUACUCUAUCGUGCAAUCGUAAUAUUUAAGUAACUCAACCCAUCGACGCUAUCGAAGAUUUAAUUCUUUUUGGGUUAGUAAAUAUUUAAGACUCUUGUGAUUGGUAUAAAUAAUACACGUUUCACAAUAUAGAUAGUGUCUACAGAUUUUUAGAGCAAAUACAACCACAGCUAGCUCAAGAUCAUGCGUAGGGUAAUUACCCUUGUGUGUCUUAAGCUAUUGCGACGCAUAAGCGACCACUUUACCAUCUUGCAUAAGCACACACCCAAACCUAACAUGUAAAGAAUCACUGUACACCAUAAACUCUCGGGCUGAUAUUCGGUUGAACUAAGUCAAAAGCUUGUGUCAAAACGGACUUGAGUUUAUCGAAACUAAACUGUUGUGCCUCAGACCACACGAAUGGAGUAUUCUUAUGCAGCAAUUUCGUCAGAGGUGACGCAAUUAGAGAAAAUCUUUCGACAAACCUUCAGUAGUAACCGGCUAAUCCCAGAAGCUACGAAGUUCAGAUAUAUUUUUUGGUCUUUCCACUCAACAAUAGCUUCUAUCUUCUUAGGAUCAACUAGGAUCCCUUCCACCAUUACUACAUGACCCAAAAAAGUGACUUCUUGCAACCAAAACUUGCACUUAUUAAACUUGGCAUACAACUAUUUUUCUUGGAGUAUCUGAAGUACAAUACGAAGAUGAUCAUCAUGCUCAGCUUCAAUUUUAGAUUAGAUCAGGAUAUCAUUGAUAAAAACCAUUACGAAUGGAUUCAAGUACGGUUGGAACACCAGAUUCAUUAAAUUCAUAAAUGCCAUCGGGGCAUUCAUUAAACUGAAAUGCAUUACCAGAAACUUGUAAUAUCCGUAAUGAGUCCUAAAGGCAGUUUUGUAAACAUCAGUCUCUUUGACCUUGAGCUGAUGGUAAUAAGAGAAUAAAUCGAUUUUGGAGAAAACGGAUGCUCCUCGAAACUGGUUGAACAAGUCGUUAAUCCUCGGUAGCGGGUACUUAUUUGUUAACUUGGUUAACAGCUACUAAUCUAUGCACAUCCUCUUUGACCCAUCUUUCUUCUUAACAAACAACACCGGCACCCCCCAUGAAGACACACUCGGCCGAAUAAAUCAUCUAUUAAGGAGUUUCUGAAGCCGUGCUUUUAACUUGGUCAGCUUUUUUGGACACUAGAGCAAUACUUGAUAACAAAUCAAUUCCAAACUCCACCUCUCUAUCUAGAGGUACUCCAGUCAAUUCCUCAAGAAAGAUGUCUGAAAACUCCCUCAUUGUGCGGAUAUCUCCCACUAAAAGUUUCGCGAGAACAUAAUCGGAUACGUAAACAAGGUAUACCUUGCACCCCUUUUGAACUAACUUGUCUGCUACAAGAGCGAAGAUUAAAUUAGAGAGGUAAUUUCGACACUCACCAACCAUGACCACCUCGUCAUUCUCAUUUGACCUCAAAGUAACUCUCUUGGUUGCACAAUCUAGACUGACCCGAUACUCAAUGAGCCAAUCCAUUCCCAAAAUUAGAUCAAACUUAUUAAAGGGUAAUUCCAUUAGAUCAACUGAGAAUACCAUACCCUAGAGCUCUAGGGGUACCCAUCUGUAUACUGUAUCAACUCAAAUUGACUGACCCAAAAGACUAAUCAUAGAAAACUCUUUAGCAGUAUUCUCAGCGGUUAAACCUAGAUUUACAGAAACAUCACUAGCUAUAUAUGAAUGAGUAGAGCCAAUAUUAAUGAGAGCAUAAUACGGAACAGAAUGAAUAAAGAAGGUACCUACUAUGACAUCAGCAUCAUCGCUCUCCUCGCAGUGUCUCGCUUCAUAAAUUAAUACUGAUUGACGAGCCUCAGCCUGACCUGCACCUCUACACAGUAUUCUCUGUCCUCUCCUAGAUCCAUUACCACCGAUACCAGUACCCAACCUCUGAAUGGUAAUUGAACCUCUCUCGGAAGCCAAACAAAAUUUGGCCCCGGAGUCUAUACCGCAGUUAGCACUGAAUCUGGUCGUCGAGGGCAAUCCCUAACUCGAUGCUCCAUUGACCCGCAAAGGAGGCAUGCUCUUAACUUCCUCCUGCACUUGCCCGGACGACGCUUCCCAUAACGACUACACAGCUGAAUCUCAGUCGCAACAGUUAGUGUCUCAACUCUCAGAGGUCUGUCAAACCUCAUCCGCUUCUUAGGGCAUUGACCCGAACUAGAUGAGCCUAAAUCCCUCUUAAUCUUAUUAUGAUCCUUCUCAUGAUCACGUCACUCGCACUCAGUACACUUCACUUCUUCCAAUACAUUUGCUUUGUCAAAUAAGACCGCAAAAACCCGCUCCUUCUAAGGAGCUACCAGAACUUGCGGAUCAUAUCUCAAUCCCUCCUCAAAUCGCACACACUUGUCGUAGUCGGACGCUACCAAAGUCCAUAUAUACGUACUCAGUUGCAGAAACUCGACUUCAUAUUUAGCCACAGAUCGGUCACCCUGAACUAGGCUCAUAAACUUACGUUGGUAGCUUCAACAUAAUUCCCCCACAUACUUACCCUAGAAGGCGUUCUUGAAAUAAUCCCCAUUAACAUGUUCAGGAUGAGUACCUUGUUCAACUGUCAACCACCACCAAUAGGCUUCAUCCUAGAGUAGAGACGCAGCACCCUCAAUAUCUAAGUGGGAGUACAGUCGAGAUCAGUUAUUAUACGCUCAGUAGCCUCGAGCCAAUAUUCAACAACAGUAGGAGCGACUCCUAUGACACUCUUUAAUAAUUUAGGCUCAUUCUACGGCAGUCGUUUAGUGAUCAACCCUCGACCUCUCGAUCUCGAAUGCGUCUCUGUAACCCUCUCUAAUGCUCGAAUCAUGGCCUGAGACAGUCUGUCAUCCCUAGCCAUUAGAGUAUGGGACUCCGUUUCAGUAGUAGGUGAACCAACCGUCUCGCUGGUCUCUAGAUUGGUCAUACUACCCAUAGAGGAUGACUCUACUCGAGCUCCUCCUCAAAAUCCUUAACGCUCCGGCAUACCACGUCCAUGACUACCACGCAAACUCAUUAUGGUAAUCUAGCUAGAAUAUCAGAAUACACAGAUCAAUUCACACAUCCAGCAGGAUGAUUUCACCAAUUCAUAUCAAAACAUUUUACCCAUAACAGUUUAAGUAUUAUAAUCUUUAUAACAGAAUGGAAAUACUUAUAGGGUCAGUGUCGGAAGCUCGGCCAUUCACUAAAAUGUCAGUGUUUCUAUAUUAGUUCAGAUACUAAAUUAUCACUAAGCUACUUUUCUCAUACAUUAUGAGCCCAAACACAAUUCGAGUGUUGACAUGUUGAUGCAGAACACAAAUACCCAAAUCAUGUAUUCAGUCAUUCUAAUUCAUUUCACAAUCAAAUAAGAUAGUUUAACAUCAGAAUAAGCAUUAUAGUGAACUUAUUAUAACUAAGUUGUUCACCAAUCAAUCUCAGAGUACCAAACAGUUCUAAUAUAAUCAAUUUCAAUCAUUUUUACUUCGAAAAGGCUAGUAUAAGUGUUAAGUAACAUUUUCAGCCUUAAAAAUAUAUUUUGGGCCCUAAUAACAUACCACAUGGCCAGGUCACAUGCCCAUGUACCUUGCCCGUGUGGUUCCAAAGCAUAAACAGUGAGUUACACGAUCUGGACACACGCCUGCAUCCCUACCCGUGUGACUCACACGGGCUGGGUACACGUCUGUGUAGCUUUGUACCCUAAACAGUAAGUUACACAGCUUGGGCACACGCUCGUGUCCCUGGUCGUAUUGUCUUGUACCACAAAUAGUGAGUUACACAGCUUAGGCACACGCUUGUGUCCCUAGCCGUAUGGUCUUGUACCACAACUAGUGAGUUACACGGCCUAGGCACACGCACGUGUGCCUAGAUGUAUGAACUUUGCACUAAUAUGGCCACACACGGCCUAGACACAUAAUGGUGUGCCUUGCCUAUGUGGCCCUAAAUCGAAUGAACAGUGAGUUAUAUGACCAACCACACGACCUGGGCACACGCCCUUAUGCCUGGCCGUGUAGCACCGACAACCACCAUUUUUGGUGACCUGAAACUUGCAAAAUUAAGGUUUCCGGUACGCACCUGAUUUUGCUUUGACGGAGAAACAACACGGAGACUACCCGAAACCUAAUUAAUCACUCAACAAUCAAUUACACCAUCGAUUUCAAUAUUUUAUCAAAAUCAACCUACCGCCAAGAUUAUGUCGAAAGUUUUGAUGUAAUCCCAACUUAAUUCACAUACUCACAUCACACGAAAUAGAGGGAAUCAGACUAACACAACAGAAUAACAUUUCUUACAAUAUCCUCACCUAAAAAGGUAACUAGUUGAAUGAUUAAACAGAACGUUCAAGCAACUGAGCAAAAUCUUGUUUCAAUAGAAUAUAGUUAACACCACGAAACUCACAAAACGAGAGAAAAAUAACGAUGAAACUUGCUUAAUACUAGCACAAUCGACCUUACAAGUAAAAAAGAACUUCCAAUUAACACAGAAUUGAAUACCAUAAAAGGAAAAAUAAAAGAACAGAAAGAGAACCGAAAAAGAAAAUAACUUUUGAAAAACAAAGAAGAUGGUACGAUAGGAUUUCUUCAGACUAUUUUAAGUUAACCACCAUCCCACUUUCUGGCAUUUGCAAAAAAAUAUUUCCUAACGCAUACGAUAGGAUUCAAACUUGGAAGCAAACAGAAUAUAGACAGAUGCUUAACCAGUGAACCAGCAAGCUCAUUUUUAAUACUGAUUUAUCCAGAAUUGGACUUAACUAUGAAACACAUAGAUGAAGGUUGUUUUAAAAACAAUAAUAAAACUUUCAACGAUGCCACUCAAACUCCAAACCUUAAACACAGAAGCAAAGCAUAGAACCACAAAUACGAAAAUUUAAUUACUACAAUUUCUCACAAUUAAAUUCUUAAAAAUUUGGGGCGUUACAAAUUGAGUCCUUUUGAAUUUCAAAAGAUUUUUUAUUUUGACCUUAUAACUAGUACUUAAAAUAAGAUAAAUUAUUUUGGCCCCCAAGUUUUUUCAUUGUUUCUUUUAAUUUGAUUUAUUUUAUAUAAUCUAUAAAUUUUUAUGAUAAAUUUAGUAACACUUUUAGUUUAAUUUGAUAAAUUAAUAUAAAGUAGUGUUUAAAUAUUUAUUUGCUAAAAUAGUCACAUAAUUUCAAUAUCUAAUCAUAAAAUAGUAUCUAAAUAUUAAUUAGGUAAAAAAAUAAACUUAAAUAAUUAUAAUAUUUCAUACAAAUUGAGUAUUUAACUUAAUUUGUUUUUUUCUAAAUGUUAAUUUUGGUGAUCAAGAUUAUCUAAAAUUUAAAAAUACAUUGUUUUAUGGGCCAAGCUUACUUUCAACAUGUCUAUUUUAUAUAAAUACUUCGCCUCCCUCAUUAUCAAUAUUUCUGGCUUCGCCCCUAGUUGUAGGUUUGGAACCUCAAACUUCCACUUACACUCUCCUUUUCUCAUUUUGGAAAUUGUGGCCCUCUUCUCCCAAUUUGAUCUUUUCUUUGUUUUAAAGGUCUUGACAUCUCUGUUGUAUGCACUUUCUGCAACUCUUACCCUGGGACAAUUGAACAUGUACUUCGAGAUUGUUCAUUCACUUAUCAUCUCUAGAGCCUUUUUUCCUUAUCCCCCUUCAACUAUAGGUAUGUUCUCCCUUCCUUUAAUGGAUUGGCUCAAUGCUAAUUUGACAUUUAAAUCCUCCUUUCCCCAUCAUCUCAUUCAUUAGCCAACCAUGUUUGCUUUCUUCCUUAAUGGGUUUUGGAUUGCUAGAAAUGCAAUCAUCUUUGACAAACCCAUAAGUGAAAAUGAUAUUCGAUCUAAAUUUAUCACUCUUGCUAUAGAGUACUUUGUUAUUUUACAUAAACCAAAUUUCGAGUAUAUUCUACCUCACUUCACGUCAAAUGGAACCUUCCUUUAAAUGGAUGGUUUAAAGUUAAUUAUGAUGGUUCCUCAUUAGGAAAUCCUGAAACUGUUGGUUUGGAGCCAUUAUUCGUGAUCAUAAUAGUAAUUGGAUUGUCGAUUUUCAUUGUUAUCCGAGCAUGACUACUAAUAUUAUGGCUUACCUUUGGGCUCUUAGUGAUGGCCUUGUGCUUGCUCACAAUGUAACAGCCCAAUUUCAGUAAUGUCGAAAAUGGUGGUUUUGAGACCACAACUCUGACAAGUGAGUUGUUAUUUUGAUAUAUAUUUAAUGUUUAUAGGGUUAGUUUAAGGUAUUAUUAAAUUUUUGUCAAGAAAUUUUGAAGAUUAAAUGGUUAAUUAAGUAAAAAGGACCAAAUUGUGAAAGACACAAAAGUUGGUCUUUAAUAGGUAAAUGGAUUAAAUGGCUUUUGAAAUGCAAAUUAAAGGACAUAGAUGGUAUUUAUACCAUAUGAAAGUUAAUAGACAAUUAUGGGUUUAUUUUUGUCAUUUUGUAAACUAAUAAACUAAGGAUAAAUUAAAUUAGUAAUUAAUAAACAAAUCUUAAACUAAAUUAAGCAAAUAGUGUCAUCUUCCUAAAAUUCUUCUCUUUCACCGAAAUUGAAGAAAUAAAACACCAUUUUUAUGGCUUUAAGGUUCGGCCAACAUAGGAGUAUUUCAUGGUAAGAUUUUGUGACUCGUUUUUAGUAAUUUUUAUAUUUUUGAGCUCGUUUCAACUUAAUCUACCUAGCCCAGGGGUUAAUUUGCAAAGUUGUUAAAUGUUGAGGAACCUGCAAAGUUGAUAGAUUAUUAAUUUUUAUUGUUAAAUUAACAUGAUUUGUUAAGUGAAUUUAGGAUUUAGCGAUUAAAUAGCUUAAAUGGUAAAUUCUAUGAAUUUUGAGUGAAAUGAGUAAAAAUGUGGAUUGAUAUAAGUAUAGGGAAGAAUCAGAUAACAUGUUUUGGGUUAGGAAAAUGGUGAAUUUUCAAGUUAUGGGCUUAAGGACUAAGUUAUAUAAAAGUUAAACUAUUAGGGGUAAUUUUGUAAUUUUAGAUUAAUAUGAAUUAUAGGUUGAAUUGAAUACUUGAGAUUAAUUGAAGUACUUAGUUGAAUUAAAUUAGUUAAUUGAAGUACUUAGUUGAAUUAAAUUAUCUUAGAUCAGGAUAAACAACAAUCGGACUUAAAUUGAGGAAAGGCAAAAGCUUUGGAUUAAUCUCCAACUCUACUUUUGUGACUAUGGUUAUCGAGGUAAGUUUGUAUGAACUAUAAUCUUAUUAAUGAUAGUUGAUUGAUUAUAUACUAUAUUAUGUUGGUUAUAAAUUGACUUGAAUAUAUAAAUAGAUUGACGUUUUGAGUAAUUGAUGGAUAAAUAAUAUCGUUUGAACCUUAAGAAUUCUUAAGAUACGAAUGACAUGUCAUUAGGGAUUUCAUGUUUCAAGUGUUGGUCUUAAAUGUCCUACUGAUGGUUGAGGUCCUGCAUUUGUUGCAGAUUCUCCACAGCUCGUGUGAGCAGCAUCGUGUAGCUAACAUUCUGACCUACAACUCGUGUGAGUACUAUUGAAAAGGAAAGGUUACGGUUAUAUGGAAAGGCACACUAUGUGUGAGCAUUCCCAAGUAUCCAAUGUAAUUCUAGAUGGUUCAAUGGGUAAGCAAAGGUUAAUGGCAAUGUAUGUAUACAAUUGUAUAAUGGUACAUAAUCUUAUGAAAAGGUUAAUGUAAUAAAUGGUGUGUACAUGUAAAUCUACUUAUGAUAUGGUUGAACUUAUAUAUAUCAUGUAUGAACUUACUAACUUGUAAAUUUGGUGGUGCUUAUAUAGGAUUUUACUAAGCUUAUGAACAUGGUAAUGUUGUUAUGUAUAAUUUACAAAUUGAGCUUAAGAAUGGUAAGUUAUGUUUGAGUUUAUACGAGCUUACUAAGGACUAGUUGUUUACGUAGUUAUUUUCCUUUGUUUCAUAUAUUAUCAGAAGCUCGAUCGAUUGGAAGCUUCUCAGAGAUUUAUCACACUAUCCAGCAAUCACUUUGGUAGUUUUUGAGUUAUUUUGGCUAAGGUUAUAAAUGGCAUGCAUAGGACCUUUUUAUAAUGAAUGUCUUUGAGUAUGUUAAUGAAAAUUUUGGUAUGAGUAUGUCUUUUAUGUAUUCACUUUGUUUGUGUGGACUUAUAAUGUUUUAGCAAAUUUUAUACCCUUAGGUAUUUUGUAAUAUAUGGUGUGGGUGGUUGUUUAUAUAUUAAAGCCAUAUGAUUAUGGUCAUUUUAGUAUGUUUUAAUGAAAGGUGAAUGGUUUGACAAUUGAUGUCAUUAGGUAGCUUAUUUGACUAUGUUUUUGUGUUUGAGGUAUGGUAUUAUAGCCUUUUUUUGAUUGAAGUUGUUUUUGUACAAAUGUGGUGCUUUUGAAUGGCAUAUUAGUUAGGUGAAAUAGGUUGAUUGAAUUUGUAACAACCCGAUUCUAGGCCUAGUCGGAACAGUGGUUUCGGGACCACAAAUCCGACAAGGGAAAAUAUGAUUAUUAUUAUAUUUUUAUGGUCUACAAUUUCACAGAAAAUUUUCGUAAAAAUUUCGUUCAAAAAUUUCGACGUUUGGGCACUUAAUUUAGUCAAAAGGACUAAAUUGUAAAAAGUGCAAAAGUUGAGUUCUACAUCUUAGAGGUGUCUAAUUGUUAUGAAAUUUUAAAUUGGAGGUCUUUAUAUGGUAAUUAGACCAUUAGUUAGUUGAUGGACAAAAAUGGGCAUAGAAUUAGUGAAAUAGAUUUUUUUUAAAGUAAGGGCAUUUUAGUCAUUUGGUUAUUAAAUAGAAUUAAAUGGGAAAAAGAUGGAAAAAUAUGCUCAUCUUCUUCAUGGUGAACGAAAUCAGCAAGGGGGAAGCCAUAUUUAGGGUUUUUAAGCUUUCAAGCUCCAUAGUAAGUGAUUCCAAGCCCCGUUUUUAAUGUUCUUUACGUUUUUAGAGUCUCUGUAACUUGGUUUAGCUUAUUCCACCAUUAAUUCGUGUUAGGGUUUAUAUUUGGAAAAAUACCCAUAGGUGAAAUGUGUUUAUUUUGAUGUUUAAUGGUAGAAUAUGAAGCUAAAAAUUAUGUUAAACAAUUUUUGCUAAGCGAUUUUAAACGAAAACUGGUAAAUUGACAUAAUCGGUAAAAAUACCUAAUGUUCAAAAGUGUGUGUUAGAGUGAGAAUUUGAUGUUGUCAUAGAAGGGAAAAAUGUUCAGCAUGUCAUAAAACAUAAGAAUAAGAGAUGAAUUUUAAUUUUCGAGCUUAGGGACAAAAGUGUAAAUAUGUAAAAGUUUGGGGGUAAAAUUUUAAUUUUUCAAAAAGUUGGGUGGAGGACUAUUUUAUUAAAUGUGAACAUUUAAUGAGUUAAAUUUGCUAUUAUAGAUCAAGAAAGACGAGAAGACUACCUCAAACGGGGAAAAAAGAAGAUAGUGGAGUAAAUUACAAAAUUACGAUAUUUUGCACCAAGGUAAGUAAACAUGUGAUUUAAUGCAUUAUUUUGACAUCAUUCAAUAUAUGUUGGGAUUUAAUAGAACAUAGAAUAAAUAUUCGGCAAGAUUCUAAAAAUGUGGUUAAGUUGGGAAAGGUGGUAAAAUGUUGAAAAUAUGGGUUCCGGUUGAACACUCGGAAUAAGCCGAAGUAUUUUAAAUGUGAAGGGGGUUGCUAAGUGCUGAUUCCCCCAACGGGUUGCUAAGUGCUGAUUCCCCGACUCAUUGGUGGUUGCUAAGUGCUGAUUCCACCGUAUCUUGAAUAUAAAGGGGGUUGCUAAGUGCUGAUCCCCCCAAGGGGUUGCUAUGUGAUGAUUCCCCGAAUCAUUGGUGGUUGCUAAGUGCUGAUUCCACCAUAUCUUUGAAUGUGAAAGGGGUUGCUAAGUGCUGAUUCCCCGAAUCACUGGUGGUUGCUAAGUGCUGAAUCCACCGAUAAUGGUUAAUAUUCCGAGUGUCCAACGAGUAAACUGGGAAGGUGAAUAUUUAUAUGUGGUGGACAAGCUUAUAGGAGGAAUAUUGGGUUUGAUACUUAAUCGACCAUGUAUAAGGUGGGAUGAAAUAUCAAAAAUACAACAGGAACAAUUUAAUUACAAAACUGUUUUGAACAACAGCAGUUGGGCAACUUUGAAAAAUCACCAUAAAUGGUGGAAAAUGAAUUAGAGGUUGAAUAAUAUAUGUAAUUGAAGCUGAAUGAGUCUAUUUUCAUACGAAAGAAACAUAGCAAGCAAAAGAGUUGUAUAUUUGGGGAUAUUUGAAUUUAUUUGAGACAGGGUUGGAUUGAUUCGAAAUCCCCUGUUCCAACUUUGGAAAAUCACUAAAAAUUGUAAAAAAAUAAUUUUGGCCUGAAAUUUAUAUGCCUGGAUUCUUUAAUGAGUCUAUUUUUAAUAUAAACAAACAAAAACAUUUUUCGAAUUUUUUACAGGGAGUUAAUUAAAGUUUAAUAAAGGGAUGUCAGAACCGUCAGGCAGUGAAACAUGAGAAUCUUUAAAGAAUAAACUGUACUAAUUGGAUAAAUAAAAAAUUCUGAAAAUUUUAUGGUGGAAAGGUAUAUGAGUCUAGUUUCGGGGAAAAUUUACGGAAUCCAAUUUGGAGCCCUGUAGCUGCAGAUAAAAAUAAAUUGGUGACUGUGACUCAGAAAAACAGCUUGCUGGAAAUUGAACAGUUGAUGAAAUUUAAGUGUGAUUAAAAUUAUGUUACUAUGUAAUCAUGUGAGGAAAUUAUUUAUUUGUCAUAUGUUUACUUACUAAGCUAUAUGCUUACUCGUUUUUAUUUUCCCUUGAUUAUAGUGACAUCAAUCAGCUCGGAACUUGAACGACGUCAGAUAAUCAUCCACACUAUCAUCAAUUUUUUGGGUGUUUUGCAACUAAUACUUUGGAAACAUGGCAUGUAUAGAUGACUUUAUGUAUUGCGGUUUAAAUAUGUAUAUAUAUAUAGUAUGGUUCGGUUUAAAAUGUUGGUGUUUGUUAAUGGAUAAAUUGUGUUUGAACAUACAACUGUAUUUGGUUGGAAUAUUGAAUAUGUUUGGGAUUGUGUUCGAAAAUUUGCAGGGGAUUUUAUGUAAAAAUAAGCAGAAAUGCUGCCGAAAAUUAAAAAAAAAAUAGUAAUAUCUCAUACUCAGUUCCGUUAAGGAAUACGGGUAAGGGGUGUUACAGAAUUGGUAUGUUUAUGUGUAUUUGAAAGAUGUUUUGGUCUAUUGAAUGUAUGCAUAAAUGGAGUGGGUGAUUGGGUAAAUUUUGGUCUUAAAAUGGCUUGUUUAGGGUCAAAUUAUGGAGCAUACUGCCUGGGACACGAGUUGUCACACAGCCUGGCUACGCGGUCGUGUGUCACUUAUUAUUUAAAUUCAAGACUCUGUUAAGCAUAUUCCUAAGUAGUCAGCUUCAACAUACCUACAAGGAGGGUACUUGUUGCACUAAUGCUUUGGCUAAUGCUAGAAUUCAUGUUAAUCCUAACCUUUUUGUCUCAUGUUAAUACCUCUAAUGACUUUUAUGUUGUGUAUUUUGAAAUCCCAGACUUUAUGCGUACUCUUGUGAAUGCCAACUUAGUUGGCACACCUUUAUAUCAUACUCUUUAUAACUAAAUAAAACUCUCCUUUUAUAACAAAAAAGAAAAGGACAGAAAGUGGAUAAAAAAAGAAAGAAAGGAAAAACGAAAAGGAGCGGAGAGGGUUGAGGAAAUAGCUGACUGAAUGUUGGUAGGCUUUUAUCUAGCAUGAUAAUCCAUUAUUCGAAAGGAGGGCAUUCAGGAGAGAGGGGAGGAGAUGAAAGAAAAAGAGAAUAAAAACGGGAUGAAGAGGGAGAAAAGAUGAGGAAGAGCUUAGCCAUCUACUAUCUAGUUGUCCUAAAGCAAAACUGCCACUUGUUUGUCUUAUCUAAUUGGGCUAUGGUUGAUUAUAGACUUGUCUAAUGACUAGGCCACUUAAAGGAAGAGGAAAAAAAACACUUUUUGUAAUAUUUGGAAAAACGAGUUUAGGGGGGGGAGAGAGAGAAUGUCCAUUUAGAAAAUGGUUUGAACUUGGAUUUCAAUAUUCAAUGCCCAAGCACAACCCAUUUUCUAACUUUAUAAUAUAAUAUAUUAACUUUAUUUUAUUGUUAUAUACUACGUAAUAAGAAUUAAAUAUAUAAUACUAUAAUGAAUAUAUAUUUUUAAAAGAAAAGUAAAAAAGAAUAGGUCUAAACAAGCUUGAAUUAGCUAUUUAUAAAUAUAAGUAAGUUUGGACAAAAUUUUAAGUUCAUAUUUCGGACCGAGUCAAACUUGUCCAAAUAUUUAUGAUAUUAUUAACAUGCAUAAAUUUGACUUGACUUAACCCAAGAGCACAUCUAAUUGAGCACAACCUCUCCUCCUUUCUUUUACUAUUUUUUUAUAGUUUAAAAUCUAAAAAAAAUCAUAAUAUUUUUUUAGCAAAAAAAUUAGAAUUUCUUUUUUUGAAUUCCUAUAUAAUUUUUUUAAAAAAAUUUCAAUAUACAUUAAACUUUUAAUAUUAUGCUUUUAAAUCUAUAAUAUUUUAUAACUUUACAAUAUGUUUGGGUAAAUAAUUAUAAAAUAUGUUUGAAUCUAUAUGUUUACUGCAAUAUGGUUAUUAAGAGGUUGAGUACUGCUUUAUCUCGUAGAAGAAGGAUUUGUACUAGAUGAUCAUAGGUUGGGUCAAUGUAAAAAUUUUAAAUUUGUUUUUCAGGUCCGGACUCGGCUUAACUAAACAAAUGGGCCUAAAAUUUUAUUUAAGUUCAACCCAGAUAAAAAAUACUAAAUCUGGACCCGUAUUAAAUUUUUUAGAUUUUUUAUAUAAAAAUAAAUUUAAAAAAUAUAAUACAUCAAAUACUCUAAACACAUUAAAAUAAAUAUUUCUCAACAAAUUGAAAAUAUAUUUUAAAAAAAUUCUUUAUAUUUAAAUAACACUAACAUAGUUAUAACUUAGCAAACAAAUGUUUCUAAAAUAAUUGAAAAAUUAAAAAUAAAAUAAGAGUUAUACAAUAUCUAAAUAAUAGUAGUAAAAUAGUAAUAAUAUAAUAGUGAAACAGUAGCAAAAUAACAACAUAACAGCAAAAAAAUAACAACAUAAAAUCAGUAAACAGCAGCAAAAAAAUAAUUAAAUUCGAGUAAGGUCCAAACUAAAAAAAAUCUUGUCUGAGGCUCAGCCCAUUUAAAACGCGAAUCUUAUUUUUUUCGAAGUUUAUUUUUUGGGUUUAUGUUAUUACCUAAACUCUUUGUGUUUUGAAUGGACUUUGUAAUUCGACUCAUGAUCAAGUCUACUUUAUAAUAAACGCUAUAUAUGAUUGGAAAGAUGGUUUGAUAGGGUACUAAAAUUAAAUGAAAAAUCAUUUAAAAACAAAUUAAAUAUUCAAACAUUAAAUAUAUAUUUUAUAUAUAAUUGGUUUGAACUAAAUUAACAAAUACUUUGAUAAUUUUCAGAAAAUUCCUGUAACGAGAGAAUUAGUCACUGUUGCUAGCGGUUAAUAUCUUUGAUUUCAAUUAAAAAAAUUAUCAAAAUACUUUUUUGAAUAUGAUUUAGUGCAAGUUGCACAAGUAGUUUAAAAUUUGAAGACAUUAUUACUAUUUAAGAUGUAAAUAUAUUUUUUAAAUUGAAACAUUUAAUAUACUUUAUUAUUUUCUAUUUUUUUUUUAAAAAUGAACUAAAUUAAAAAAUGUGCAACAAACUAAAUAGUUAGAAGUUUUAAAUUUAAAUCAAAUUUGAAAUAUAUGAUCUACAUGAAUAUACCAUAAAAUAUAAUGAUUGUAUCAUUAAAAUAUUAAUCAUAUAAAUAGUUACGGAAGUGUGUAAAAUUACUUUAAUUUUUACAUUGUGUAAGUAGAUCAUUCCCCUUAAUAUUAAUAAAUUUUCAUUUUGUUAUAACAUAAUAUUUAAAAUAUGAAUUAAGAUUAAAAAAUAAAUUAUAAAUAUGAAUAUAAAUAGGGUGAGGAAUUAAUACCUUUUUUUAUUCCACAAAUAACUUUAAAAAUUGACAUGUCUCUCUUUCCUUUAAAUAUUUUAUUAUACCAUUAUAAAACACUUGUCAAUCUCUUGGUACUGUUAGUGGAGUCUAAAAACUCCAUUGGCAGUGAACUAAAUGAUUUCUCAUAACUUAUUAUUGAAGUUAUUAAAUUCCACAAGUAAAGUCAAGAGGUUGAUAAAUACCUUUUAAAAGUAUAAUAAAAUAUUUUAAAAAUUAAAUAUUUUAAUAUUGCUUGUAGAAUAAAUAAAUAAAACAGUAUAAUUUUGAAUUAGUUGAAAAUAAUUUAAAUAAUAAUUAGAAAACUAUUUUUUAAAAGAUGUGUUGUAAAAUUUAUUCAAAGUGUAAAACACAAAUUAUUCCUUCAAUGCUUUGCAAAAAAAAAAAAAAAUUUCCUUCAAAAAAAGAUAAUUAUUAAAAAAUAUAGUUAGAUAUAUGUCUAUAUUAAUAAAAGAUUAUCUAUUAACAAAAUUACUUUACUUUAAUUGUCAUAAAGUAAAACAUUAAUCUCAUAUUUAUAUUUUUAAGAUUAUGCAAAUGAGUUCUUUUUAAAAAAAUAUAUAAGAUAAUUCAAGUUUUGGUCUUUGUUGUCGCUGUGGUUACUCAGUUUGCUCUCUCAAUGGAGUUUGUUAUUGCCAUCGUUGGCUCUAUUGUCGCUAAAGCUGUAGAGUAUACGAUCUCUCCUAUCAAAAACCAUGUCAAAUACCUUUCCAAUCAUCAGCAAUAUGUUGAGACCCUCAAGGACCGAGCUGAGAGGCUGAAAGAUGCAAGGGUCAGAGUGCAGCAUUCUGUUGAUGCAGCUAAACGAAACGGUGAGGAGAUCGAAGGUGAAGUUGACAAAUGGCUGUCUGCAGUCGACAACAAGAUCCUUGAACAAGUAGAGAAAGUGAUGCAAGAUGAAGAAAAAGCAAAGAAAAAGUGUUCCAUUGGUUUGUGUCCUAAUUUCAGGACUCGUUACAAGCUUAGCCUGAGAGCUGAAGAGGAGGCAAAGGCUGUUGCCGAGUUACUUGAACAUGGUAAGUUUGAAAGGGUUUCCUAUCGUGCAGCUCCGCAAGGUAUCGUGGUUGCACCAGUUAAAGGUUAUGAGGAAUUCGAGUCAAGAACGUCGAUUUUGAACGGAAUAAUGGAGGCACUAAAAGAUGAUAGCGUCAGCGUUGUUGGGGUGCAUGGUACGGGUGGGAUUGGAAAAACAACGCUGGUCAAAGAAAUCGCUAGAUAGUUCAAGGACAAGUUGUUUGAUUCGGUUGUCAUAGCAACCGUAACUCAAGUCAUCGAUGUUGAGAAGAUUCAGAACCAAAUUGCAGACUUCUUGGGCUUGAAAUUUGAGGAACAGAGUAUGGUUGGAAAGGCAAUUCGACUACGAGAAAGAUUGAAGAAAGAGAAGAGUAUUCUGGUUGUCUUGGAUGACAUUUGGGAAAAGGUUGAUAUUGAGGAAGUAGGGAUUCCUUUGGGAGAUGAACACAAGCGCUGCAAAUUACUAUUAACUUCUAGAGAGCUCAAUGUUUUAUCAAAUGAGAUGGAUGCUCAGAAAAUUUUCCCGUUGGGUUUUUAAAGGAAAAGGAAGCCUGGGACCUGUUCAAGAAGAUGGCUGGCAACUGUGAUGAACGUUGCGAUUUGAAGCCUAUAGCUAUGAAGGUGCAGGACUGCCGAUAGCCAUUGCGACAGUUGCAGGGGCUUUGAGAAACAAAAGAUUGUUUGAAUGGAAGAAUGCUUUACGAGAACUGGGGAGGCCUUCGUCAAGCAACUUCACGGGGAUAACUGCGGCAUAUUCAGCUAUAGAGUGGAGUUUUAAUUAUUUAGAAAGCAAGGAAGUUAAGCUGACUUUCUUGCUUUGCAGUGUAAUAGGCCAUAAUGGUCUCGUUGAGGACUUGGUAAGAUAUACUCUAGGUUUGGGUUUAUUUGAUGGUGUCCACACUAUGGAAGAAGCUAGAAAUAAAGUAUUGACGGUUGUGGCUAAUCUCAAAGCGUCUGCCUUGUUGCUUGAUGGUUAUAAUGAUAAGCGCUUUGAUAUCCAUGAUGUUGUUUGGGAUGCUGCUAUUGCUAUUGCAUUGAAGGACUACCGUAUGCUUGUUUUGAGAGAUCAUGCUCCAAAGGAGUGGUCCGAUAAGGAGAAAAUGAAGACGUGGAAUGUGAUCAGCUUACGUUGUCCUCAUAUUAUAGCUAACCUUCCUAAGGAGAUGGAGUGUUCAGGACUUUCCUUUUUCCAUAUGGCCUAUGAUGGCGCGGUUAAAAUUCCUCUCAAUUUCUUCAAACAAACCGAAGGCCUCAAAGCCUUAGAUUUGGUCGGAAUGCAGUUUCAAUCCCUCCGUAAAUCAAUUAUUCACCUUGCAGACCUUCGCAUGUUGUGUCUGAAAAAAUGUGCAGUUGAUGACAUAACCAUCCUUGGAGAGCUCAAGAGUUUACAAGUACUCAACCUUUCUCAGUCAGGUAUCAAAGAACUACCUAAGGAGAUGGCACAAUUGACUCAAUUAAGGUUGUUAGAUUUGAGUUGGUGUAGAGAACUCAAAAUCAUCCCACCGAAUGUCUUAUCAGGUUUGUCUAAAUUAGAAGAAUUAUAUAUGGAUGAAAGCUUUGUUGAAUGGGAAAAGGGAGGAGUAGUUGAAAAUGAGAGGAAAAAUGCAAGCCUUGAUGAAUUAGAACAAUUUGCCUUGUCUAACUACUUUAUAUGUUCAUAUUCUUGAUCUCCAAAUGAUACCAAAACACUGGUUUGUUGAAACAUUGGACAGAUUCAGGAUUUUCGUGGGUAAUUAUGGAAUAUUUGAUUGUUGCCUUAAUUAUGAAUCUCCGAAAGCAUUGAAGCUCAAGUUAUAUACAAACAUUGAUUUGGACAAUGGGAUGAAAAAGUUGUUGAUAAAGACAGAAGAUUUGUGCCUAGAGGGACUUAAAGGCGUCAAGAAUGUACUUGUGAAGUUAAAUAAUAGGAAAGAUCUUCUAAAUUUAAAGAGACUUCAUGUCAAAAAUGGUAGGCAUGUCCAAUAUAUUAAAACGAACAAAAUUGGAUUUUCUGAAUUAUGCUUCAUCACACUUGAAAAUCUACCGCAACUCGUUAGCUUUUGCUCUCCAGACGAAAGGUGUUCCACUAUGCCCUUCCUACUUUUCAAUAAACAGGUAUUUGUUUGGCUUUACUUAUAUUUCCUUAUACAACUUUUAUUUAUAUGCCCAUUAAUACUUCUAAUAAUAGAAAUAAAUAAUAUUGUCUAAUGGUUUUUCCGAGCUCAAAAAUAAAUUUCAAAUCCAAAACAAAUGAAAAUUUAAUUUUUAAUCCAAACCGAUUGAAAGUACAAAGUCAAUUCAAUAAUCUAAAUUUAAACCUAACAUUUUUUUUUAAUUCUGAAAAUGAAAUUUGAGCCCACAAAUCGAGCUAAAAUUAUCUUUAAAAUCGAAAAUCAUAUUUUCAAAUUAUGUUACAUACUAUCUUUCCCUAUCGAAAAAGAAUUGUGUGUAAAUAUGUGCAAUUUAUUUUCCCUCACUUGGAAAGCUUGUAAUUGUGUUCCAUUAACACCAAAAUAAUAUGGCACAACCAGACAUGUCAUUGGGUUACGAAUUUGAGGAGCUUGAUCAUCAAAGGAUGCGGCAAGUUGGAGCAUCUGUUAUCACUUUCUCUCGCUAGAAGUCUGGUGCAGCUCCAAUGCUUUGAGAUAAAGGAUUGCAACUGCUUAAGGGACAUAAUACUUACAGAGGAAAUUGAAGAAGAAAGGAAAGAUGUGAUUUGUUUCCCUCGAUUAAACUCCCUGCAUAUAGUGGGUCUUCCAAACCUCAUCUUCUUCAACUCAGGAAACCACAAUAUUGAGUUCCCAUUGUUGAAAGUGCUAAAGAUUGAGCGUUGCCCCAAUUUUAUAGAAUUCAUUAGUCAGAGUAGUAAUCAGUCUGGCAUGCACGCUCUCUUCAGUGAGAAGGUGAUUUAUUUCAGUAGUCUUACACUCUUGCAUAAAUCUGUUGAUUUGUCCUUGUUAUUUUGUCUGGCAUUAUAUGAGCUAACUUUUGUACUGGCACGAAUUUUAAAUAGGUUGCAUUUCCUAGGUUGGAAAAGAUGACAAUCAAAAAGUUGAGAAAUGUGAAAAUGAUGUUUCAUAAUAACUUUGCACCAGGUUCUUUUCAAAAUCUACGAGUAAUAAGAGUUGAGGGAUGUGGGAGUCUGAAAAAUCUAUUUCCAGUGUCAAUAGCCAAAGAUCUUCCACAACUUGAAGAUUUAUGCAUCACUAAUUGUGGAGUGGAGGAGAUUGUAUCGAAAGGGGAAGGAGUGGAGGAGCAGCCUGUGAGGUUUGAGUUUCCGCAAGUGUCUUCCCUUGAGGUUACAUCCCUAAAAGAGCUCAAAUGUUUCUAUGAAGGGCAACAUACAAUAGUCUGGCCCCUGUUGAAAAAAUUGAAAACAGAUUGUUCUGCUUUGCUAAAGAUAGUGGCUUCGGAACAUCUUAGAUUAAUCCAAGGAAAUGAGCAGCCAGUUUUGUUGGUUGAAGAGGUAUGUAUAUCAUUACAACUAUAUUUCUUUUUAUGAUUUAAGCCACCGUCACAUCCAUCUCUUGUUGAUAUAUAUAUUAUUUGAAACGGUGGUUGCUUAUCCAUUUUAAUUCGGAUUUUUUAUGCACUUCUUUCAGCUUAUUUUUAUCAUUUUUUUAUUUCUAAGGUAUUGUGCUUUCUUAAAACAAAAUAUUCAUCUAUUUUGGAUUGGUUUGAUUUAAUAUUGAUUUUGUUGAGAUUUAAUCAUCGAUAUCAAACACCAAAAUUGUAGAUCUUAUGUUCUUUUUAAGCAUAUAGAUCAACAUUGUGCCUAACUUGUUUAUGUUUAAAUGGUUUCAAGGUCAUUCCCAAUUUAGAGGAACUUGAGUUAUUAAAUUGGGUAAACUACACCCAUGAUCACUUUUGUUUACCUUAGGUUACGUUUUAGUCACUUUUGUUUGAAAUGUUACGUUUUAGUCAUUUACGUUAUCAUGUUGUAACAUUUUAGUCACUGAGCCAUUAAUCGUCGUUAAUGGUGUAACGGUAAGCUGACGUGGCACGUUAAAUCAUCAUUUCAAACAAAAUUUUAGGUUAAAUUAUACAAUUGAUCCCCAUAUUUUUUUCGUUUUAAGUAAUUUAAUUUUUUUUCUUUUAUGUUCUUUAAACUUUCCUCUUUUUUUCCAUUCUCUUUUGUUUCUCCCUCUGUUUUCAUACAUUUCUCAUUUCUUUUAACAUAUUAGGAAGUCGAAUUGGCAAUGAAAAAGAAGUAGGAAGUCGACUGUCAUUAUUUGCCUAUAACCAAAACCCAUAAACCCAUACAAUGCUUCUUUCUUUACUACCAAUUCGACUUCCUGGUAUGUUAAAAGAAAUAAAAAAGGUAGAAAAACAGAAGAAGAAGAAGAAGAGAAUGGAAAAGAAAAAAGAAAAAAAGAAAGAGAAAGUUAAAAGAACAUAAAAGAAUUAAAUUGCUCAAAAUGAAUAAUUAUGGGGACCAAUUGUAUAAUUUAACUUAAAGUUUUUGUUUGAAAUGAUGAUUUAACGUGCCACGUCAGCUUACCAUUACACCAUUAAUGACAAUUAACGGCUCAGUGACUAAAAUGUUACAACACGAUAACAUAAGUGACUAAAACGUAACAUUUCAAACAUAAAUGACUGAAAUGUAACUUAAGAUAAACAAAAGUGACCAUGGGUGUAGUUUACCCUAUUAAAUUUUGGUGAUAUGGACCAGUUUCCACCAGCCUUGUUUCAAGAUAUUAAAGUUUUUGUUGUGUGUGGUGGCUCUCGAUCUUCUAUAUUUCCUUUCGUCCGAAGAUUUUACAAUUUGGAUAGUUUUUGGCUUUUUGGUUUUGAUUUCAAAUACGUAGUCCCUUGUAAAGGAGACGUUGGGACUCUCACACCAAUUAGAAAUCUGAUGCUGGAUCGUGCAAUGAAUCUUUAUCAUAUAUGGAGGAAAGAUUUGGAGUUUGACCAUAUUCUUUCUAAUCUCCAAAAACUCGAAGUUUGGGAAUGUGAUGAUUUGAUAAAUAUUACAGUCUCCUCCUCAUCUUUGCAAAAUCUCACAACUUUGGAUGUGUCAUUUUGUCAAAUGAUGACAAACUUAGUUACACCCUUAGUGGUUAAGAAUCUUGUGCAAUUAACGAGAAUGAGUGUGGCGGGGUGCAGUAAAAUGACAGAAAUAGUGGGAAAUGGGGGAGACUGCCAUCAGACAAUAGUUGUGAGUAAAUUGAAAUGUUUAGAACUAAGCUAUUUAGAGAGCCUCACAAGCUUUUGUUCAAGGAAUUACACCUUCAACUUCCCUUGUUUGGAAGAAUUAGUUGUGGAACGCUGUCCUAGAUUAAAGACCUUUACUGAAGGAGUUUUAAGCACCCCACAGUUACAAAGAGUAAUACAGUCGCGUUACCCUGAGAAAUGGAGUUGGGCAAGUGACUUAAAUACCACCAUACAACAGCUCUACACGGAAAAGGUACUAAAUUAAUAAGUUCAUAAAACUAGUUAGCUUCUUCCUGUCCUAAUAAAAUUAAUUUUAUUAAUACUUCAUUAAUCAUUGAAGAGUGUUUAUCGUUAUUUUGUUAUUGUUUGCAUUUUCUAUUUGUGAUUGCUAUCUAGUGGAAUAAUAUUAUAAAUUUUUUUUUAGGAUGGAUUCUAUGACGGAUACAAUUUGGACAUCUCUGACACAAUUCCCAAGUCAAUAGAAAUAUGGAUUAGAAACCCUCAAGAAAUUUUGGGCUUCAAAAACCUUGUUUCGUUGCAUUUUUAUAAAUGUAGUAGCUUGAAGUACGUAUUUACUUCGUCUAUGCUUUUGAGCCUCAAUCAACUACAAUGGAUAAAAGUAAAAGAAUGCAGUUCAAUGGAACAAGUGAUUAGGGAGGAAGCAAUGACAGAUAAAUUCACAUUUCUUGCACUCUUCUCCAUAAGAAUUGAGUUGUGUUCCAACUUGACAAAUUUCUAUUUGGGAAGUCAAGCUCUUGAAUUUCCAGAGUUGUAUGAAAUCGCAAUAUUUGAGUGUCCAAAAAUGACUACAUUUUCUUCCUCGGUUUCAAGAGGAGGUGGUGAUGCAAGUGAAAACGUGGUUGGCGAGGGGGGCGUCUAUGAUAACCCUGCAAUUUUUUUCAGCAAUAAGGUAAGUUUAGUAUUCAAUAUUUAUCUGCACAACUUAUUUCACAUUUUCCUUUUAUUUGAUUAAUUUAUAUGAGUGUGUCUGGUCUAUAUAUAUAUAUAUAUAUUAGUGUUAAUGUCACGUGAUACGUGUUGAAAAAAAUUAAUAUAAUAAAAUCCAUAAAAAUAUUAAUAAAUAAGAUAAUGUUUUUUAAUUUGAAGUUUAAAGUAUAAAUAAAUAUAUAAAAUAAGAAUAAAGGAAAAACUUGAAAGUGAAAUACUAAUAAACAAUAAGAAUUUAAGAGAAGUUUUAAAGUUAAUACUAAUGGACAAUAAAUAAUAAAAUAAUAAUAGAAAAUAAAAUAAAAAACUAAUCUUCAUCUAUUUUAAUUUGAAGAAUAUUUGAUGUAUUGGUGGUACACAAGUUUCAUGUAUCAUCGGUGAAUAAAAACAUACAAUUAUCAUUAAAUACCACAAAAAUAUAGUAAAGGGUUAUAAAUAAAUACUAAUAAAUUUAUGUAAACAUAAUUAAAUAAAAAUUAAUUAUAAUUAAAUGUUAAAACCCUAAAUCCUAAACUUGAAAUUCUAAGCCCUUAAACAUAAGAUCUUAAAUCCGAAAGUUAUUAAUAUUUAUUUAUAAUAGCUACGACUAGUGUUAAAUAAAUUUUUCAUCUUUUUUAACUUUUGAACUUGCAUUUUUGUCAAAUCACCUUAAAAUGAAUGAAAAAGUUUAUGUUUGUUAACUUCGCUUAUGUGGCAAUCCAUGUGUAUGCAAAAUUAGCAAUUAAUUAAUUUUAAAAUAUUUUAUAUAUUUUUAAAUAUUUUUAUAAAAUUUUCAAAAUAAAAUAAAAAUUAAUUGUUGACAUGUCAUCUACGGGCAAUCCAAUGUAUAUAACAUCAGCAAAGUUAACAAAUGUCAAUUUUUUUUCUCUGCUUUGAAUGAUUUGACAAAUAACACAAGUUCAAAGGAUAAAAGAAAUAAAAAUUAAAAUAGAGAGCUAAAAUGAAAUUUUUUUAGAAAGUUGGAGGGUUAAAUAAAUUAUCUAUGCCUAACUCUUAAAAAAGGUAACUCAUUAAAUAACUUAAGUAAUUAAUGUAAAUCGUUAAUGGAAACUACAUAAAUAUGUGAGUCCAACUUAAUUAGAAACAAGCAUAUUCCCCUGUCGAAUUGCAUCAAUAAUAAUCAUUCAACAAUCAUUAUAGUAUAUAUGAAAGCUCUAAGUUGUAUAGAAAAAGGCUUCUUUCUUUAAAAAGAAAAAAAAACAAGUUUUGCUUUAGGUUAGAUUUAUGCUGCUGAACAUUUUAUCUAAAUAAAAAAGGUCCACGUCUGCUAGCUAUAUUUAUCAGUUUAUAAAUCUUCAUACUCAUCUACUCUUUUUGAUUGUGUUUGUAAGUAAAGAAGGAAGAGUUAUGGUGUUAUCUUAUAAUGAAAUUUAUGUCAACAGGUUGUCAUUCCUUGUUUGCAGCAUCUGGAAUUGUCCUUCGUUAACAUUCAUGAGAUAUGGCACCACCCAUCCUCCCCAUCCAUCAGAUUCCUAAAUUCCUUGCAAGUGAAGAGGUGUCACAAUUUGAAAUACCUGUUCCCAUCUUUCUUGGUAAAAGAUCUUGUGCAACUCCGACGCCUUGAAAUUUUGGACUGUAAUAUGAUGGAACAAGUAAUAUUCACGGAUGGAUUGGUUGAAGAACAUCAAGGGAGGAAUCAGAUGUUUUUCUCUGAACUAGAAUUGCUGUGGCUAAAAGACCUUCCCAAACUCACAAGUUUCUGCUUUGAGAAUUACUUUGAAUUCCAAUGUUUGACAGAUUUAGAACUAACAAAUUGUCCAUUGCUAAAAACAUUGAUCACUAAAUGUGUAUCCGAAGGUGAACCUGAAAUUGGCCAACAUGUACAAGCGAGUAACUUGGAGGUUCAUAACUCAUCUCUCCUCAAUGAAAAGGUCAUUUCUUUACGGGUUCUCCUUUUAAUUUAUGUUGCUUCGAUUGAUCUUAUUCAUUUGAAGUUCUUUCUUUUCCAUGCAUAUUUCAGUUAUUAACCUAAUGAAAUUGUAAUACCCAAUUUUAGCCCGGGCUCACAUAUGGAAACAUAAUUUUUGAGGAUAUGCAAUCUUAUAUAUGAUAUGCAAUCCUAGACAUUAUAUGCAAUCUUAGAUAUGAUGUAUAAUCUUUGAUAUGACAUGCAAUCUUAGAAGAUAUGAUUUUGUAAUCUUAGAGAUACCCUUUAAUUUCAGCCAUUGAUGUAAUUGAUCUGUACCGUUGGAUUUGGGGAGACUCAACUAUAAAUAGAGGCCUCUCCCUUCAUUGUAAAAGUGGGGGGAAGAGAAAAAAAGGGAAGAGAAAAAAAGAGGAAGAGGAAUAAAAAAGAGAAUGAUUGGCAGUUUUUAAAGGUGGCUUACUAUUUUUUUUCUUUCGAUUAUUUUUUUACUUAUUUACGAUUUUAAAAAGGAGAAGAAGGUGAUACCACUGUGAAUUUUAUUUAUUUAUUUUAUUUAGCCCCUCCGCCUUUUAAUGUUUUUGUAAUUAAGUUUUUUUUCUUAAUUUAUCCUUUUAUUUAUUUUUAUUUCAAUUGGGUCUAAGUUGAACGGCGUCGUUUUAGAGGAGAAGGGAAAAUUUCCCUUCCAGCCCCUCUAUGUAAUUCGCGUGUUCAAAUUAAUCCUUUUACUUUUAUUUAUUUGCGAAUUUACCCCAGUUUUUUUAUUGCAAUUCAAUUUAGUUUUUCUUUUCUUUCUUUUCAUUUAUUUUAUUAAUUAAUAACGUAAUCAUCUUUUUUAUUUUUAUUUUUUUAAAAUCUAUACAUGUAUAUUUUUAUGCACAUUUUUUUAAACUUAUAUUUUUCUCAGAUUUAUAUAUAUAUGUACGUAUAUAUAUUUUUUAAUGUACUCAUUAUUUAACUGUUUUUUAUCUAUAUAUAUUCCUUUUAUAUGUACGUGUAUAUAUUUAUUUUUAACGAAUAUUUUUCCUAUAUUUUUUUAAAUGAAUAUUUUCAUCUUUAUAUGUAUAUAUUUAUGAUUUUUUAAAAUGAUUAAAUACUCACUUUUCCUUUUAAAACACACCCUUUUUUAUUAUUUUAUAUAUGUACGUAUAAUUAUAUUUUUCUUUAUUUUCAUAAGUAUAUUAUGUAUUAUAUAUAUGUAUAAAUUCUAUAACCCAAAAUUUUAUUUGUAUAUUAUAUUUAUAUUUUUAAUCUUCAUAACUUUCAUGUGUAUAUUAUAUGUCUUCUAAUCUUUAUUUAUUUUGUUUGCUAUCCCAUCCAUUGUAUAAUUGUCUUUACAUUUAAUAUUUUGCAUGUCAUGGAUUACCUUUUUUUAUUUCGUUUAUUCAUUUGCUUAUAUUAUUUUUAUGUCGAUGAUGUAUUUAUUAUUAUUAUUAUUAUAGCAUUUGUAUGUAUAAAAUCACGUUACAUCAUUUUUUACUCAAAUUUAAAGAUAGAAAAUUUUUUAAAAUUGAGAUAAUGUUCGUAUUUGAGAUUUUCAAGGGAAUUGAGCCCUAACGUAUUGGGUUCUGAUUUUCUUCGUUAAAUCCGACAAUCGAGCAUUUCUCUUCAAUCAAGAAAAUAAUAAAAACUCAUUAUUGGGAAUUCAACACGUUGUGUCCUAACGUAUUGGAUGUGACGCAUUGAUUUCUCGAAAUGAAGAUUUUUUUUUAAAAUCAUGAAGGAAAUAUUCCGAGUUUGAGAUUCUAAAGGAAUUGUGCCCUAACGUAUUGGGUGUGAUUUCUUAAAUCUUGGAUAAGUGGAUGUUCUUUUAAAGUAAAGGAAAUAUUCCGAGUUUGGGAUUCUAAAGGGAUCGUGCCCUAACGUAUUGGGUGUGAUUUCUUAAAUCUUGGAUGAGUGGAUGUUCUUUUAAAGUUUUAUUGUAUAAGUAUUCUGACCUAAUUCAUUUUGGAGGAAAUUAGAAUGUUGUGCCCUAACGUAUUGGGUGUGGCAUUUUUGCUUCUCUGAAUUGAAAAGGGUCUUAAUAUGUAACGUUUUAAGUUUUUAAAGAUUAUAUUUUUAAAAUUUUCGACCUUAAGGCAUUAAUUAAUUAACUAGGUACCAAUUUUUGGGCGUAAUGAGGGUGCUAAUCCUUCCUCAUGCGUAACCGACUCCCGGACCCGUUCUUCUAAAAUUCGUAGACCAAAGUCGUUUUUAGGUGACCCAAUCACACCUUAAUAAAAGAUUGGUGGCGACUCCCAAUUUCAUUUUUUUUUAAGUCGACAACCUAAAAUUUUUGUUUUUCAAAAAUGGUUUCGACAGAAAUGAUUUAGCAGGUUGUUUUCCCUAGUUUGGAGAAGUUGCGGAUUCAGAAUUGUGAUUCGUUAGAACAAAUUAUUGAGCUGCAAGGAGUCAUUGCUGAUGAGUCACAGUCAACAUCAGCUACUCAGUCUAUUAUGGCUGAAACAGAGACGACCAAGUUUGUAUUUCCCAAACUAAUAAACCUCGGAUUGGAUAAGGUGCCGAGAUUGAAAAGUUUCUACUCUAGGAUGCAUACCACCCAGUGGCCUUCAUUGAAACAAAUGGACAUUAUUGAAUGUCCCAAAGUACAGAUAUUAACUCCACAAUGUCCUGAGUGUCAGGUUGGAAUCUCAAACCAACAACCCUUGUUUUGCGUCAACGAGGUGAGCUCACUAAUAGUUUCAUACUCCAUGUUCAUUACUUGAGAUUACCUAUAAAAUGCCUUUUGAAAUAACUAAUAUUCUCACCUUCCUUUUAAAUUUAUGAGAAAUAAAAUGGAAAUGAUAUCCAUUCUGUAGUCUAGUUCUUACCAAUUCAAAACUCUUUGAUCAAUGUUUAAUAUAUUCGUUGCCAUCCAGGACACUUUCCCUAUAUUAGAAGAACUGACACUAAAGACGAAUGAUAUGGUGAAGGGGAUAUGUGAUGGACAGCUCUCAUUGCAGUGUUUCCAAAACCUUAAACUUCUUAACCUCCAAUUGUUUCCUGAGGCAUCCACUACUCUUCCAUAUUCAUUCAUUCGGUCACUACCAAUGCUUCAUAAGCUUGUUAUAGACAAUGCUUCCAUUUGUCAAAUAGUACAAUCUGAAGGACUCAGCUACGACGAAAGGAAUACAUCAGUGUUCUAUCAGCUAAAGGAAUUAAGUUUGUGUCAACUUCCAGAGUUGACGUUAAAGACUUUUGAACCAUCUUUGCUGUCUUUCAAAAAUCUAACAACACUGGAAGUUUCAAGCUGCCAUGGGUUCAUCAAUUUAAUCGCAUGCUCAACAGCUAAGUGCCUGACGCUACUGGAAAGAUUGAGCAUAGAUGAUUGUGGGAUGAUUGAGGAAAUCAUAGCGUGUGAGGCUGAAGAAAUGCAAGGCGGCAUUGUAUUUCCCAAACUGCAGUAUUUGCAACUAAGCUGUCUGCCAUGUCUAGCAAGCUUUUCCUUGGCCCAUCACUUGUUGGAAUUCCCAGUCUUGCUAAUGGUGAAGGUGACAAAGUGCUCCAAAAUGAGGAAUUUCUGCCAAGGAGAUUUAAGCACACCAAGGCUGGAACAAAUGCACUUAACAAGAGAUGAGGAAGGUGAACUGCAGUGGGAAGGCGACCUUAACACUACCAUAAAACAUAUGUUCGAUGAAAUGGUACAAAUCAUUUAAAGGAUUUAAAUUCAUGUGUUUUUACAUACAUACAUAGUUAACUGAAUAAUUCUUGGUUUGUUAUGAUCAUGCACAGAAUGUGCAAAAUUUGGAGGUGACGGAGGUUACUGAUCAGUUGCCCAAGCUGGAAUAAGGAAAUAUGUUUGGGUGCUUAUGCGAAAAGCUCAGUUUCGUUUCAAAUAAAAACAAAUGGUAAUUGACUUCUAUUUCAUUAUGGCUUAACUAAUGCUUUAUAAAGUGACCAUAGAGACGCCCUUUCUAUUGUAGGUUGAGUUGCUCUACUGAAGCACAUGGCUGCAUCUGUUGGUAGAACGUGAAAGGUUAUUUCAGUUUUUGUAAAACUACAAUUUGAACUGUUCCAUUUCACAACAUAACCUCAAUAUUGAAUUUCAAGUGCAUCAUGCAUGACAUUGGGAACUACAAACAUGCAAACUUUUACUAGUAAGGUUGACCCCUGUUUUAAUAUUCGAAUUCUUCUUAAAGGUGGAUGGAUUUGCCAACUUUUGAUGGUUACCAUAUCAAUAUCAGCUUGGGGUUUAGACGAUGUGAUUAAGAUUGCUAUACAUACUGUGUUUGUGCUUGUGUCAUCUUUCUUGUUCUCUCUAUAAAGAUUAUUACGUACUUAUUUCUAUGCAAUCUCACAAUUUUCUGAUGAAAAAAGUUAAAGCUAAUAACUCCAUUCCCAAGUUUCCCAUAUUCAUCCUCACAAAAACAUAAAUGAUAAAAACCCCAUUUCUCUUUUAGUCAAUAGGAGAAACAAUCUAAAGUUAGAAUAAAACAAACCAAUGCCAUGUUUAUAUUGAAUUAAAUCGCAUGCAUACAUGUAUCAAUUGUUCUGUAGUGAACAGCAGUCACGUUAUAUUCAACUAUGGCAUCUCCAUCUUAUUAAACCAAGCUACAAUGUGAUUAUUCAAGUGCUAUCCAUGUGAUUAUUCUUAUAUUUAAAUAUAAUAAGUUCAUUUAAUAAUUUUUAUAAUAAAUAUAAUAAUUCAAUCAAUAUCAAUUAAGCGAAUUUUUAAUCAAUCAAUUGAAUUUAAUCUGAUUAUAAAAAGUCAAUAAUCCAAACUUAUUCAAUUCGGAUUCAAAUGAACUUGAAAGGGAUUUAUUGGAAAAUUCAAUCUUCAAACUCAAGUGAUUUGAAUUUUGUUAGGGAUUGACCCGGUUAAGCAACGAACAAGUAAAAAUAAGGAAAGAAAUUAAGAAAUUGAACACACAAAUUUAACAUGUUAAAACCCCUCCAAAGAGGAUAAAAAAUCACGAGUAAAGAUAAUUUUACUAUGAUGGCAAAAGAAUGAAGAGUAUAGAAGAUGAAGAUAAAAACUAAAUCCCAAAAACCAAAUUCAUAGGUCAAAUAAUAAUAAAAUAAUCUAGAUUAAUCAGAGUUUGAUUAAAAUAAAUAAAUACAAUCUAACUAUUGAUAACAAGUGCUAUCCAUGUGAUUAUUCUUAUAUUUAAAUAUAAUAAGUUCAUUUAAUAAUUUUUAUAAUAAAUAUAAUAAUUCAAUCAAUAUCAAUUAAGCGAAUUUUUAAUCAAUCAAUUGAAUUUAAUCUAAUUAUAAAAAGUCAACAAUCCAAACUUAUUCAAUUCGGAUUCAAAUGAACUUAAAAGGAAUUUAUUGGAAAAUUCAAUCUUCAAACUCAAGUGAUUUGAACUUUGUUAGGGAUUGACCCGGUUAAGCAAUGAACAAUUAAAAAUAGCAAAAGAAAUUAAGAAAUUGAACACACAAAUUUAACAUGUUAAAACUUCUCCAAAGAGGAUAAAAAAUUACAGGUAAAAAUAAUUUUACUAUGAUGGCAAAAGAAUGAAGAGUACAAAAGAUCAAUAUAAAAACUAAAUCCCAAAAAUCAUAUUGAUAGGUCAAAUAAUAAUAAAAUAAUCUAGAUUAAUAAGAAUUUGAUUAAAACAAAUAAACACAGUUUAACUAGAAUAUUAUUUCUCAAAUUUGACUGAAAUAGGAGUUAUACUCAACAAACUCAAACAUAAAAUUAUUACUUGGAUGUGAAUGAUUUGAAUUGAAAUGGUGUGAGGCCCCAUUAUGCUGUCAGCGAAAUCUAAAGAUUGGGGCCCCAAACCAUUCAAAUUCCAGGACUGUUGGAUGCAAGCUAAAGAGUUAGAUCGACUUAUUCAUGAUCGAUGGAAGGAAAUGGAGGUUCACGGCCAGGCAAAUCAGGCCUUGAGAAUGAAACUAAGUCCUUUAAAGUGUUCUCUGAAAAUGGAACAAAAAUUUCUUUUGGUAGUUUGGAUCAUAGAAUCCACUUGAUAGAAAAUGAAGUGGAGGAUGUUGAUAAAAGGGGCGAUAUUUCGGUCAUGACCGAGGAGGAUGUCAACCGUGGAAAAGAGACUACGGGUGAAUUAUGGAAACUUAAUCGUUCUCGAGAAAUCUUAUGGAGACAAAAAUCUAGAGUAAAGUGGAUUGGGGAAGGCGACCGUAAUGCAAGUUUCUUCCAGUGCAAAGCCAAAUUUAGAGCUAGGAGUAAUUGCAUUGAAGGUCUGUUUGCGAGCGGAUUUCUUGUCCGAACUUAGUCAAAAAUGCAAUUUGGGAAUACUUCCGAAAACAGUUCUGUGGCGUUCAUUGGGACAAACCUACUUUAAGGGGUUCGGAUUUUACGAUAUCUUUGCUUCUUCCCAAUGGUCUCAAAGCAUGUUUUGGUGUUUGAGUCUGAUUCAAUGGUUGCGUUGACAGGCCUGCCUCCUAUGUGGCUUGGCUGUUGUUUAUUGCACCUUUGUACUUCAAAAUAAUUUCAACUCUUUCAAUCCGAAUUAAAUUGAUUCGAACUUUAAAUAAUGAGUGAUAAACUUAAAAUUAUCUUAUUAGAAAAUUUAAACUUCAAAAUAAAUUGAGUGACUUAAACUUAAAUUUAACUUUAAUAUGAAACUGAUUUGAAUCCAAAUGAUUUUAAAAUUUCUAAUUUCGAAUUAAUCUAUCUAGAUCAAAAACCAACUCUAGUUAUAGCUUGACCCAUCACAAAAAUAUAAAAGAUAAUUUGAGAACAUAUGAGGCAACUUGUAGGUAUGGUGUAUAUGUAAUUGGAUAAUUACCCUCUCCCUAAAAAAUUAUGUCGCAGCGUACUCAAUUAUAUAUCUAGGGGUUUUUUUUCCCUUUUUGAUGUGGGAUUAAUGACUUUAAUCAUGUGUCCUUAAAUGACUCAGAGUUCGGAAUCACGAGUGAUAAAAGGCUCUGGUGUUUAACAAUCAACUAGACUCAACCAGAGCUCGGUAAUCAGCUGGACGAACAGAGUAAGCGAUAUCAAACAUUAAGCGCAUAAUUUCAGAUUCUUUGGACUCCAGCCGAGCUAAAGCUAACAUAAGCGAAAGCUAUCAUAUCAAACGGCUCGAUGCAUUUGCCGAAGUAUAAUUUGGAAAAUGUUUUGGACUGUUUUGAGGAGCUUGGGUGAUGUUGGCCAUUCAUAACAAAUAUAAAUUUCCCAUGGUUUAAGUGCAUUUGUCCUUUUGUUUCUAUAGCAUGCGAUCUAGGGAGAGGUCGUGUUGAUACAUUGAAUCAAUGGAUGUGAAGAUGGAAGGGAAUGAAUUCUAAGAAAACACACCAAAGUUAUUGAUUUGAUGAAAAAAUAAAAAAAAUGUUGUAUAAUUAUAUUAAAAAUAACCCGACUCGAAAUCUGACCUAGGAUCCGACCCUAUAUAAUAGAAUUCUACAAACAUCCCAUAAAAAAAGAAGAAUCUUCUUCUUUAUGGCUAGACAAGAAUUCUCUCUUCUCCAUCUCCACAUCCGUUGAUCUAAUGAAUCAACAAUCAGCAGUAUUUUAGACUGUAUAUUUGAUUUAUAAUGUAUUAAUUAGUUCAAAUGAUUAAUAUAAUUUGAAAGCAUAUUUUUAAAUCUAAAAAGUAGAAUGGCUAAAUUCUUGAAAAUAAAAAUAGAGUAACUAAGUUUUAAAGGUACGAAAUAAGACCUUCAAGUAUAUUUUAACCUUCAAUUUUUUACUUUAUAAUUUGAUACAAAUAAAUAACCAAUCCAAUGUGAAACAUAAAUGGAUUAUACUAAUUAUUGUAAUAAUUAAAUUUUUUUUAAUGUCGUUUGUGAAAUUAAAUAACAACGUUAAAAGGCUAAUCCUUUUCACAACAUGCCUAUAUCCUCAUUUAAUAAAUGAUUUUAAUUUUGGGUAAACUACAAAAAUAGUCACAUUUGUUUGUCUCAGAUUACAUUUUAGUCACUUAUGUUUGAAAUGUUACGUUUUAGUCACUUACGUUAUCGUUUUGUUACAAAGUGAUCACUCUAUUGUUAAGCUCCGUUACCUCCCUAACGGCGGUCCUACGUGGCAGUCCAAAUGAGUUUUAAUUGUCAACUUGGAUGUCCUAUGUGACAGUCCAAAUUGAAUUUUAUUUAAGUAAAAACCUAUUUUCAUCCCAACAACUAGACAUCCAAGUUGGCAUUUAAAACCCAUUUGGACUGCCACGUAGGACUUCUAUUAGGGAGGUAACGGAUUUUAACAGUAGUGUGACCGCUUCGUAACAAAACGAUAACAUAAGUGACUAAAAUGUAACAUUUUAAACAUAAGUGACUAAAAUGUAAUUUGAGGUAAACAAAAGUGACUAUUUUUGUGGUUUACCCUUUAAUUUUUAUAUAAUUCUUCAUUCAACUUAAUGUAGUUCAAAGUUGAUUAUAGAGGUGAAACUAGGAAUUUUUUUUUUGGAUCAGGGUUAAAUUGUACGAUAGUAAAAAUAUAAUUUUAUCAUUUUAAUAGUCUAUAUUUUUAUAAUUUUUAAAGGAUUAACCAAAAUUUUAUUAUUUGGGGGUUAAAAUAUAAUUUACUAUUAUUAGUUUAAAAAAUUUUAAAGGAUUAACCAAUGUUUGACAGAUUUAGAACUAACAAAUUGUCCAUUGCUAAAAACAUUCAUCACUAAAUGUGUAUCCGAAGAUGAACCUGAAAUUGGCCAACAUGUACAAGCGAGUAACUUGGAGGUUCAUAACUCAUCUCUCCUCAAUGAAAAGGUCAUUUCUUUAAGGGUUCUCCUUUUAAUUUAUGUUGCUUCGAUUGAUCUUAUUCAUUUGAAGUUCUUUCUUUUCCAUGCAUAUUUCAGUUAUUAACCUAAUGAAAUGAUUUAGCAAGUUGUUUUCCCUAGUUUGGAGAAGUUGUGGAUUCAGAAUUGUGAUUCGUUAGAACAAAUUAUUGAGCUGCAAGGAGUCAUUGCUGAUGAGUCACAGUCAACAUCAGCUGCUCAAUCGAUUAUGGCUGAAACAGAGACGACCAAGUUUGUAUUUCCCAAACUAAUAAACCUUGGAUUGGAUAAGGUGCCGAGAUUGAAAAGUUUCUACUCUAGGAUGCAUACCACCCAGUGGCCUUCAUUGAAACAAAUGGACAUUAUUGAAUGCCCCAAAGUACAGAUAUUUACUCCACAAUGUCUUGAGUGUC
rnacentral:lncRNA from 1 species